rnacentral:lncRNA from 1 species
AAACUUUUAAUUUGUAAAUUCCUUUUGAAAUUUUUCACAAGUAAUGUUGCAGAAGAUCCAUGUAUGAGCUCUGAUACCAGCUGUGGCAGAACCUCCUGAAUUAAGUGGCCCACAUGCACCCAUCAUUAUCUCAAAGACUUCUGAUCGGUGUGCACGAGUUCCAAAUGACUCAAGAAGUCUGUCGGUUGAUCAUGACGAGCCAGCCAUGCAUGUCCUCGUCGCCGUCGCGUUGUGGGCUGUGCGCCUGUGACUGACCGCGAGGCCUGUCACCAUGCAUGCGCCGUGGUAUGGGUUUGCCGCGUAGCCUCAAGCCAAGCCAGCAGCCGAGCGGACCGAGAGCAAAGCAGGGAGUGGAGCAACGUGUAGCUUCUUUGAGCGGCUCAGGUCUGCCGUCUGCGUCCUGCUUCCUCUUGCCUUGGACUUUGCCGAGAGAGGUUUUAUCGUUCUCUGCUAAAAAAAAACACGCGUAUUCUAAUUCUGUAUACGUCCAGAAAUGUCGGUUGCUGUAUUUAUAUAGAAAAGCCUGGCCUUUUCGAUCGUGGAAAUACCCCCAGCGAUGUACAGGGACGAUCCCUUUCGUGACAGAUUGAGACACGGAUGGAUUUGUCGCGUGCUUAAUGGAGAGGUAGAAGUUGCUAUUGAUGCUCCAGUAGUGCACAACAUCUGGCGACUGCAACAUUUACUUGCCUGCAUGUCGAUCUACUAUUAUACCAUAUCCGACAGGUGACCCCAUCAAUUGGCUUCAGAGUAGAGUGGUAUGCAGUGAUACAGUGACCAUGUAUCAAUGCAUGAAAAAGGACCGCUGUCGAUGAAUUGUUUAUCGAUCUGUGCAGGAUAAUUUGCAGGAGUAAUCACAAUCACAUCCAGCGACGCACAUCAGUCACAGUGCACGCGUACAUGGAACAAAGCGAAAAACACGUAUUGACAUUUUUUGAUGGAGGAGUACUAUAUGAUUCAGACAUGAGACAUGAACACGAACAGUAGACUACAUACACGUACGAACAGGGUGGCGAAGGCGCGAGGAUUCCGGUUUACAGAACAGCCACAAUAAUUUUACCACCAGCAGUACUCCGUACUGCAUUACAAUUCGCCAAAUCCUUAUUUAUUUACCAUACAGAGGAGGCCCCCUCAGCCAUCCCAUGCUUUUCCUUGCCCUUCGUCUUGCUUGAUCCGGUGACGAGAUCGAUCGCCGUGGCAGUAGCACACCACGCGCCAUUGUUGGAGGAGCCUGUUGGACGGACGACGACGAACGGAGCCGGGCUACUACUGCAUGGAGCACUCGGCGGGGAGGCCCUGCGGGUAGCGCUUGGGGUCGGUGCAGUAGUUGUAGAUCAUGUACUUGCGCUGCACCCACCGCAUCCGCUGCUGCAGCGUGAGGUCCAGCUCCUGGUUGUACCAGUCCCCGGCCGGCGCUCCAGCGCCGGCGCCCUCGGUGCCGACGGCGCCGCCGCCGCCGCCGCCGCCGCAGCGCGUCUUGCCGCCGGCGACUGCGACGCAGGCGUCGGCCCUGAAUCCCCGGUACGAGGCGGAGAAGGGCGCGUGGGACCAGUCCGUCUUGACGCGGCCGCCCUGUGUCGCCCAGUCGUCGGCGUUCCACAGGCUGGAGUAGAGCCGCAUCGGCUGGUUCUUGGGGAACGCCACCCCCUUGCUCUCCAGGUUCCGGAAGUCCCUGAUCGGCAUCUCGUCCACCAUGAAGCUGCACGAACGGCAUGAUCGAUCAGUCAAUGUCAAUCGACAGUCAGUUGGACGACACUCUUAAUCAAAUCAAACACCAAACACGAACACGACGAGACGAGACGAAUUGGUUUUACUUACAUGACGUGCUUGGGGUUCCAGAGGAUGGAGUAGGUAUGGAAGUCCUUGGUGGGAUCAAACCAGAGGCGGAACUGCUGCUCCCUCUGUCCCUGGCCCUGGGUGAACACGUUGGUGUGCAGCGUGUAGGGCUCGCCGGAGACGUUGCCGAGGAACUCGAAGUCGAUCUCAUCGUGGGUGUUGCCCUGCGACGACAGGUAGUAGGCGGUGACGGUGCCGGCCGAGUUGCCGGGGACCAGCUUCAGCUGCAUGUCGAUCUUGCCGAAGAGGUACUCGUGCCUGGACUGGAACCCGGACCCGGAGGUCCGGUCCAGCGUCAGCGUCAGCAGCUGCCCGUUGUCCUGGAUCUUGCCACGACCGUCGCCCCACGUGAUGUCGAACUCCUGGUUGAAGUUGGCCGCCGCCACGGCGACGGCGACGGCGGCGGAGUAGGACAGCAGUACGCCCAGCAGCAGGGACACACGACGAGACGCCAUGACCGUGAGUAGUGGUCGAUCACUCGAGAACUCCUCACUCAACUACAGCCUAACCAACCAACCAAGAGACACGAGAGUACACUAAUGACUAGCUUGAAAUAGGAUCAAACAAUCAAUCAAGCAGGUUUGCAAGGUGCUCGAUCGGAUGAGCUGGAGCGAGAUGAUCGAGCUUGUGGUUUGUGAGUGGAGGAGGCGAGGGAGGGUUUUAUAGGGGGAGAGAGAGGGGUUUGGGCCGGCGGCGGCGAUGAGAAUGGGAAUGGCGUGCCGCGCGCAUGGUGCCGGGAAGCAGAGAGUUGUACUGCACGAGCCCGGCCGUGUGUGACAGUGUGAGAGGGUAAUGCGUGUGAGUUGGCGCCAGCCAUGCGAGGAGGAGUCAGGAGAUGGGAGGAGGGAGACAGGGCAGGGGCGCGCAGGACGCUGCGGCGGGGCAGAGCGGGGUUGAUGAGGGGCAGCCGGCAGGGCCGCAGGAAGGGGAGGGGGAGGCGACGGCACGCGCACAGCGACGAGACGAGCCGAGCGAGAUAUUUUAGGGUCGACCGGGACGUGCAGCGAAUUCCAUCAUGGUGCACCGGCCCGUUCGUUCUCGCGACCGGGGUUGUGUCCGGCUGUGGAAAGGAGAAGGCUCAAGCGAACAGAGGCAGCUCAAAACAGGGCACUGGAGGAAACUUUCAUGUGUCAAGUCCAUGAAGAAAUGGUGCCUACGCUUAGGGCUUUCCUGCGUACUCAGAUCACACCAUUCACAUUGACAUGAUGGUAAAGUUCUGUUUACCCAGUACUGAGUACAUGCAAUGCAAUUAUACGCACACACACACGGACAUGCCAAUCAGGUAGCUAGCUGGUUCUAAGUAAACAGUGAGGCCAAUAUGCUAACCGCGCGCAUGUCAAGUACAGGCACCAACGCGUGAUAUAAAAAAUGCCAUUGCGAUGACUGUCAUGACUGUUGUACGCACUGUACACUGCCAUAUCCCUAUCUUGAUUGUUUAUUUACAAACCAAAGCAUGUCAGGAUACUCUUAUAUUUUAUCACGCCACCAGUAUGUUUUUUUUUAGUGAGUGCCAUCACGUCCACAAUAAUAUAAGCCUGAAACAACAUCAAUACCUACUGUUACGUGCACUCAGGAUACUCCCCAACUCUGACUGUUUCAUUUGAGCCAAGGUAAUCUACACCGCAGCUAAUUUUGUGUAACAUCCCUGAUGUUACGAACACUAAAACUGGAUCAUGUCAUCAUAAGCAUUGCAAAGCAUAUUUGUUAAGCACAUUAUUAUGCAUCAACUUAAAAUAAGGUUAUUUUGGUUGAUUGUGCUUAGGAAAUUAAAGUGUGCUUAUAUUGUGUAUGGAUGUUUGUGUUGGUGAUUAAAACCCUGGGUGGAAGUUUUUCCGAAAGACUUAAGGGGGGAAACCCUAGUUUCCAAAACCCUAGAAUUUGUCCCCUUUUGUGCAAUUCAAAAACAAAGCAAAAUUUGAAGUUGAGUUCAAAAGCAAAGUUGUAAAUCUUGUCAAGAUGUACAACUUUGGUGUUUUGAGUUUUUGAAGUUUCAGUACAAAAUUUAAAGUAAUUUUGAAAAUACAAUUUUCCAGAAAUUGUUCCCUUUUCCGAUUUGAAUCCCCAAUUCAAAAUCUAUUUGGAAUUUUGAAAAGUGGUCAACAUGAAAGUUGUAGGGCUCAAAAAGUUGAACAACUUUCAUGUUGGGAGUUUUUCAAGUUGUUUGGAAAAAUUAAAAGUAAUUUUGGAAAUUCUAAUCUGCUCCAAUUCAAAAUUUGGAAUUUCCCCAAUUUGGGAUUUUGAAAUUCAAACUGUUUUGCCAAAUUCACACUUUUCCACUCAGAUUUAGCUUUGGUCACCAAAAGGAGUUUUGUAGCUUGUAAAAUUCUUCACAACUUCCAUUUUGGUGGAAUUUUGUCUUCAGUUCAAAAUUUGGACGAAUUUUGCAAAACCACAAAACUGGUUGGAUAAAGCUUGCUACAGUAUCCGGAUAUGGAUCACGAGUCCAGUCACCGCGCGGCCGCAGGCCGUGCAGCGCCGCGUGCGCGCCUCGCCGCCACGCAGCUGCUUGCCGGCCGCGUCACCGCGCGACGUGGACGCCCGUGACCUCUGCGUCUCGACCUCUUGAGCGCCUGCGCGGCCGACCUCGAGCUCACUUACUCCGGCGACCGAAAGCACCCAGUGAAGCUCCACCGUCCAAUACCCUCUACACGCAACCCCUCUGGCCAAUUCGAGUUCUCCAACACCUUCGCCAUAUCCUUGCGAACCCCGUGUACGCCCAGGAACCCUCCCUGCCCCUCUCAAUCGCCCGGGCGCCGUCUUUCUUCCUCAGCUCCGGCUGAAAACGCCGCCGAGGAGCACCUCAACGUGGACAGGCCACCUCGAGCCAUUGCAGGACAAGAUACGGCCACCAUCAGGUGCGCACUAGUCCGGGCGAGCUUCCCCGCUGCUCCAAUGCCGCCGACGAGCACUCCAGCGCCGAAACCACGAUCUCCGGCGAGUUCCUCUGUUUUCAGUCGCGGCCAGGGACUUCGGGCGACAAUUUGAAGUUUCCCAGGGGUCUAAUUGCAGAGACUGUGACUCAGGUGAAUAGUGCUAUAAGGACUUGUUUGUAGAUGUUUUGUUGAAUCUUUAAAAAUUCAUAUCUAGAGUUUGGUAGCUCCAAUUUUGGUGAACCAAAUUUUGUUGUGCUCCUUGAGAUGUCUAGUUUUUAUUAAAAAUAUGAAACUGACCAUGUUUUGUAGUAAAAUAAUUGGUUAUGAUUUAUGCCUUUUAAUUAUGUUUAAAAAAGGAGAAAUUCAUAUCUUAUUCUGUGUAGAUCCUAUUGCCCUGAAAUUUUUAUGGUGUUCUCAUGAUGUUAUGUGAAUGUUGCAGUAAAAAUUUCAUGUUCAGUAAAUGAUAUAUGGUUAAGUUAUUAAUUUAUCUUAUUUAAUGCUUAUUAAAUAGUUUAAAAUUAAACUAAAAAUAAAUAAAUGUAAAAUAUGGUUCCACUGCCUUUAUAUGAGGUCUUUAUAUCAUACAAAUACAUAAUUUAGCUAUGUGUUUGUAGAAAAUGUCGAGUUUCUUAUUUAUCUUGAUGCUACAUGCUUUCUUGUGAUGGAAAUUUAUCUUUUUCAUGGAAAUUGCUAUACUUAUACAAAUGGUAUGAAAUUUAUACAGUAGACUUUGGAGAGCAUAUAUGUGCUUCUGUAGUUUUCUCAGAUUUUAUUGUGUACUUUUGAUAUAUGGUUAUUACUUUGUCUAUUUAUCUAAAUAAAUUAAUAAAGACAUAAAAAGAAUUUAUUUAGGGAUGACCAUGAUAUUUUCUAGUAUCUCUUUGAUGUAUUUCAACUUUUGGUGAGCUGGGUUUUGCCCAGGUUCAAGUUUGGAACAUAAAUGAAAUAUGAUUUCUCUAUAAUUUAAUUGUUAGUGGUUUCUUGAUAGUUUUUAGAGCAUUAUGAAUUUCUCUAGGUAAAUAAUGUUGGAUAUGAAACUUGUCUAUAACAAAGUUGUAUAGAAUUCAUGUAUCUAGCUGGUGUUAAAUUUUGGUGGCAUUUGGCUCUAUAGUUUCUGAGUUAUGCCUGUUUAAAUUUAAGUUUCAGAAAUGGUUUCUUUCUGUCAAAUCCUGGAUCAGUUUCUGUAGUUGUGCAAUUUCAACCUACUAAACUUAUGAAUUAUGUUUUCAUGAUAAAAGAUGAAUUGUAGUAAUUUUCAUAAGCUUUCCAAAAUGUUAUGGAUCAUGAAUUUUGAUGAUCUAGAACUCUGGUUAUAGAUGUAUGAAUCUUAAUGUCUGAUUCUGUCCAAGGUCUGGACAGAAUUGUUUAUUCAUACUGUUUGGCCAUGUUAUCUAUUAAAUCAGUUCUCGAAGAUAAUAAUAAAGUUGUAGAAAAUUAUAUAAGCUUUCCAGAAAGUCUAAUAUCACCUUUAUUGGAUGCUUGGAUCUCUAAUUAUGGUUGAAUAAAGUUGUGUAUAUGCUGCUGUCCUGGUUAUGUUGGUAAAUAGAGUUGAUUGUUUUAGCUAGCCUUUACUUAAAUAAUGAUUAGCUUAAUUUCCAAAUUAGAAUUUGAGUGCUUUUGGGAUUAUGUGAUGACCUGAGGUCAUUAUCUUUUAAUGACCUUUGGCACUUAAUUAUUGUUUGAUGUUAAUACUUAAUUAUUGUCUUUAAUAUUUAAUUAAGAAUUUAUUAAGAUAAAUAGAAAGCAUAAUCAUUUUAGGUUUUGAUUGAUCUUUGGGAUUGAUUGAUAACCAGUGGCUACUUGACAUGAUAUGCUCCCUGGUUAAGGAUUCUUUCAUGUAAAUGAUCUUUGUUGCUUAAUAACUACACAACAUUGCUUAAUGAAGAUGAUAAAAUUUGCUUAGUAGUAAUCUAUGCUUUGAUAACUAAGUUAGUUUGUUUCUAUACCAUGAAGGUGAGUUGUACUCGAGGUAGUUUUGUUUGUUGUUAUCAUCCAAGAACAUGUAACCUGUCUUUAUCAUGUCAUGAGCAUCUCAUUGAUCAUGCAUAUGCACCUCUACGUGUAGACUACGCUCCAGAGGAAUCUGAUCCUCAGUGGGUUGCUUCCGAGUUUGUGGGUCCAUCUGGUUUUGCUGAGUUGUCGGACUUCCCUUCCGGUCAAGGCAAGCCCCGGACAUUAAACCCUAUCCUUGUAUUUUCAUAAAGUUAUUUAUAUCACUUGAGUUAAUAUGAUGCAUUAGGUGAAUAGGAGUUGAGUGAAUCCUAUUUGCUGCAUUAUCUACCUUGAUGAUUUCCAUAUUAACCUUGAUACCUGCUUUAUGAAAAUGCUUAGUAUGCUUAGCCCUGCUUAUUAGAUAAGUUUUCAAAUGAGAACGUUUGAAGGGUCGUUGUGGAAUACUGUUAUGGUUAAUAAUGUUUAAACUUGAGACCGGUCGGUGGACUUGCUUUAAGAAUGGAGUCUUAAAGUAGUGUCUCCAACUGUGUCGAUUAAGGACCGUACCGUUGAUUGGCCUGUUGUGAUUGAGAACUUUGAGUACAGCCCACAUGCGGCGGUAAGCCUUACCUAUAGCUAUUCCGAUACUUGAGAACGGCUAACCGCGUACUGGGAGUGGAAAGAUGGCGAGAGUAGCGUGUACCCACCUUACGGAUCUGAGAUGACCGGGAAACAUCUAGAUUGGCUGUAGGAUGGUGGUGUACUGUACUCUCGGGUGACGCUGGACCCGUUCUUGUAUGGGAGGAUCUAUAGAAAAGGUUGACAUAUGCAAGAUUAAGUUCUACAUAUGUCGUGUGGUACUGAAUCCCCAGCUGGGUUUAAUCGAUUCGAAUCGCCGUGUUUCCUCGGAUAUGGAGCCUCAAUCCUCACACCAUCAUCGUAGUAACAAGUGAAUCUUUGGUAUAAGAAAGAUGUGGUAUACUUAUGCAAGUUUGAUAAUAGUUUUGGUUAGUCAUAAAUGAUAACCUUGAGUUAAAACUUGAAAGUAGGUUUAAUCUUAGUAAGCUUUUAUGCAAAAGAAAUGCUUUGAUCUUGCUAAAGCUUUACCUUGAAUCCCUAUAGCCUGCAUACCUGAGUCUUCACCUCUUUUCUAGUCGGUUAAGUCUUGUUGAGUACUUUUGUACUCAGGGUUUUAUAACCCCUGUUGCAGGUGCUGACUUAGACUGCUAAUGGAGGUCAUGUCGGUGGGCGCGACAUGAUUUAUCCACCUCUUCUACCUUAGAAGCUUCACCUAAGAUGCUUCCGCUACUCUAUACACCUUUUGGAAAUUUAGUUAAGUUUAUACUUCAUCAUAUGUUGUAAAUUAAGUUAUAAAUCUUCCGCACUCUGAUGUAAGUUAUUUUUGUAACAAAUGUUGUAAUGUUGUGGUAACUCCAUGUUGAUCCUGUAUGAGAUAAAAUGUGGAUGAUUCGGGGUCCUCCGAGGAUACCCGACAAACUUCUUGAGUCAUUUGGAACUCGUGCAUGCCGAUCACAAGUCUUGGAGACAAUGAUGGGUGCAUGUGGGCCACUUAAUUCAGGAGGUUCUGCCACAGCUGGUAUCAGAGCUCAUACAUGGAUCUUCUGCAACAUUACUUGUGAAAAAUUUCAAAAGGAAUUUACAAAUUAAAAGUUUUGAGGAUAACAACUUAUAAAUAUUCCUUAACUUUUCUUAUGCUUGCUGUUCGGGUUCUACGAAGACUUUCUGCUGACUCAAAUAGAAGACAUUAAAAGAGGCUUCAAGUCUUCGACAAGCCAAGUAAAGAAUCAAACUACUCCAACAAUGCUUUGUCAACAGUCUUGCAGCCUCCCUUUUGAAGCAAUAAAGAUAGUGUAUAAAGUAUGCCCUAUAUAAGCAAUUAUCUCCUAGCUAACGUUGUAAAGACGUAUGGGACGAGCAUAUUGCAUAUCUUGCAUAACAUGACAAUAUAAUGAUACUUAAAAGCCCCUCCUUAUGCUUCAAAACAGUUAUUAUUCGUUAUAGCUGUUUUAUUGAUGAAUCUCAUCAUGUACCAGGUUUCGUUAACUGAUUGAUAAUCUUUUACUCCAUAAGAUCCUAAUCCUUGAUUCAUUUGUUAUGCAUGUGACCUUCCUUGAUUUCAUCUAAUUCGGACACAUGCUACCUCCUUGAUAUCUUUUGUCAACAUUUUUGUUGAUUGAAUGUCACUAUGAUUGUGUCCUCUUAAGGUACCAUGACUUGUGACUUAGGUAACAAUGUCAAAACCUGGGAUCUCCUAUGGCUCAUGACCAUGAGGAAAUACUGCUGGGCGCUCAUUGUUAUCAAAGUAUAUGAUCAUGAUCCCUUAUAGUCCACAAUUAGGGUGUUUCAUUCUUUGGACACUCCUUAGGGAUUCAAAGUUGUCCUUUUGAGUUCCCUAAACACCUUGUGAUUGUGAUCGACUUUUGAUCUCAGUUACAUUCUUGGUCUUGUGAGACAUGGGUUAUUGUUGUGGUGCCCUAUAGUGGUGCCAUGUCCCGUGACCACGGUGCCGCGUCGGAACCUAGAGUCUUUUGUGUGUCCGGAUGACACAAAUUUCUACUGGGCGCGUGCAGGUAUCGAGGUUAUGGACAUGAUCCAUUAUAGCCCCACAACUAAGGUGCCCUCGCUCUUUGAGCCCUAUCAUGGGAACCCAUGCCCAUAUCUUUGUGGGAAUUACCUAAAGCCCCUGACUUGGAUAACCAACAUAUGUUGCUUGAAAGCUAUUGUAACUGUACUCUAUAGUAGGUACCAUGAUCCGUGAUCACGUUAUAGCGUCGAACCUCGUAGUCUCCUGUGGACUGCAGCCAUAAGGAAAUACUACAGGGUGCUCGUUAAACAUCGGGAUCUCUGGUCAUGCUCCACUAUAAUCUACUGUUAGUGUGCUUUCAUCCUCCUUGGAAGCUCAUUUGGAGAUUCAUAUCUUCGUAUGAAUUCUCUAAAAUUCCUGAUUGAUUACAACUUCUUGUUGAUCUUAGUUGUAAUUCUUGGACCAAUCGUAAUUGUUGUAUGAACUUCUCAAAAGUUAAUGUGCUUGACACAUUUCCUUUUCCAUUACUUAACCCCAUGGGUUUUAGUACCCUGGAAAUCUCGGGACGAGAUUUCUUUAAGGGGGAAGGGCUGUAACAUCCCUGAUGUUACGAACACUAAAACUGGAUCAUGUCAUCAUAAGCAUUGCAAAGCAUAUUUGUUAAGCACAUUAUUAUGCAUCAACUUAAAAUAAGGUUAUUUUGGUUGAUUGUGCUUAGGAAAUUAAAGUGUGCUUAUAUUGUGUAUGGAUGUUUGUGUUGGUGAUUAAAACCCUGGGUGGAAGUUUUUCCGAAAGACUUAAGGGGGGAAACCCUAGUUUCCAAAACCCUAGAAUUUGUCCCCUUUUGUGCAAUUCAAAAACAAAGCAAAAUUUGAAGUUGAGUUCAAAAGCAAAGUUGUAAAUCUUGUCAAGAUGUACAACUUUGGUGUUUUGAGUUUUUGAAGUUUCAGUACAAAAUUUAAAGUAAUUUUGAAAAUACAAUUUUCCAGAAAUUGUUCCCUUUUCCGAUUUGAAUCCCCAAUUCAAAAUCUAUUUGGAAUUUUGAAAAGUGGUCAACAUGAAAGUUGUAGGGCUCAAAAAGUUGAACAACUUUCAUGUUGGGAGUUUUUCAAGUUGUUUGGAAAAAUUAAAAGUAAUUUUGGAAAUUCUAAUCUGCUCCAAUUCAAAAUUUGGAAUUUCCCCAAUUUGGGAUUUUGAAAUUCAAACUGUUUUGCCAAAUUCACACUUUUCCACUCAGAUUUAGCUUUGGUCACCAAAAGGAGUUUUGUAGCUUGUAAAAUUCUUCACAACUUCCAUUUUGGUGGAAUUUUGUCUUCAGUUCAAAAUUUGGACGAAUUUUGCAAAACCACAAAACUGGUUGGAUAAAGCUUGCUACAGUAUCCGGAUAUGGAUCACGAGUCCAGUCACCGCGCGGCCGCAGGCCGUGCAGCGCCGCGUGCGCGCCUCGCCGCCACGCAGCUGCUUGCCGGCCGCGUCACCGCGCGACGUGGACGCCCGUGACCUCUGCGUCUCGACCUCUUGAGCGCCUGCGCGGCCGACCUCGAGCUCACUUACUCCGGCGACCGAAAGCACCCAGUGAAGCUCCACCGUCCAAUACCCUCUACACGCAACCCCUCUGGCCAAUUCGAGUUCUCCAACACCUUCGCCAUAUCCUUGCGAACCCCGUGUACGCCCAGGAACCCUCCCUGCCCCUCUCAAUCGCCCGGGCGCCGUCUUUCUUCCUCAGCUCCGGCUGAAAACGCCGCCGAGGAGCACCUCAACGUGGACAGGCCACCUCGAGCCAUUGCAGGACAAGCUACGGCCACCAUCAGGUGCGCACUAGUCCGGGCGAGCUUCCCCGCUGCUCCAAUGCCGCCGACGAGCACUCCAGCGCCGAAACCACGAUCUCCGGCGAGUUCCUCUGUUUUCAGUCGCGGCCAGGGACUUCGGGCGACAAUUUGAAGUUUCCCAGGGGUCUAAUUGCAGAGACUGUGACUCAGGUGAAUAGUGCUAUAAGGACUUGUUUGUAGAUGUUUUGUUGAAUCUUUAAAAAUUCAUAUCUAGAGUUUGGUAGCUCCAAUUUUGGUGAACCAAAUUUUGUUGUGCUCCUUGAGAUGUCUAGUUUUUAUUAAAAAUAUGAAACUGACCAUGUUUUGUAUUAAAAUAAUUGGUUAUGAUUUAUGCCUUUUAAUUAUGUUUAAAAAAGGAGAAAUUCAUAUCUUAUUCUGUGUAGAUCCUAUUGCCCUGAAAUUUUUAUGGUGUUCUCAUGAUGUUAUGUGAAUGUUGCAGUAAAAAUUUCAUGUUCAGUAAAUGAUAUAUGGUUAAGUUAUUAAUUUAUCUUAUUUAAUGCUUAUUAAAUAGUUUAAAAUUAAACUAAAAAUAAAUAAAUGUAAAAUAUGGUUCCACUGCCUUUAUAUGAGGUCUUUAUAUCAUACAAAUACAUAAUUUAGCUAUGUGUUUGUAGAAAAUGUCGAGUUUCUUAUUUAUCUUGAUGCUACAUGCUUUCUUGUGAUGGAAAUUUAUCUUUUUCAUGGAAAUUGCUAUACUUAUACAAAUGGUAUGAAAUUUAUACAGUAGACUUUGGAGAGCAUAUAUGUGCUUCUGUAGUUUUCUCAGAUUUUAUUGUGUACUUUUGAUAUAUGGUUAUUACUUUGUCUAUUUAUCUAAAUAAAUUAAUAAAGACAUAAAAAGAAUUUAUUUAGGGAUGACCAUGAUAUUUUCUAGUAUCUCUUUGAUGUAUUUCAACUUUUGGUGAGCUGGGUUUUGCCCAGGUUCAAGUUUGGAACAUAAAUGAAAUAUGAUUUCUCUAUAAUUUAAUUGUUAGUGGUUUCUUGAUAGUUUUUAGAGCAUUAUGAAUUUCUCUAGGUAAAUAAUGUUGGAUAUGAAACUUGUCUAUAACAAAGUUGUAUAGAAUUCAUGUAUCUAGCUGGUGUUAAAUUUUGGUGGCAUUUGGCUCUAUAGUUUCUGAGUUAUGCCUGUUUAAAUUUAAGUUUCAGAAAUGGUUUCUUUCUGUCAAAUCCUGGAUCAGUUUCUGUAGUUGUGCAAUUUCAACCUACUAAACUUAUGAAUUAUGUUUUCAUGAUAAAAGAUGAAUUGUAGUAAUUUUCAUAAGCUUUCCAAAAUGUUAUGGAUCAUGAAUUUUGAUGAUCUAGAACUCUGGUUAUAGAUGUAUGAAUCUUAAUGUCUGAUUCUGUCCAAGGUCUGGACAGAAUUGUUUAUUCAUACUGUUUGGCCAUGUUAUCUAUUAAAUCAGUUCUCGAAGAUAAUAAUAAAGUUGUAGAAAAUUAUAUAAGCUUUCCAGAAAGUCUAAUAUCACCUUUAUUGGAUGCUUGGAUCUCUAAUUAUGGUUGAAUAAAGUUGUGUAUAUGCUGCUGUCCUGGUUAUGUUGGUAAAUAGAGUUGAUUGUUUUAGCUAGCCUUUACUUAAAUAAUGAUUAGCUUAAUUUCCAAAUUAGAAUUUGAGUGCUUUUGGGAUUAUGUGAUGACCUGAGGUCAUUAUCUUUUAAUGACCUUUGGCACUUAAUUAUUGUUUGAUGUUAAUACUUAAUUAUUGUCUUUAAUAUUUAAUUAAGAAUUUAUUAAGAUAAAUAGAAAGCAUAAUCAUUUUAGGUUUUGAUUGAUCUUUGGGAUUGAUUGAUAACCAGUGGCUACUUGACAUGAUAUGCUCCCUGGUUAAGGAUUCUUUCAUGUAAAUGAUCUUUGUUGCUUAAUAACUACACAACAUUGCUUAAUGAAGAUGAUAAAAUUUGCUUAGUAGUAAUCUAUGCUUUGAUAACUAAGUUAGUUUGUUUCUAUACCAUGAAGGUGAGUUGUACUCGAGGUAGUUUUGUUUGUUGUUAUCAUCCAAGAACAUGUAACCUGUCUUUAUCAUGUCAUGAGCAUCUCAUUGAUCAUGCAUAUGCACCUCUACGUGUAGACUACGCUCCAGAGGAAUCUGAUCCUCAGUGGGUUGCUUCCGAGUUUGUGGGUCCAUCUGGUUUUGCUGAGUUGUCGGACUUCCCUUCCGGUCAAGGCAAGCCCCGGACAUUAAACCCUAUCCUUGUAUUUUCAUAAAGUUAUUUAUAUCACUUGAGUUAAUAUGAUGCAUUAGGUGAAUAGGAGUUGAGUGAAUCCUAUUUGCUGCAUUAUCUACCUUGAUGAUUUCCAUAUUAACCUUGAUACCUGCUUUAUGAAAAUGCUUAGUAUGCUUAGCCCUGCUUAUUAGAUAAGUUUUCAAAUGAGAACGUUUGAAGGGUCGUUGUGGAAUACUGUUAUGGUUAAUAAUGUUUAAACUUGAGACCGGUCGGUGGACUUGCUUUAAGAAUGGAGUCUUAAAGUAGUGUCUCCAACUGUGUCGAUUAAGGACCGUACCGUUGAUUGGCCUGUUGUGAUUGAGAACUUUGAGUACAGCCCACAUGCGGCGGUAAGCCUUACCUAUAGCUAUUCCGAUACUUGAGAACGGCUAACCGCGUACUGGGAGUGGAAAGAUGGCGAGAGUAGCGUGUACCCACCUUACGGAUCUGAGAUGACCGGGAAACAUCUAGAUUGGCUGUAGGAUGGUGGUGUACUGUACUCUCGGGUGACGCUGGACCCGUUCUUGUAUGGGAGGAUCUAUAGAAAAGGUUGACAUAUGCAAGAUUAAGUUCUACAUAUGUCGUGUGGUACUGAAUCCCCAGCUGGGUUUAAUCGAUUCGAAUCGCCGUGUUUCCUCGGAUAUGGAGCCUCAAUCCUCACACCAUCAUCGUAGUAACAAGUGAAUCUUUGGUAUAAGAAAGAUGUGGUAUACUUAUGCAAGUUUGAUAAUAGUUUUGGUUAGUCAUAAAUGAUAACCUUGAGUUAAAACUUGAAAGUAGGUUUAAUCUUAGUAAGCUUUUAUGCAAAAGAAAUGCUUUGAUCUUGCUAAAGCUUUACCUUGAAUCCCUAUAGCCUGCAUACCUGAGUCUUCACCUCUUUUCUAGUCGGUUAAGUCUUGUUGAGUACUUUUGUACUCAGGGUUUUAUAACCCCUGUUGCAGGUGCUGACUUAGACUGCUAAUGGAGGUCAUGUCGGUGGGCGCGACAUGAUUUAUCCACCUCUUCUACCUUAGAAGCUUCACCUAAGAUGCUUCCGCUACUCUAUACACCUUUUGGAAAUUUAGUUAAGUUUAUACUUCAUCAUAUGUUGUAAAUUAAGUUAUAAAUCUUCCGCACUCUGAUGUAAGUUAUUUUUGUAACAAAUGUUGUAAUGUUGUGGUAACUCCAUGUUGAUCCUGUAUGAGAUAAAAUGUGGAUGAUUCGGGGUCCUCCGAGGAUACCCGACAGACUUCUUGAGUCAUUUGGAACUCGUGCAUGCCGAUCACAAGUCUUGGAGACAAUGAUGGGUGCAUGUGGGCCACUUAAUUCAGGAGGUUCUGCCACAUUUUGUCCCUUUUUUUCCCCACCUCUAUACAAGUGCAGUUUAAGUUCAAAUUUGGUGGAAUGGUUUAAGGCAUUGUUUAGUUUUAAAAAAAUUUUGUAAAAUUUUUUAGAUUCCUCAUCACAUCGAAUAUUGCGAUACAUGUAUAAAGUAUUAAAUAUAGAUAAAAAGUUUAACUACACAGUUUGUUUGUAAUUUAUAAGAUGAAUCUUUUGAGUCUAAUUAGUCCAUGAUUGAACAAUAUUUGUCAAAUAAAAAUGAAAAUGUUGCAGUGUUUAUUUUGAAAAAAAAAAGAAAACUAAACAAAGCCUAAGAUAGGGAUGUAAGACGGGUUAUCCACAAACUUGUAGAUAGGUUUAAUUUUGCGAGUGACCUAUAAUAAACCGUCUUGCAUCUCUAGCAUAGGACAUUAUAACUUAACCUAACAACGCGUUAAGCAUUUAUUAUGUUUCCUUACAUUUAGAGCGUAUAGCACUAAGUUAACCCUGGUGACACAUAAUUGUAUUGAAAACUACGAUGGGAAAAUUACCAACAUAGUUUAUCGUACCUUUUCUAUAAACCAAGCAUAUAUGGUGAGUACGACAGAGUGCUAAGCGCUCCUGCCUGAGUACAGAGAACCGAAUGAUGGAAGAAAUAUCCUGCCUGUACUAUGUUUUCGAAAGUCCAGCGUGGCACGGGUAGUUGAGGAGCUUGAAGCGGUGAGGUGAACAUGAGCUAGUACCACAUGCACAAAUCUCCCGAUCCACAUUGUGUACGUGCGGCGGUGCCGAUGCGUGGAUGCACUUUACUACCCUAACCACCACGGAUCAUCCAUCUGACCAUCUCGGUUAAGUAUGAAGUAGCAGUAAUGCACGGCUAGCAUUACCUCACCGGACGACUGUACCGUGCGUACGUAUAUACGUAUACCUUGUCAGUCAAGUUGGCACAACACAAUGUGGGGGGCCGGCCGUACGUGUGACAUAAUCCUCUUUUCCGUGCAAAAGGUACGGUGGUCGAUCGAUGCAUCCGAGGGACGCUGCUACAGUCUCAGAGGUAAAACAACCUCCGGCCCCGUGGAUCAGAUCGGAUCAUACACGAAUCAUACACUGGAGCGUUCCGUUCCGUACGAGUAAAAUGUGCCACGGGGGUCAUAAACGGACGGGGCCAGCAAUGAUCGCGUGCCAGCUCGGUGGUGGCUGGGUCAGGCAUGCAGCGGCACGGACAGCAUGGGCCGUGUGGCAGCCAUACCGACGAUCGGAUGGAUGGAUGGAUGCAUGAAUUCGGGAGAGGACGACAUGACAUGGCAUGGCAUGGCAUGUUCACGCGCCGGGCAUUGCAAGCUGAUCGAUGGCGCCCGGGCCCCAGGGCGGGGGACGACGACGACGACGACGGGUGAUCCAGCAGCUAGCUGGCUCCGACGAGGCGUAUUCAAGUACUCAUACCGGGCAGCUUUGAAAGGUCAUUCACCCACACGCAUGGCUGCGUGUUCGUCGUUCCGCCUGCUGCGCGCGCGCGUUGGCGUGGAGACGUGGAUAGGAAUCGUCGCAGCGCGGAGUUAGACCGCUGCCGGGGGCACGGGGCGCGCUCCGCCGCUCGCCUUUAAACACCAGCUGACCCUGCACGCAGCGUCCUCUCGGUCGCCGGCAGCGCGGCCAGUGCACUAAAAUUUCACAACUUGCGGUACGACAGCCAGUUGCGCUCAUUGGUCAUUGCCACACGGGCCAAUAAUCGGCCAGAUUGCCAAUAAUUGCUUUUCAUGGGCUGGCGUCGUGGCCGCUGGCCGUGUUAACUGCACAAUUGAUACGUCCACGAUCGAUGAAUCUACUGUACGAACGCGCGCCGUCUAUGGAGGAGGACUGGCUGGAACUGGAAAGCAUCCGGCGCAACAAAGUCUCCCGAGACCGAGACAACCGACAUGCAAAGCAUUGGCUGAUCCGCACACCGCCGAUGGAGCGCCUCGGCCAGCCCCGGCCCGUCCGUCCGUGGGGGUCUCGAGGCCUCGUCGAUCGGGUCCGGGUCCCGUCUCCCGUGAGUCGUGACGCCAUCCCGCUCCCUUUUCCAGCCUGUGUGCUGCUCGCAUGCUCUGCUCUGUCCUACUACUCGUGCCUCGCAUCGCAUGCACGCCGCGCACGGGGACGUACGAUACCAUACGGCCUCGGGACUGUCACGUGCUGUCCUCCUCCGAUCCUCGCCUCUAUCCGCGCACGCGCAGAGGAGUCCGUCCGUGUCGCGUUGCCUUCCACGGCGGCGCGGCUCACCCCCCUCGCGCUUAUCCAUUCAUGCCCGGGCCCGGGAGGCAGUCAGUCGUCGUUCUCGCCCGUCGCCGCUCGGUGGCCUCGCUCGCUCGCGCGCCCACGCCCACGCCCACGCCGAUCGAUCAUCCAUCACCCGGCCCGGCCGUGCACACGCUCCCCUUUGAUCCACAUAUCCGUCUGCUACGUCAGCUCUGUGUUUCCGCGCCUAGGCCUCAAGCGCGAUUCUGCAGGCCCAGGCCAAGGAUAGUCCGGUGCGUGGUGCGCGUGCGCUGCUGCAUGCCUUUGCCUGGCAGCCGCGGCAGGCUACGGCUAUGGAUGCCUGGCUGGCACGCACGCACGCACGCACGGAUGGGAUUGCCUGCGGCUGCGUACGACGUGGCGGAAGGCAGGCGAGAGCGAGACGCGGGGGGAAGGUACGGCGCGCCGCUGAGCUAUGCAAUGCGAUUGAGAUGGUGGAUGCGCGCGGCUGGCACUGGCGUCUGGCAGGCAAGCAAAUGGCAACCAGCUGUUGGCAAUCAUCAUGUGGGGAAAGAGAUGCAUCAGCGGGAUAUGUGCAUGUCCGCCGCCGGCUGGGUCCCUCGCUCCCGUUGUGUCAGUGUACGCCAUCAUGGGCUCAUGGUCCCACUGCCUGUUAAUCCUCGCUUCAGAUGAUCAGUGGCUGCUUAACCCUUUUUGUAGUAGUGUUGUUUCUUCGCACAGGCACAGCGUUAAACUUUUCUUUUUAAGGAUCCAGCGUUAUACUACGGUAAUCAAGAGCAUGACGAGGAUCCGGGGCUACAAACGUUUGAUCCGAGGCUUUGUAGCUCCGUCUACUAUCGCGGUUAUUGGAAGUGUGUUUCUGGUUGCCUAGAUGGAUACACAUCUUCUCUAUCAUAAAUUUUUUGAAAUUCAUUCCCACGAAAAAUCAAACCUAGAUCUCACCGAGGCUCUUCUAACCGCUGCGCUACAGGUCUCUUCGCUACAUCUGUCAAUAAUUAACCAUACACUCUUCUAUUCUUUUUACCUGUGCCGUGUACGGUAGCCACGUAAACACACCCGUUACAAACUCUUCAUUAGUAUUACAUUCACUGAGAUAUAUCAACAUAUGCGUAAGUUGAAGCUAUUGCAGUGAGCUCCAAACACAGCCACACGUGCAAUACAACCGAUAGUCUACGAGUUUUGCUGCCUCCUUUAAGGCCUUGUUUAGUUCCUAAAUUUUUUUGCUUUGAGUUAAUGUAGCAUUUUCGUUUUUUUACAUGACAAAUAUUGUCCAAUUAUAUAUUAAUUAGGCUCAAAAGAUUCAUCUCGCGAAUUACAAGUAAACUGUGUAAUUAGUUUUUACUUUCGUCUAUGUUUAAUGCUCUAUGCAUGUGCCAAAAGAUUUGAUGUGACGAAGAAUUUUAUUUUUUUUUUUUUAGUUUUUUGGGUAAACUAAACAAGGCCUUAACUUGAUCAGCCCAUCCAUGUCUUUGCUACAAAGGUUCGUUCACUUGUCCGGCUCCUCUUGGAUUAAAGGCCACCCAUAAUUUCUGGUAGGAAUCCAUCCAAGAGGCAAGGCCCAAUUAUCCUUGAGAUAAACUGCAUCAGAACGGCGGACCGCUCGUCUUCGUAUCGUAUCCCUCGGCCUUUUAAUUGGCCCAUCGCCAAGCCCGUAAAGCCGUACUAAGUCUGUUUCCACCAAGGGCCCCAAGUGAAGAAGCCCAUGCAUACAGAUGACAGCCCACUUCGGUUCCUAAGCGUGACAAACGUCUAGCCCACCCACAUCCAGCCUCUUACCCAGUUUCAAGUCACUUGGACCUUUCCGACCUUUUAACCGCUGCUGCUGUCGCCCUAUAGGCCCGUUUCUGUUGUUCCCACCCCUGCAGCCAGUUUCUUGUCACUAGCCCAUAUUUAGCUCGUGGGCUCAUUUCGUUUGUUGGCCGAAUUCUGCGCCAGUUCUCUUUUUUCGUUCUUUAUUAUUUCGUUUCUCUUUUGUUUUAACUAGAAAUGCUCGCGGCGUUGCCGCUUAUGGCCGGUGUGUGGCCUGUUUAAAGCGUUCUCUUCUAUGCAGCACACAGAGUAGCAGCAGUAUCUAUUGUUGGACGUCAAGGCGAUAAUGCUGAGAUAGAUAAACAAGUAUAAUUGGAGGUUGGUAAUAAUCAGCAACCAGAAGGAUAAUUUAGCAAGUAAGGUUUAGUUCCGUAUCCGAAGAAUUAUGGCAACAGUUAGCUUCUAGUUCGCCCGCUGUUUGGCUUCCAGGAUCUCCUGCAGCCCUCUUUCCUCUACCUCUAUCCUCUCUUUCCCUCCCCCUCUUCUCUUUCAGCUCGUAUGGGCUAGAAAUGUGUGCGUCGUUGCCGCUUAUGGCCAGUGGAUGCGUGUGUCUAUGUGUUUUUGUUUUUUUCAUUGUACGGCGUAGAUUUUAAAUGUAUUCAUUUUGUUUGUUUACAUGCGUGACAUGAUGUACUCAUAUAUGCGAGUGUACGGAAUGCCAUAUAUAUAUAUAUAUAUAUAUAUAUAUAUAUAUAUAUAUAUAUAUAUAGGGUCCAUUUUCUAUAUUCCCACGAGUAGAUACUCCCACCGAGAGUAUACGCAGCAUCCUAUGUUCAUCUGGUUAACGGGCCGACUAAUAUGCAACCCGUUUAGACUGUUUGCAUGCGGCCGGCGUUCAUCUAGCCAACGGCUGUUACACCUCCUUGUUUUAUGGGGCCAGUUGUACGGACGUAUAUGCUUUUCGAAAGUAUGGACACAUACUUUAAUAUAUAAAAUGAGUAUAUUGCAGCAUAUAUAUAUUUGGGAGUAUGUCCGUAUACUAGUGCAAUUUUAUUAUAGACUAUAUGUAGCUUUUUUAGGAGAAAAAAAUAGUAUGCUAUUAUGUGGGCAUACUAUUUGAAGGAAGUAUGCAUAUAUAUUAGUAUAUAUUAGUACGAGUACGUACAUUUUUUCCGUAGGGUAUGCAUGGCAGAGAAGUAUGUACAUAUACUCUAAUUUUUAUGUGGCCUUUUUUUUGAACAGAUAUACUUUAUAUGAGUACGUAUAGAUUUCGGAGUACCGAGAGUACAUGCAUGUAUAUGCAUAAACUAUACUUCGAGUAGAUAUCCAUACUAUCUCGAGGAUCAUUUAAAUAUAAGUAUGUAUAUAUACUAUUUUGUAUCAGUAUCUAUACUCAGUACUCUACAAGCAGGUAUUAUGGACCAUAUACUCUACUAUGCAAGCAAGUAUGUACAUAUACCAAAGGAUACACGGAGUAGUGAGUAUAUACGUAUAUUAGGAGUAGGCCACGUAUACAUGAGAGUAUGAGUCCAUAUAUGUUUAUAAUGAGUAUGAGACAUUACGUGUUUAUAGGAAGUAUGAAUACAUACAUGCAUGUUUAUACGGAGUAUGAUACAUACAUGUUGGCAGGGAAUAUGCACGGACUAUUCGUGCGAUGAAUAUGCAAAAGAAUUAUGUAGAGAAAUGGAGAUUCUGGCCAUUAGCAUCUUGACGCUAGAAUAAAGACACUAUAAAGCAAAUCUUCUGAAUCCAAAAAAAAAAAAAGAAAGCAGAUUUUGUGAAUUAAAAAGAGAAAAGAAAACAGAUCUCGCAGUGUACACGGAGAGGGCCCAUGUCAAAUGAUGAAGAAGGCCGCCGCCGGAGGAAGGCGUGACGAAGAACGCCACCAGGCCACCCAUCUGCACACCGAAGGCGUUGGCCAGGACGCGCCGCCGUCAAGGGAGCACGCGAUGGAGAUCUCGGGUGUUGGAGGCAAUGCAGGCAGCAUCGGAUCUCGAGCAACUUGCAGCGACAGAGGGGCGAGGUCACCAUCGACGACGCUGCCGGAGAGCUGAAAGGGCAGAGAGCGAGCGUCCGGCUCUACCCGAGGCCGAAGCGAAUAAAGCCGCCGCUGCCGCCGCCACCCCGACGGGGCGUGGCUGUUCGACGCCCGCAAAUGACGACUAAAUCUACUUAUAUAUUCAUUAUAUUAACGGGUCCGCUUAAUGAACCCGCUAAUGAACCUCUUGCGCCAAGUUGGAAGACUCUUUGGGUGUAAUGUGGGAGUAGUUACUCCUAGGGAGUAGGAAAAAUUUACCAUAUAUAUAUAUAUAUAUAUAUAUAUAUAUAUAUAUAGUGAAGUAUUUGGCUUCGUAUAUCUAUGUUAGGAUUAUUUGUUUUGGAUUAUUUUGUAUUACGAGUUAGUAUAAAAUUAAAGGAUUAGGAAACGAAGAUUAUAAAAAAAUUAUGAAUUAAUUUAGAGUUAAGGUGGGGAGAAUUAGAAAGCAAAGAUUAGAGUUAAGGUGGGGAGAAUUAGAAAGCAAAGAUUAUGAAAAAAAGGUAUGAAUUUAUUUAGAGUUGAUUUUGGGGAGAUAUUUUUAGUUCAUAUGUGAUAUGAGCAAAAAAAUAAUCACUGACAUAAAUUAUAGAUGUAUAUAUCUAUCAAAUAUAAUACAUUAAAUCAUAUGAUAUUUUAAGUUAAAUGCAUAGAUCUAGUCAUAAGAAACUCAACAAAAUUAGUUUGGUAUUUUUAUGAUUUUUCUAUAAUUUUAUACAAAUUUUUGGAGAUCUCUAUUUUGAGAAGAAAAGAUUAAACAUUAAUAGGAAAAUAAAAAUAACAUGGGCCGUAUUUGGCCCACUUAGGCCCAGCAAGCUUGAGGCCAACCCAGGCAGGCGGAUAUGGACUGAUCUUUAAUUCCUAUAAAGUUUGAGGACUAUUUUGAAUAAAACCUGAGAGAGUGGGUUGGACGACGGGUUAUAUUUCAACAAAGUGAGAGGGCGUUUGUGCAAAAUUACAGAGAGUGGCCCGAUAUGGGCCGUCUGGCCGGCCGAUCAUACGGCCUGGACCUUCUUUUGGUGCGUGAAUCGUAUUCAGGAGAUUCGUUGCGUGUUUUUUCCUUCUACGAGUCAUCUUCUCUUUUCAUUGUUUUUCAAUUCAUUUCAUUUUAUCCCCGACGAAGGGGGACUUUGAUUCAGAAUUCAGAGUGCGUUCCAUUGCUGUAUGCAAGCUAAAUUGAUCUCCAACUCCAAGGACAUGUUUUCACUAAGAAAAUUAUGAAUAAAAAGGUGAAUCGAGCACUUAUCUGCAAAAGUUCCCGGAGUGUUGGACACCACAGGCACUGUAAACUCCGACAGAAACUCGUAACAACGGUAUUACCUCUUCAGUAUAAACAAAUACAACAGCUUUCUGGCCCGUAAGCUACUGAAAAGUUGUCAUCCAGUACAAAAUGCACAUUGGUUGUGGCGGGUCCUCCUGCGCCCAAUCAAAAAAAGAACGUAUAUCAUUCAUAUUGCCCUGCAUAUGCAGGAUUCUCGAUCGUACAUAUUACGCGUGCGUUUGGUUUGGUUUGUUUUCAAUAUAAAGCUGACUAGUAAAAUUAAGUCAGACUAUUUAGCAAGGCACACAAAUACACAAUACAACAGUCAUGAACCAAGCAAGCAAGCAAUCACAGAUUCACACAAACAAACAAUCGAGUGAAACCUCACCCUAUAGUAGCAAGCGCACAAAGAUCGCAUGCACCGCCGCCGCUCUUUCCUCCUCAACCGCCGCAUAGAGCUCGCCAGCACCACAACUCUUUCCUCCCCAACCGCCGCGCAGAGCGUGCGAGCGCCUCCAGGCGACCGCAGGCACUCGCACAUGGCGGCAAGAGCUCGACCGCGGCACGGAGCUCCACCGCAGGCCACUGCACGGGAGCACCACAGCAUGCCUUCCAAGUCCGAAUAGGACCUCUGCCUCCUCGACCACUGAAAGCUCCAAUGCAGCCAGAUCUAAGUGACGAGGGGAGGCUGGAGGUGGUGCGGCCCAUGUGAAGGAAGGGGGGAAAGGGGGUAGUGACACGAUACGAGAGGCUUGCUGUGGUCUUGCUCUAAAAGAAACAGCAACCCCGUGUUUUUUUAGACCUCCGGGUGUGUGGGUGGCCGGUUGGAGCCUGGCUUCAGGAGCUGGCCUAGGAAUAAAACAAUGUAAAUGUGGCCUAACCAAACCAAAAGGUAGGUUAAGAGCCUAACCAAACACACCAUAUGUGCAUCACUUGAGUUUAUUACCGAAUAUAAUAUUUUUUGUCUCACAACAAAUCAGUGAAAUCAACAACUUUUUAUCUAAGCGAACAGCACCAUGUGUUGGUCUAUAACGCCAUAGUAUUUCAUCAUGUGCCUGUAGUAGUUCUGCAGUGAAGGGCCACGAGCCCACGAUGCAACUCUCUGCUCGAUUCGAGAGAAUCAGUGAGAACUAUAUGGUGGUUACUUUUUUUUGCUGUACAGCAACGAACACAUAUGCACAACACAGAUGAACGAGAAUGAGAAACACCAGUACUUACAACAGUAGUAGUAUGUUACAGUGCUAUUUUUUUUUUGAAAAUCUAAAGGGGGGGGAGAGUUUCCCCACCUUUAGGCUCCCUUUGGCAGCAGCGAAUCCCGGAGGGAUCCCGGCUUUUUCUCCGGGAGAGAAUCCCGCGCGGCUAUUUUCCACGAACCACGACAUGCGUCCAUUUGGAAGACCGCCACCCAGGUCUCUCGGCCCCACAGGAGCAGGGUUUUCACAGGGAAUCAAGCCUGGCUUGCAGACAUGGGGCGUCAUUCCCCGUCUGUUUCCCUCGACUCAACUCCCCUCCGUCGCGUCCCCUCCGCCUCGCCUCAACUCUCCUCCAUUGCCGCCGCUCGGCCCUCACCUCGACUUCUCCUCCAUCGCCGCCACCGUGCAACACCAGCACCACCGUCUCCCGACUCUACAGGUGAGCUCGCUUCCAUCUGUAUCUCUCUGUACCGCAUCUAGGGUUUCCUGAUUCGAUCAUCACCAUGUUUCUUGUAGAUGUUGGGGCUGCGGACGGCAGCAUCUUCCUCCCCACUCUGCCCCGUGCAUCCGCUCCGCGUCUCUGCCCCCAUUCUAUUCCGCAAUCCAUCCUCACCGCUGCCCGCUUUUCCUCGACGCUGACCAACGCCGAUCCGAUCCCCGGGGCGUACACGCACGGCAUGGCACGGUGAGCACCCUCCCCCUGCCCUCGAUCCCCCCGCUGCUGGUACUAGGCUUCAGUUCGAGGGAGGUAGCCGUCCGCCGCACUAGGCCUUUGCUUGUCCCGACCAGAACUGCAGGCGACUCGCGAUUGGGGUCGGCUCGCCGGCGGAUUGCUGGUUUCGUCGCGUGAGGCCUUAGUGUACAGCAUCUCCUUUCUAAUCUGCACAAACUUGAGGCCGAGCUCUGUGCUGGAAACAUACGCUUUCACCAAGUCAUCGGACAGCUUGUUGAGCACAAGACCGAGGAGCCAGCUCGCCGACCCAAGAGCAGUCUCCAUCUUUCCUCCGGCCGCAGGGAAGAUGACUCUGAAUUUGCAAGUAACUAGAGAUUUUUGGUAGCAAGUUUAGUUAUGGUUCUAAUGUCGAGUUUGACUCUGAAUUGCUCAAUGCUGGAGCAUGAAGUCCCAUGGCAAAAUUUCAUCCAAAAAAGUUCAUAUGCUUACUCUGAAGUUUGCGCGGCUCCAUAGUAGUCCUUUGACUCUGAAGUUUAUUUAUAGCAAGUUUAUUUCUGCUUACUGUAUACACUAUAUAGUUCAUAUGCUUUGAUUUCUUUAAUUUUUAACACUUGCUUUUUUUUAAUCGUCGUCUGCUGCAGGUAGUUGACAUCUCAGUCCAUCUUCACCAGGCCAGGCUGCCAUCGUCCGGUCCUCAGUCCUCAUUGCCUUUCUUGCUUUCUAAGAGUAGUCUCCCUGCCUCGCAUUGCUUGAUCUAAAAUAUAAACAUGCAAUCCUAUGUUUCUAGCACUAACUGGUUCUGGUAGAUCCAGUUUACUGGUUCAUGAAUGCACUUGUUGAUAUGAAUUGGUAGCAUGAACUGGUUCUGGUAGAUCCAAUUUUUAACACAUGCUAGAAGUUUUUCUGCACAAUUGCACUUGGAAGCAUUAGCCAUAGGUUGAUAGUUUUCUGACAGGUGAAGUCUGUUGUGUCAGUUUCCUUUUUUAAUUUUUGACUUUGGUUCGAGGGUUGCUGACUUUGUUUCAGUGUGUGGAUUAAAAUGCCUAUUAGUCACUACUUGCUGCUGUCCACAAAACACUGCACAUGUUUUGUGAUUUAGGAUAGGCCUCAUUAGAUCUUGAUUGGAAAAUUAAAUACAGUAGCAGCUAACCUAAAAUAUACAGUUCAUUGUAAUUCAUGCAGCCAAAGAGGUAAAUUACCAACUCAUCCUGAUUUAUCUAUUGCAAAAGUGCAGAAUACUUGGUGGAAGCCGUGCAUGAUUUGAGAUGAGUGAGGUGAUACUUCAGUGCUUAUAUUCUUCUUUCCUUUGUCUUUAGAAUCCAGUAGUCCUUUCGUAGCUGUAUUAUCACACCUGUUAUUGCAGCAGGGUGAAUAACUAACACUUUAUCUUUAGUUUGGACUGUGCAAUGAUAGCACUGCAUGACGUUAUUCCUUUUUUCCUCAUUUAUUGUGCCAUGUCUGCUGCUCAUGUUUGUUUUAAGAACAAUUUCAAUCAGAAGCAAUCGUCAAUCCUAACCCAAUCUUCUAGUUUAUCUAUAUUUUUGGUAGGUACCACAAUCUGUCCUAUGCUUCAUCCAUUUUUUUUUCCAGUCAUGCCCAUGCUGCAAUGUAUGCCUAACUAACGAAUUAAUAUUGUUCCUCCAUUAUGUCAUUUUUCUUUCAGAUGUUGAUAUGCUUAGAACUCCCUGUUUGUUUGUGACAUACCAUUCUUUUGCCAUGAGGAUAUAAGACUGCCAUGUUUAAGUGGCUUAGAGAGCUUCAGCUGUGAAGGUGCCUGAUCGAAGUCCCUCGAAGAAAAACCGCACUAUGAGAAACCAGCACGGUUAUCAGAUUUUGGGGUGUAUUAAACAGAUUAUUUCAACCACUGUGCCAAGAAGAACCCAAGCAUUACCGGUUCCCAGGAGAAGAAUUUUUCAUUUUUUUGUAUAUAUGUUCAUAGACUAGGUCAUUAUAACCCGGUUUAUAUCUAUCUAUUGUAUGUAAAGGAUGGAGAACCAUCUGUUUCAAUGCUAUCGCUAGAUUUUAGAUGAUAAUUAUUAGACAUGAUUUCAUAUUUGAAAUAUCAUUUUUGUAUAGAGAGACCUAUUCCUGAGUUUUUUCACGGUUUUGUGGUUUCAACGUUAAUCUCUGGUAGCUUCCUUAAAUUCUGAUUUUUUAUGAUUUGUUUAAUAUAUUAUUUUAAAAUUCGUCGAUAGUGAUAAGAGCAACACCAGAAAAUCAAACUGACAAACAACUCUCGCAAGUCCUCAAUUGGCUGCCAAACAGCCGCAGGAAAACUCACCCCCGCAGGUUAUCCUCCCCGUGGUGGUGGCGGGAAUCAAAAAUCCAAAAAUUUCCACGCGCGUGGCUAUAUUCCCUGGGCUACUUUGCCCCGCUGCCAAAGUAAGCCUUACAGUGCUAUGAUGCAUGGAGCAUGGAGCCGUGCAUGUAUAAUGCACUGCUGUAGAGGUCACUACCACCAUUCCGAUCUGAUGUUACGUGCCACACAUCACCAACAACUACUGUAUGUGUGGUGUGGUGGUGCAGUGGUGCCGCAUCAAAUCUACGGGAUCGGGCCGUCGGGGAGCCACCGGCCGAUCCAUGCUGCUGCGUGCCAUUUAUGGCAACGCCGUGCACGUACCGGUUGCUGCCUCCUUGCCCUGUGCAGGCAGCAGGCGAAUGAUUCGACGUCUGAAAAGCACGCACGCCGGGACGCCCCCCCCCCCCCCCACCACCACACUCGAUCGACACCCGCGGCUUCAGAACUGCAGCGCAAGUGCGGACGACGACGACUGACGAGUCGACGCCUCCUCUCCAGCAGUCCGGUCGUGCUUGCAGUCCCAGCUAAGCAAGCGAACGGUAUAUCGUCGGAGAUGGAGGACGACGGGAGCAUUGCUGUCCGAUAUAUAUAUCACCGACCAAACGAAACGAAACGGACCGUACAUGUCAGUGUGCCUGACUCGACGAUUUGUACUCUGUGCUAGAGCUAGUACAUGCCGGCCCGACACAUUUAGGUAUCGCUAUACUGCUGUCAUAGAAGUCACUCUUGCUUUCUGAUAAGUAAUUUUUUAAAUAUACUCAACGAUCUAAUAUUUUUUGUAAUAGUUUAUUUUAAUAUAUAAAUAUUGUACGUAUUUUCUAUAAAUCUAAUUAAAGUUGAACAAAGUUUAACUUCCACUUAUUUCAUAACACCUUUUUUCUUGGACAGGGAGUAUGCAUAUACUCUCUCUAUUUGCUACGCAGGCUUUGUACAUUGAGCAGGUUUUGUAAAAGCUUUUGUUUGUUUCGAUUCUCUUUCAAACUUCAUUAUGGGUCUAUCUUAUCCAUCAUGCGACAAUAACGAUCGUUGGAUCCUAAUCCUACAGUUCAGCAGUCAUCUUCAACCUCACCUCUGUCGGUCUUCUUCCCUCCGAGGCUACGCCCUCUUCCUCCUCUUCGCCCCCGCUGCGGUAUGCUAGGGUUUCAUUGGAGCUUUGCGGCCAUUAUUCUCCUCCCCCUCCUUCCACGGCGUGCUCCAGCCAAGCUCGCUUGCCCCGACCUGGCUUGGUCGUCUCCACCGCCACUAGCGUGCCCUAAACCGCCACGGUGCUAUCAUCCCCACCGCAUGCAUUGGCUGGUCUUCGUCUCCCUAAAACCUCUUUUUCUUCUAAGCCAGUUGGGGAAAAAGAGAGCAGUGUGGGCGUGUGGCCGUCAGACACGAGUGUUGUGGUGGGGAAGAUGAAAGGUGCGUUUGGUGUGGGCGUAGGCAUGGCUAACUGACACGAAGGCAAAUAUCAUACGACUAAGGAGGAGUAAUUCUGUUAUUGAUAUGAUUUGUUCAGGCACGUCGUUAGCAAAUAGACACGCGCCAACGAUGGCCGGACCGCGGCGUCCAAUUUUGUCAGUUCCUUUGGAGACGGUAUACCUUGUUGCUGAUGUUUGUCUCGCUCUGGCUCAGUCGCUCGUCACCAUCUCAUAAAACCAUGGAAACAACAACUGUGAAAAAAAGAUAGAUCAGAGGAUAGGAACUGCAGAAAGGCAAGGAGGUACAUAAAUAAUCCUCUCACUUUAUCUGAUCUAGCUAGGGCAUGCAUGCAUGCAGGCAGGCCAGGCUUUGCGACGAGCUACACGCAUAUACUUUGCCGGCCCAUCCUUCGCGCGCGAUCGAGUACUACUACAUUUGUAGUAGUAACUGUAACUGUCAUCAGACAAACGCUAGAUCGAGAACGCUAGGGACAAGGAACCAUGAAAGCUUUGGAAACGUGUAUCAUGGGAAGUGAUCAUGAUCCAGGGUACAUAUAUAGCUGCAAACAAGGAGUGCAGAGACGUACUCACAGCUCUUUUUUUUUUGAAGGUCACAGGUGCAAUUUAGACGCUCAGUUAUUUUCUGUUGGGGAAAACUCGAUCUACGGAGUCCGGCCAGACUCAUCUAUAGAAAACAUAAAAAUUUCUGUGUGUACGUACAGUAGACUAUAUACCGGUAAUCAAAGUUCAUACUAUUUGACUCCUUGAAAUAUGAGAAUUGCAUUUUUUUUUGGAUGGAGAGAGUAUAUAAUAAUCACUUCUAGCAAUUUUAGAACUAAUUAAGUAGGAAACGGAAAAUCAAUCAUAAUUCAUAAAAUAACCAUUGUGUAUAUGGCUCGGACCACAAAGGAAUUCAGUCUCUAACAUUUAUGUCUCUAAAUAGAUUUAUAAAAAAAUAUAUUUUGUAACAUGAAUAUAACUAAUAUCUUUUUAAUAUAAUUUUAAUAAAAACUUGAACUGUUUGAUUUAUCGAAAACGAGAAUUGUAUUAGGACGGAGAGAGUAUAAUCCCUCCUCGACAAUGGUCCUGCGCGGAUGUCUUCUGAACAAUAGUCAAGAGGUACGUACCCCUAAACCGGAGGGAGUAUCCUCUAGUGCACCCAGGAGGGGCUGCAUGAAAAAGCGAAGAACUACAGCCGCAUCAUGAUUUCAGCGCUAUACGCAGGCAGCAGCAGCACGUCCGGUCCGGUUUAGGGUUUAGGGUGUUCGCAAAAACUUGUGAAAAACGGCACUGUAGCACUUUCGUUUUUAUUUGACAAACAUUGUUCAAUUAUAGAGUAACUAUGCUUAAAAGAUUCAUCUCGCAGUUUACAGAUGAACUGUGCAAAUAGUUUUUGUUUUCAUGUAUAUUUAAUGCUCCAUGCAUGUGCCGCAAGAUUCGAUGUGACGGAGAAUCUUGAAAAUUUUUACGAACUAAACAAGGCCCCAGUUCCUCUCGGGGACAUCCCACACCUUCAACCGUACUGCGUGCUCCGCUGCUGACUGGUCAGUCGUGAAAUCGCUGCUAGCUGCUGCUAGCUGAGCCAGUAUGGGUAUACGAGCUACUCCGUACGGAUCGGUCGACUAGUCGUCCUAGAGAGAGGACGAUCGAUCGACCCAGACAUGCAAAAAGUUUUUUGAUUUUGACACUUUAGCAUUUUUGUCUUUAUUUGACAAACAUUGUCUAAUUAUAGAGUAACUAGGUUUAAAAGAUUCGUCUCGUGAUUUACAGUUAAACUGUAUAAUUAGUUAUUCUUUUUAACUAUAUUUAAUAUUUCAUGCAUGUACCGCAAGAUUCGAUGUGACGGAGAAUCUUGUAAAGUUUUGGUUUUUUGGAUGUAUCUAAACAAGGCCCCAGCAGAUGAGCAGAUCAGCACAGGAGGAGGCCGAGGCAGGCACCGCACCAGCCUGUGUGCGUAGCAUAUGAAUGCCAUGGAAUCGUAGAGCUAGCUGAUUGAUCGAUCAUGGAGCCAGGCCGAGAAGAAGAAUGCAUACUACUGCAGAUGCGGCAUGGGCACACCUCCAUGAAUUGCGCGGAUCGGAGCUCGAUCUGUAGUGCUGAUCGAUGCCGUUCGACGACGCACCGGACCACCGGUGAGCAUGCAAACGGCAGCGGUCAAACGCGCCGCGGGCGGCCGGGCACUCGGACAGCCUUUCUGCCGUCUCGUCGAGGUCGAUGAUGGAUCUGGCAUUCUGGCCAGAUCCCACUCCCACACCGCCCGCCGCCCGACCGCGCCAGCCAUAGGACGGAGCAUGCAUGCCAUUGGCAAAUCUCAAAUGGCAUUGCACCAUAGUGAGGGGUACAGGCUGCAGGCCUCGAGCCCCUCGCAUUUUGCCCGUCGCGUGCUGCAUGCAACUGGAACUCAUUUAUCACGCCAACGCACACACCUCUCCGUCCUGCGCGUCCUUCUCGCCGAGAUUGGGGGAUUCAAGGCUCAUCAAUGGGGUUCGGUGGGCGUCGUGUGUUUACCUGCGCUGCAGGAUGGGUGAUUCAUCAAGGCUCUUGUGCUGUUCGCCCUUUGGAGUCUGCAGCUCUAGGGAGUGGUAAAAUUACUCUGCAGCUAAUUUCCAUUCCACUGGUAAUUUAACUGUACUUUGUUCUGAUAUUUAUCUUUACCUUUGUUCAAUAAAAUCUCCAAUUGGGGCUCCUUGCCCCUCCUGUUUCUUAAAAAAAAAAAAUCCAUUCCACCGGUACUUCACCUCUGAGCAAUUCCUGACAUGUCUCAUGUUGAAGGUACUUUUUUUUAGAAAUUCUAUACAGCACUUGAGUGUUUUGAAGCAACCCAAAAUUCGAUUUGAUCUCUUUUCUUUUUUCUCUCCUCUUCUUCUCCAAAUCCAGCCGCCUUAGAAGAUUUUUUUUUUUUGACGUGGGAGGCGAGGAGGUGAGGAAAGUUGUAUGGCAACAGUUAGGCUUCUAGUGUCAGAGAGGCAGCCGGAUAUUAGGUCGGGGCAGGGGCACCCAUUGCCAUUGCGGCGAUGAUAGAGGAGGGAGGAAAAGAAGGAGACUGCUAUUGCAUGGUAGGGUUUUGUUAAAGCUCUACGGCUACGACCGUGGUGGCAGUACGAGACCCUACUACGCCAUGGCAGGGCCUUGGUUAGUGAGCACGGUGUGUGUAAGGCUAUCUCCUGACAGGGAGACCUAUUUGGAACCCAAAUCUAAAAUGGGUCUCCAACACAAUACCUAUAGCCUCCAACAGAGUACCCAUACAGAAGACCUAUUUUGGGUAUCAGGGGAGGCAUAACCCAAAUUUGGGUAUCCUCUCUCCUCGAGACCCAUUUGCAGAGAGUGUUGUCUUUUAGGUCUUGUUGUUGGAGAAGACUAAAAAUAGGUAUGGAACCUUUUACCUGUAGCGCUACCCAAAGGAUAAAUGAGUCUUGUAUUUUGGGUGACGAUUGUUGGAGAUAGUCUAAGGAGGAUGAAGAAGAUUUGAAGGAAAGAAAUCGAGUGCUUAGAUGGCUCAGAACACUCCGACUGAGGCAUAGACAUAUUCCUUUUUUUUUUCCAGAACGUAAAGCCAGUGAUAUUGGUAUGACCAAUCCCAAAUAGUACUUUUCCUUAGUAGCCAAUAGACUGCAAGUUCUGUUGAUGCAUGCCAGUUCUCUCGUGCGCUCAUCAGUGAGGACAUCAAGGAGUUAACACUACUACACGCGCGGUUAGCCCGGGCUCGCUGCAGGGAAGGCAGGCCUGCCUGCAAUUACUACUCGCGGUCACCGGCCAGUAGAGGUCACCACGGAACACCGCGCUCCCGCUGUUAAAACUCAGAGCAGGCUCGGCAACUCUUCCGUCCACGAAUACUCCCAUUUGUUUCACCACCUCACCUGAGCGCACGCACACCUGCCGUGCCCGAGCACUGUCUCCCUCGUUCCCGUCUCCUCGCGCACGCAUCAAACCAACCCGAGACGAGGGCCCGUGUGGGUGUAGCCGCCAGCCAGACCAAGAGAGCGCGUUCGCCCGUGACGCCGUGACGCGCGCGGCGAGAGCGAGCGAGCGAGCCUGAUGAGGCGGCGGCGGUGGGCACGCGCCGCCACUGCGCUGUCGUGGCUCGCCAUCGCCGUCGUGCUGCAGCUCGCCGCCGUCGCCGAGGGGAGGUCGGCGCCGUCGUUGUUGCCGCCGCCGAGGCGCGCGCACGGUGACGGACACGCACACGCCCACGCCCACGCCCACGCGCGCCCUCGCACGCACAGCGGGAGUGGGCUGCCGCCGCCGUUGACGGGUGCAACGACGACCGUGCGCCACGCUGUUGCCGCGGACGUCGGCGUCGGCGCGUCAGUCCGCUUUGACGCCGCCGCGGGCGCCGCCACCCGGUGUAAGAGCGGCGGGCGGCAAUCAGAGAGCGGCGCUGCUGCUGCUGGUGGUGGUGCGUGCGCCGACGACGAUGAUGAGAAGCGGCGCAUACCGACGGGUCCUAACCCUCUGCACAACAGAUAGAUGAUCGUGCUGUGCAACCCAACAAGAUCCAUGUCAUCUAACACCAGUGGAGAGGAGCAAUGCAAGCCAAGCCACCAGAGUUCAGGGGGGCAGCAGCAGCAACAACAGCAUGCACAGGCUUUCUUGGUAUGCACGAGCUCAUCAUCAUCUCCUAUUCCUUCUGCUCUGUUCAUCAUGGACAUGGACCAGAAGAUAGUGAUCAGUAGUAGGUGUAGUAGUUUAGUUCAGCUUCAGCAGUGAAAAUUCUUUUGGGAUGCUGUCCAUUUCCUCUUCUUUUUCGAGCUUUUUUUGUCUGCCAGCACCGGGUGUAUAUUCUGCCUCUCUAGCUUGUUCUGUCAGAAGCAAGAAUUGUUUGGUUCAUCAGCUCUCUCCCAGCUUUCCUCCGCUGGGCGCUUGUUCCCAUCCUGGAAGCGGAAGAUUCGGCUGUUCGUCAUAUCUGAAUUUUGCUUGCUUUCUCUCUGUCCAUUCCAACCAAAAGCUUUCACAAGCCACAGGAGGACCUUCUGAACGCAAAGAUCUCCACGGAUCCUACGAGCAUCGUAUCUCCUGUAGGCCCUGUGCUGUGUGAUCAUGGGUCAUGGCAGAAAGGGAUUCAUUCAACUUCUAUAAAAAAAUGUUCUCUUUUUUUUCCCCCAACUUUUGUCGUUGUAAAACGUAGUAGUAACAUGCAUUGUUUUUAAGUGCUAGUUACUCAGACAACGCUGUUGCAGCCCAUCACCUGAACUGCUCACUUGGAAUGGGCAUGUGUUAAUGCUCUUGUACCCUUUUGCCUGUCCUUGGUCUUUGAUCAGCAUAGCAUGCUGAUGCUUGAAUUGAAGGCCACUCUGCACAACAUGUCUUCUCGGAUUUAGUACAGGCGCCAGUACAAUUGCUGGGCAAGGGCAUGCAUGAUACAGGUGGGUAGCCAAUAUGAAGCGGCAGCAGUAUUUGUAUCUCUGGUCCUCUGGAGAUAUGUGGGGGGAAAAAAGGCUGAGCAGGAGCAAAUGCAAAUGAGCAGGAGCCAGGAGGCGUGCUCCAUGGAUUGUUCUUGGACCAGAGCUCCUUGCCAGCUCUUCAAGCUCUGUUGGAGAGCCAGGCAGUGGUCCUGCUCCAGCAAUCUUGAAUCUUCAGUCCGUUUUGGUUUUUGGCAAAUGGUUCUUGGAGCCUUUCUGUGGCUCUGGCUGGCAGGGGAGGUGCAGCAGGCUAGGGAGUAAAGUUUUAUUUUGUUUAUGCAUACAAAAGUCUAUAUCUGGUAGGAGUAAAGGCUUGUUCUCCUGGGCCUCAGUUGGUUCUUGUCCUCAAGGAGGCCGGGAGGGAAAUGGCAUGUGAACUUUGUAACCAUCCAAAAGCAAGCCAUGUACUCGCAACAGCUGCCAACGGGGGAUUCAUCGACCAGAUGCUGGAGAUCGAGUGGUCCAAUGUUCUCAUAGAAAUCAUUGAUACCACUGCCUGAUAAUUUACAGCAAAGGCGGAUAACUGCUGUAUAAUCAUCACAUCAUGCUCAGACAUGCUCAGAUCAAAAUCCAUAGUUCCAUGCCAAAACAACCUUCCCAUGCAAUAGACAAUGUAGAACGAAGAUACUAUUAUCCAAACAUGUUUAACGUGGUACUAGAAGUCAGGCCUUGUUUAGUUCGCAAAAUUUUUUGUUUUUGGCUAUUGUAGCAUUUCGUUUUUAUUUGACAAAUAUUAUCCAAUUACGGAGUAACUAGGCUCAAAAGAUUCAUCUCACAAAUUACAGGUAAACUGUGCAGUUAGUUUUUAUUUUUAUCUAUAUUUAAUGCUCCAUGCAUGCGACCAAAGAUUCGAUGUGACGGGGAAUCUUAAAAAUUUUUGCGAACUAAACAAGGCUUCAUUUCUAAUUUCCUCAAAAAAAGAAGAAGACAUUUCUUAUCGAUCCACCAUGGAGAGAGUACAUGAAUGGUGGGGGUAGCACGACAACCAACAAGGUAGCUAACUAGCCUUUCUGCUAAUAUAUUUACGGCUUCUUUAUAAGAAGAAACAGCCUCUGAUCCAGCUGAAAGCCAGCAGCACAGGAAGGAUCACCCCUAAGUAUCAUCAAGAGGCCACCAAAAGAUGCAUAAAUCUCCCUGGAAUGAGGACACGGGUCACGGGGAGUAUUGAAUUAGAAAAUGUAGCAUAUAACAAACUGGGCAGAAACACAUAAUUGAUUGCAAUAAACAUUGAAUAGGGCAUGCCAGGUAUGUGUGCACUGUGCAAUUCAGUCUAUAUUGCAAUUUUGCUCUCUGAAAUACCAAGUGCUUAACAAGAUGAACAAGCAACUAAAACAGCAGAUAGAAAUGCCAUGCAUCUGAACUGUUUCAUCAUGAAAUAACUAACCAAGUUUCUUUGGGAGCAUCUAUAACCAUGUACAACAUACUUACCCAUGCUCUAUAACCCAUGCAUCAAAUUUAUCUAAUUAAGCCAAUUGCUUUAAAUAAUUUGCUUCCUUUUUUCGGUAAAUAGACUGGCCUUGCAAUGAUUCCCAUUUUUUUUUGAAAGCUACACACAAAAAACUGUGUAGACCUGUAAAGUAAUUACUAAUAGAUGAUUCAUUGAUCAAAUGAACAUUGUUUCUUAUAUAAUUACUAAUAAAUGCUCACAUGGCCACAAACCGCAGUAUUUCAUCACUAUGUAAAUCUGUAAAGUAAUUUUCACCUUAAAACCCAAACACAACCUUAAUCGAUAAGAAUACCUUAGUAAAUUUUCAAAUUUAACAGGAUGCAACAGAUGAAGUACUAGUACUUGUCAAGAAUUGACGACAUGUAUGACAUAUACACAUAAAAUAAAUUAUUUGUAUCCUCGGACCUACAUACACCAGAGAGUAAAUCUACAAGAGAAUACCAUGUGGGAUCAAUCAUCCCGGUUCCAACUUAUGUUGUGGAUCAUUUCUGUAACUUUUAGUUGAUUAUUUCACCCACAGGCUGUAAGUAACUGCAAGGGAGUCUUCACAAAACAGCCCGCACAAUUGCCUUUAUGUGUUCAUAUAUAAAUAAUUUAGGACCCAGAAAAAUGACAAGGGGCAAGGAAAUAAACCAGUGUCACAAUAAACAGUGUAGUAACAUUGCUCAAAUUCAGAGAAGGCAUACACUUUAGUAGAUGAAUUGCCAUUACUGUCUUUGGUACUGUCUUCUGAGAUCUUGUAAAGCUUUCCAUGCAUGAUGUAGUCAUAAUCGUCAGCAAGAGUUUUUCUUCCAGCCUGCAUGAAAGUAAUGGCAUCAUGUUGUUUACCCAAUAAAACUAUGCCUCAGUCGAAGAGAAAAAUGAAAAAUAUCAUGGCACAUCAAACACAUUCGGAUCUGUAUUCCCAUCACAAAAGUUUCAUAAUGUCAACACAGGCUACUCUGUUGUCAAAAAAAGAAAAAAUCAAGCUACUUUUGUCAUAUUAGGUUUGUCCUAAGUCAAAAUUCCUAACUUUGAUCAUCAAUUUCAAAAAAAUCCAUGUAGUUUCACAACAUGUGAACGAUACUAUUAAAGUAUUUCUCAUAAUAUUGAAUCUAAAAACAUAUAUCUUAUAUACAUUUUUUUUAAAUGUUGAUGGUCAAAGAUAGAAAUAUUUGGCUUUGGACAAAACUAAAUACAACAUGUAAAAAAAAACAGAGGAAGUAUGAGACUAAUUAGGUGUGUCACCUGUGUGUAGUAGCCAGCGUCUGUUGAUCCAUCCAGGUUGAGAGUGAGAGCUAAAACCAUGUUGAAUGUGUCACCAAGCUUCAUUGCAUAGACCUCAGUAGCAACAUCCAGUUGCAUGUACAUUUCAUUCUCGCUUGUAGCUUCAAUACGAGUGACUGACCAUGGACAUUGUUAAAAAAAAUGCGACAUUACAUCUUCCAAUAUUUGCAGCAAGAUAUAAUGCAGAAAUCUGAAUAAUCCUGCUUCCAGCACUCAAAGAACUGCAUAGCUAAACACAGUUUCAGAAGAGCAAAACACGUUGUGUUAUCUGUAGUUGCAGUGGAUUCAAUUUUGCCGCGGAAAAGUCAGAGAUGAUAGAUUACCUUUGUCGAACUUCUUGCCAUCAGGAUCGAGCCUGGUCACCUUGAAUUUAUCUUUGAAGAGGUGCUCGGCCAUUUUUCCUGCACAUGAUAGAUAGCAAUAGCAAUAGAUUAGCACACCUGGAUGUGUCAAAAGGUCCAAAAGUUCCCCGCACUACCGGAAUCCGGCUCUGUCUAGUGGUUUGCCGAGUGUUUUUUUCGGUGCUAAAGAAAAAACACUCGGCAAAAAAAAAACACUCGGCAAAGAAAAUUUCAAAUCAAAAUUUAAAGCCCUAAACAAAUUCAAAUCAAAAAGUUUUGAACUACAAAGUUGUAUGACUUCUCAAGAUCUAUAAUCUUUAUUUUGGCCGUUUCUUCAUUUGGCAAAGUGAAAAUAAAUUUGUUCACAAAUUUUAUCUCUCUCUUAAAGUUCCUAGAACUACAAGAGAGAUAUAUAAGAUUUGUAAAAAAUAUUAGAAUUACCGUGUCAGAUGAGCAAAUGAUCAAACAAUCAAAAUAAACUUUAUAGAUUUUGACAAGUUAUGAAAUUUUUUCAUUUGAGUUUAUCUUAUCAUUUAAAACUGUGUCUUUAUUUGAAAAUUUUUAAUUUUGAUUUUCAGAAAUUACCUCGGAUGAAAAAACUGACUAAAUAAACUUUGUAGGUCUCAAAAAGUUAUGAAACUUUAUAGUUGAUAACUUUUUAAUUUGAAAUCAUGUUGUCAUGCAAAAACUACGUUUAAAUUUCUCAAAUUUUAAAUUCAAAUUUUGUAAACGACCUCGGAUGGAGAAACUUCAUAAAUGAAAAUUAUAGAUCUCAAAAAGUUAUGAAUGUUUGUAGUUGACAACUUUUUAAUUUGAAAUCGUUUAGAGGCUCAAAUAAUCAAUUUAUAUGUGAUUUAGUAUGAUAUAUGAUAAUAUGAAGAACCAAAAUAUAAUAUGUUCACAACUAAUGAUGUAGUGCAGUGGUGAAGGAGGGAGCUCUGUGACCUCCAGGUCGUGGGUUCGAAUCCUACUUUGGCGUAAUCGUGAAUUUUGUACAAUGAAGCUGAAAAAAAGGUGGAGGGUGCGCUAGCCGGGUGCUAGCUGAUGACCCCUUUCCAAAAAAAAAAAUCUAUUUUUUGGCUUUUUUUAUUUUUUUCUUUGCCGAGUGUUGGCACUCCGUAAAGCCUUUGCCGAGUGCCCGAUAAAAAACACUUGGCAAAGACACCUUUGCCGGCCAGAAUUUUGCCGUGUGCCCUUUGCCAAGUGUUUUUGACACUCGGCAAAGUGUCUGUCUCCCGUAGUGCCGGGGGAAAAACGUGCAAACCAACAUAGAUCGAAGAGAGCCAAGAUAUGAGAUUGCAUUCCAUGCGGCAGCCUAUUGGGUUCUAGGUGGUUUUACCGCCGAAUAACCUGGGGUUUAGGGUUUAGUUGGGCAAUUCCUACAGCGAGGUGAUUCAUCGACCGUGCAGGCCGAAUGACCUAAACGAACCGCGCGGAUUGGGUUGGAAUGGUAGGGCGGCACUACGUCGCACACGAAUACCACAACGAACAAUGAAUCUGUCCCCUAAAACCAGGGGCGGAACCAGUAUAAAGCAUUAGGCUUUGGGGGUGCUCGGCUUCGCACAGGAGGAACGGAGGAGAAAGAGAGCGGGCCGCGAUGAUACCUGGCGGGUGCUCAUCGCCGUCGUCGAUCUGGCGAAGGGUGUCAGCGCUCGCCCAGUCGUCGUCGCAGCAACAACAGGCCUUGUUUAGUUCCAAAAUUUUUUACAAAAUAAGAAUAGUACCAUUUUCUUUUGUAUUUGACAAAUAUUAUUCAAUUAUGUAUUAACUAAACUCAAAAGAUUCGUCUCGUCAAUUUCGUCCAAACUGUGUAAUUAGUUUUUAUUUUCGUCCAUAUUUAAUACUUUAUGCAUGCGUCUAAAAAUUUGAUGUGAUAGAGAAUAUGAAAAAUUUUGCAAAAAUUUUUGACAACUAAACAAGGCCCAAGCAAAGAAAGGCGCGCGAGAAAGAGUCGCGCCGGAGAAAGAAGUGGGCCCCACGCGGAGUAGUCAGAGACGUGCUUUCCUUUGCUUUAUAUAUAUAUAAUAUCCACUGUUUCUUUGGACCCGACGCGUCUCAUGAAUCGUGCAUUGGUGGGCUCUAUAAUAGGCCCAAGCAGGUCCAGCCCAUUAAGAACAAUUUUGCUCAUUGCCUAAUUGCUAGUAUGCAAUAUCGGAGGUGCAGGUGCAAGUCCUAAUAAUCAUUUUGCAACGUCGUCGACUCGAAUUGACAGUGGGAUCCUGUCUUUCCUCGUCACCACCCGGGCGUGGAAGAAAUGGAGCCAUGGGUGAGAGACACGGGCACGGGAGGUGACUCGAACUCACCAUUCAGCGCUCAAGGGAGCCGUACCCUAACUUCCUUUGCCCUUUGGUGAGAGCCAGGUGAGGGAGUGCGUUUUGCAAAUGGAGGCCGAGCUCGUUGAUGGAUCUAAGUAAUUCAACACGCGCCGUUACAGCCCACCUUUUUUUUUUCUUGAGCACCCUGUGUUUGGGCUUACUGGUUCCUGUUUUGUUUCUUUAUUUCUUUCUUGUAGAUUUUCUAAACUCUUUUUUAAAUAAAUGCUGUAGGGGUGAAAGCCCCUCCAGUUUAGUUAAAAAAAAACAGGCCAACGGACAGCAUAUCAAACAUGCCUUCUCUUUUUAUGUUCACAAGCUACGGGUAUUGGCCUUGUUUAGAUGUCAAAAAAUUUUGGAUUUCGCUACUGUAGCACUUUCGUUUGUUUGUGACAAAUAUUGUCUAAUCAUAAACUAACUAGGGUCAAAAGAUUCGUCUCGCGAUUUACAGCCAAACUGUGUAAUUAGUUUUUAUUUUCGUCUAUAUUUAAUACUUCAUGCAUGUGCCGUAAGAUUCGAUAUGAUAGGGAAUCUUGAAAGCUUUUUAGUUUUUUGGGUGAACUAAACAAGGCCUUAAUGGCUGUUCCUAGCAAAUUAUUAGUAUAUACUUGUCUAAAAAGACAACUGAAAGUAUUGUUUACGGAUUUAUUGUUUGAGAAAAGCACGACUAAAUAACUGACAAAUUCGGUAGAAAAAUUCAAAUGAACAGGUGUACAGGCGUCGUGAAAGCGCCCGCUUAAGGCGUCCCCAAUGACUAGCUAUUUGGUAAGCUAUUAUGACGUGGAUAGAGAAAAAGUAGGAGAGAGUAGUCAUUAACGACGAAUAAAUAGUUAAUUUAUUUCACGUAAUCCAAAAAUAUGAGAGAAACAUGCAGAUCCAAUAAUACAUAAAAAGAAUAAAAAUAUAUAAAAUAGUUUUUGUUUUUUCCUCUCACAUUACGUAACUAGCACCAUCGCGAACGCCCUUAGAGAAAUUACACGCAUCCUAUUAGUAAUGGAUUGUCUCAUAGUUGUCUUGUGGUUCAAAGAUGUAUUCAACGACCCUAAAUAUUCAAAUACGUUUUAACCAAACUUCAUACCGUUAUUUGACAUAUGUUGAAAUCCUACUUAUCACUGGACAGACGUUGUUAAACUCGUAUGAGCUGAAACCGUGACUUCCCAUCAAAUAUGAGAAAUGGAGGAGUGCGACACUAUGGUAGAUAGAACACACAAAUCUAUUAUUAAAAUAUAAGGAUGCAAUAAGAAUUUAAUUUAGUAUUUUUUAUAGGACCAGUGUUUACUUUUGUAUUUUAUAGUACAUGCUGCAAAACAAAAUCUAAUUUAGGUCUAUAUGUUUAGAUAAAACUUGGAGAACUCUGUGGUCGCUAAUACGAAGGAGGAAUCUAUAUGUAUGGUGUUUGUAAUACAGGAACAUGAUAUAAUAUAUGUAUAGGUUUAUUAGCAUGUUCGUGCAGAUUGUAUUCUAUGGAUGAUGUGUCUUGCUGACGUGGAUAUUAUAAUUCUUGUGCUAAUGAAUUUUAAUUGAAAAUAAUAAUGGAUUGCUGAGUUGGACACCUUAUAUGUCAAGAGAAAUUGUCAGUGAUAAUGAUAGUGGACUGAUGGGUAGACAUCUUAUAUGUCAAGAGAAAUAGCUAGCGGAGUUUUGUUUUAUAAGAGUUGUAGAUUCUGUUGAAGAAUACUAUUUUGGGAAGAUUACACGUUUGUUUUUUUGGUUGAGCAGGGAUAGUGUUAUAGAUCCAGAAAAAAGUGUUUGAUCUUCACAAGACAAAUAUUCUAAGUUCUGGAGAAUAUUCUAGAUUUUGGGGUUAACGAUCCAAAUCAGUUGAAUGGUAUCUUAUCUUAUAUACUCUUAUAAAGCAAAACUCCACUAUCUAUUUAUCUCAGCAUGCAACGUGUCGAACUAAGCAACACAUACCAUUAAAUUCCACUAAGCAAAAAUCCACUAUAUAUUUCAACAUGCAAAUUGUCUAACUAGACAAUACACUAUCCCAUACCUCUAAAAUUCACUAACACAUUCAACUAUAAUGUUCACAUCAGUAAGACAUGUAAGCAUUUUGCUGAAUACAUCAUCAUUAUAUACAAUCCCUAAUCCUCAAUUGGACUAUGAAAUUUAUUUUUUGGGGAGGGGGGUUAUGCCCCCACCCGCCACCCCGUGUGCCCUUAUUUAUAACAUCUUUUGCUUCAUAUUUGAUCAACAUUGUAAUACAUCUAGGUUGAGCUCUGCGUGCUUUGACGGCCUUGCCGUCUAAGGUAGAUUCCUUUGGUGAGAAACUUUUCCCUUAUCAUUCCAACUGAGACUAAAGCCUAGCGGAAGAGGGUGCCAAACCUAGUGGCAAUAGGUGAAGAGGGGGCAAAGGAAGCGGUGGUUGGGUGACAUCCAACCUCCCGUGCCUCUAGAUCCAUCAAAAUUGUUAGUGAUGCCACAAGCACUUAUACAUAGUUUUCAUAUUUCUAAUAAUAUAUUAUGAUAUUAAUUUAUACCUCAAAGUUCGUGAAUAAUAACUUAUAUGUCUAACUUUAUUCUAAACCAUUCAUCAAGUUAUAUAUCUAAGUUACAUAAACAAGUUAUAAAUAAAAGUAUUUUGUAUAUUUUUUUGCAGAUUUCUAUGGAAUAAUGUUGAUAAUUUUGUUCCGUAAAAUAUAAAGCAUAAAUGUUACGCGUAUAACUUUGUCACAUAAUUAUAUGUAUAAGUUAUAUGUAUAACUAUGGAAAGUAUAUGUUAAAGUCAUAUAUAUAAGUUAUACGUCGAAGUUUUUUUUGAUAAAAUUUAUACGUUGAAGUUUGUUCUACAAGUUAUAUGUAAAAGUAAUAACUUUGUAACUUAAAAAAAGAAAAUAUGUGAUUUUUUUGCCAAAAAUAAAAAAACUUUCAAAAUAAAAAGGAAAGUUGUGGAUUUAUUUUUGUGAAAAAAAUAGAAAAUCACGGGAAUCUGGUGGACUUUUGCUAAAGAAAUGAAUAAGACCUCAUUGAUUAGGUGUUUUCUUGUUAUGGUAAAGAAUUACAAUUUAUCUUUGUUUUGUAGCAAUUUCACGAGAAUUAAUGUGGAUGCUUUGUUAGAAACCUCUGAUCAGUUUUGAUUACUUUAAGUGACUCUUGGAAAUUGUUCUAUCUUUGCUACCGUGGAUGGAUACAGAUUACAGAGCCAUCAUUGUUCGCUUAAGUUUAUCAACCGAAUCAGCCAACCAUUCAGCAAUGUUUUUUUUUUUCACAAUAAAUCAGCCCACAGCUUAUCAACCAAACAAAUCUGCUCCAUGGUCGCGUCCCUGUAUCUCCCACUGCCCAUGCCCAUCCCACGUCCACCAUUGUCCCGCGCGACCACCAUCCUGGUGGAGAGCCAAGGCAACACAAGGACUGGAAGGAGCACUCGCCUGCCGCUGCGUCGUGCCAUAUGGACUCAUGGAGAGCACCAUCCGCAGGCAGCCAAUUUACGCUGCCACGGCGUACUGCCGGGGGACGCCCCCACCUGGUGCGCCCCAUUGGCAACCUUCUGUUCUGCGCCCCGUCGUGUGUGUCUCGACUCUCGACGAUUCCCAAGUCCCAAUCAGUCUUGAUCAUUUUUACUAAAGAGUAGUGGUGCGUGAUGAGUACAGUAGUCAUGUCUCUAACUCAAACUCACGUUUAUGCUCAUACGAAGCACUUCGUAGUUCGUACCAAGGAGGCGGUAGUUUCUCAUUGCUCCUCCUCACAAAUUAUUACACGACUGCCACCAAAUGCGGUUUUGUCAAACACUUUCCAAAAACAACUUUAGCUUCAUUAAAAUUAACGCACUUGCUUACUUUACUAUUGUGAUCCCAUCACGGUUCAAGCUGCUCGGGCCGGCGCGGUUCUGGCGUGUGCUUGAUUCCUAUCGCGAUUGGGACCCUAAGUAUACCAAGAAAAAUUACUAAUCUAAUCCAUGCACCAACAACCACGGCCACCUAUCACGUCCCAGUAUUUUUUUAAGGGCGUCCGCAAUAGUGUUCAAAUCAUUAGCUAUUUAAUCUCUAGGAAUAAUAUUAUUGAUUUUUAAUAGCAAUUUGCAAAUAGCUAGCUUGAAAGUCGCUAGCUAUUAGAAAGUCGCUAACUAUUGUGGAGAGUAUUGUGAGAGGGUUAUUUCUAGAAGAUCGAACUAGAUUAGCUAUUUAUGAGUCACUAUUAUUAGGAAGUCGUCAGAUCCUCGACAGUCCGCCAUUGAUACAAUCACGGCCGUCGCUAACCUCCUCGAGUUCGACAUCUUUGAUCUGGAGCUCACCACGGUGCAAUCCAAACACCGACCUCCGGAUCGGAGUCGCUGUCAGGUUGCCAUCUAUCAAAGUACUAUCAGUUUAGAUGGAAAACGCCAUGAGUGGGAAGCUUUCACAUGAUAGAUAGAGAGUGAAUCGGGUGAAAAACUUUUAACUAUUAUUGGAAAGGGAGACGUCUCGUAUCAGGAUGUGGAGUGACCUAACCUGACUGAACACCAAACAAAAUUAGGUAGGGUAAACCACUGGCGGUUUGGUUUCAGCGACAUUAAUAAAUCACUGUCAGCCACUCAGGAAAGACGCCGGCAUGAUAUGACACCUAACGCUAACGAGAAGGACUCGUCGAAGACUCAUGAAGUCAUGGGCAUGGCUGGCCCUUAGCAGCAAUGUUUUGGGAUGCAUGGGAAGAGGAAUUUGAAGCGAUAUUUUUAUAACCUAGGAACGGAAAUGUUCUCAGGAUGAUGUAUACGGAAUGAGGAACGUAGCUAUGUUUCAUGUUUUUCUACAGCUAAGGACAUCUCUAAUGGUCUAAUUUAGUGUUUGGAGCGGCUCCUUUUGGCUCCGUUACAGUAGCUACCGGCGGAGCCUGAACAAGAGCGUAGCCAAACGUUUGGAUGCUGCCCCUCCCAUGCCGUGCUAAACUCUGCACCCGGCCAACUUCGGCAAUGAAACAAACUGGUCUUGAGCGUGCCAAAAUUUGGCCUCAAUCCAAACCUUCACCUCCUUCGCAAUCAACGAACAAUAUUUGGCAUGGCUGACAAUGGCACCCAUCCAAACAUGCCAUUGGAAUAUGGCAGACUUUUGUACUAAUUUAUCCUAAGUUUUCUUGAGCACUAGAGACUUGUCAAAAUUUUCAUCCUAUUAAUAGUAUGGUAUACUUAUAUACUCAUGGAUAAAAGAAACCGUAACUUAAUGUACUUGAGCAUGUGUGCCUUAUUCAUAUAUGACAGUCCUUCUCAAUGUCUUCUCAUAGGGGUUUCAACUUUCAACCAUUUUGCUCUCAGUCAUUUUAGCAAAUCCAUCUUUACCAAGUGACUUGAACCAUUACAGCAUGUAUGAAUUCAAUCUAUAGUUUCAACUCACUACAUUGGUUUUAUUCAACAAUGAUUUGAUACUUGCCAUAGAAUGACUCCUCAUGGCAUCAUUAAUUCCUUGGAAUUCUCAAGCAUUGCUUUUUCACCAUAGCCUUGAUCCUCGACGCCAAGCUACCAGCUGCUCUUCAUCUACACUUAGUCCCUCAAAGCCUCCACUUAGUAUAUUCCUUCACCUUGUCUUCCCAACUUGAGUCAAUCUUAGCUUUGGGUCAACAAUCAAUCCACAAUUAAAAUUUUGAGGCCCUGCUCCGUCAGCCUACGUCCACUGUGCAGCCUACUCCUAUGACGGGUGAUGGUGACCGGAGUGCUUACUCACCCAAUACUACCUAUGCUGGUAAAACGGGCAGUCGACACCUCAACCCUGCGCAUAAUCUCUACAGGACACGUACUCAGACGGGCAGUAAACCUGAUCUAUCUACCUAUACUGGACACAAGCGCUGUAACUCUUCGGAAAUAUCGGACUUCGUCAAAUACAAAGGAAAGAAAUUGGUGAAAGUAUGUUACAGAUGUCUAUCUACGGAUCACUUGGUCUCUCAAUGCCGUGACCCUAUAAAAUGCUCGACCUGCCUUCGUUCUGGUCACAAGAGCCACAACUGCAAGCAGCUCCCCACAACCACAAUGUCGACCUACUCUUCCGCCUCGUCCAACUCCCGCCCAAGCUCCCCGGAGCUCCCUUUAGCUCCACCUCCUAGCCCGCCUAGCCCCAGACGUACCAUGGUGGAGGCCCAUGUGGGCAUUGGAGAUUACGAGGAUGCAAGGUGCUUCGCCUACGUCUACCUGAGACAGGCGGUGCAUGCGCCUCACCUCUUCAUCCGCAAGGCUAUGGAGCAGGCGUGCGGUGCCCCAGCUUUCCAUCUGGCUGCGUCGGCACGGGGCGUCGGGAUCAUGAGGUUUGCUUCGCCUGAGGAGAGGGACGCGAUCGUCGCCAUGAGCUCCAUCCACCACGACGACAACACGCUCACCGUCGAGUGGCACGAGGAGGCCGACAACCGCUUCUACGCCUUCUACCGCGUCUACGCCGAGAUCGCCGUGGUGGACUUCCCGCUCGAGCAUUGGGACGAGGACAGAGCUCGGGAGGUGCUGGCCGCGGUGAGAACGUCUGCUACUUCGACCCACAGUGCUUCGCGGGUGGCGACUACACGUCCAUGCAUGCGGUCGUACGCCUGGACCACCACCAGGAGAUCCCAGAACAGCUGCUGGUUCGGAACCACAACGGUCCUGCGUGCCUCGCCAACAUCUACGCCAUCCGCACGUGGCUCGACGUCGGCCAAGAGCCAGAGUGGGGGGACUACGACUUCGGGACCGCACCAGGCAUACAUGCGGCUCCCCCCUACCACCCGGUCGGGAACCCCCCGACCCAGUUGCCACCUGCCCCUCAGAACCUGGUGGCGUCUGUCCUGGAGUGGGAGAACGUCACUCCAACCCCCACCCUGUGGCCGGCUAGAGGGAGGCGCGCCACUCCGUACCCUGCGCGCCCACCCGCGUCCACCCCACCGGUUCUAUGCCUGCCCUGGUACGGCAUUGGCGGGGUGCCGCCUCUGGUGGCGCCAGGGCUCGGCGCGUCCACUGUGGAGGAACCUGAAGACGGCGUCCCGGAAGACACUGCCACAGCUGACGGUGGGGCGGAGGAAGAGGUGCAUGAAGUGGCUGCCCUGGAUGCCACGCGCUCUGUCGGGGGGCCUGAGACUGGCAAGAACGUGGAUCCAACGGAGGGGCUCGCCUCCCUCCAGAUCGGGUCUCCAAUCCUCUUCACCGCCGCCGAAGACACUGAGCCUGAGCACAUGAGCCGCGCCCGCAAGAGGCGUGCCAGGCGCAAGCGCGCCAAAGACACUGCCAACAAGCUCAGGAGGAGCCAGCGCCUCCAGGAGAAAGAAGAGGGUGGGUUCGAGCUUCCAGAGGACAAGGCAGCAAGGGUCCAGCGCGCCAAGUUCGACUUCUCUGGUGCGUCGCGCCGUCUCCGUAACUCCUUAUCUCGCUCUUACAUUAUCUCUCAUGAUUUCUCCCUCUCUGAUGACGCUGAUUCCUUGAUGGAUAUUGCUGCAGCCUGUGGAGCGUCAGAGGAAGAGUGUGCUGGGAUUGCCGGUGAGGCGGCCGGGCCGUCGGCCGGUAACUGAUGAGACCCUGGAGAGUCCCGACAGACUGUGGCGUCGGCGCUGGUCACACCCCUGUGGAGUUCUUGUACUCCAAUUUUGUCUUCGGUGGCAGUGCUAGCCAUGUCCCCCCUAGCUUAUGUUUUAGGAUGCUUCACCUUCCAGUGCUUACACCAGUUAGGAGCAGCGUUUGUUGCUGCGAGAAUAAUGUAAAAAUGGUUGACGACUGCUUGCUUGCCCCGUCCAGUGUAUGGUGUAACUCCCUGAUCGAAUGAAUAGAAGCAUCAAGUUGUGUAACUGGAAUGUGCGAGGUCUGAAUGAUUCUGUCAAAUGUGGAUCUGUGCUUACUGAAAUGAUCUCGGUUUCCCCUGAUGUUGUGCUUCUCCAAGAAACCAAGCUCCCAGAUGUUCCCCUUCAUAAGCGCCUCUCCUUCCUCCCCCGGCGCCUGGACGAGAUCACCUUCAUCCCCUCCAUCGGCACUGCUGGAGGGAUUAUCACUGCGUGGAAUGGCUCUGUGCUGCACUCCUCCUCCACUCACACCACCCCUCACACCCUUUCCAUCGCCUUUACGUCUACCUCCUCCGGCCUCGCCUUCACCAUCACUAAUGUCUACGCUCCUGCCAGCCCCGAAGGCAGGCCAGACUUCCUGGACGAGCUCCGAUCCAUUCCCUCCGACCCUAACGUUCCUUGGAUGAUCAUCGGCGACUUCAACAUGAUCAGAUACCCUGAGGAUAAGAACAACAGCAACUUCCGCGCUUCUGAAGCUGCAGCCUUCAAUGAAUAUAUCAACUCUGUAUGCCUCAUUGAACUGCCUCUGCUGGACCGUAGCUACACCUGGUCUAACCAGCGAGUCGAACCAACUCUGGAACGUAUUGACAGAGCGUUCAUCAACACGACUUGGGAUGCCUCCAUGCCUAACACCACCCUCUCUUCGCUCACCCGACGCACUUCUGAUCACGUUCCCCUUGUUGUCAACAUUUCCACUCGCAUCCCCAAAUCCAACAUCUUUCGGUUUGACAACUAUUGGAUCAAUUUCCCUGGAUUCCAGGACACUGUUGCUAACGCUUGGAGCUGUCGGAUGAUGAACAGAGAUCCUUCUGCGGCCAUCGCGGCCAAACUUAAGGAGACAAGAAGAUGUCUAAAAAAAUGGAAAAGCAGCAAUGCUAACAUCUACCAGCAAGACACGGACUGCAAAAUCGUUAUUAACCUGCUUGACCUCGUCGAGGAACAUAGGGUCCUCAGUGCCCCUGAAUUGAGACUUCGUGCUGUUAUUAUCUCUGUUCUCAGCCGAUGUACCCAAGCCCGCCUGCUGACUUGGAAACAAAGAGCUAAAAUACGGGCUGCAAUCGAUGGUGAUGAAAACACUUGUUACUUCCAUGCUUGCGCCAAUCAUCGUCGCCGAAAAAAUAAUAUUCAAGUCCUUGAACACAAUAACAGCGAGCUACAUGAGCAUGAGCAGAAAGCUAUGGUUCUUCACGACUUCUAUCUAGACUUACUGGGCACAAACAUUAGCACAGCUUGGGAUUCUCUCUCUCUGACCUUUACCCGAAUGAACGCUCCCUUGGCUGCCUUGACGCCCCCUUCUCUCAUGAUGAAAUCUACAGAGCCAUUAGGAGCAUGCAUCCUGCGGCCAGCCCUGGGCCUGACGGCUUCGGUCCCCUCUUCUUUAGGCACUCCUGGCCUCUGGUUGCUGAGUCUGUCUGUGCGCUGUUGUCCGCCUUCUACAGCAAUUCUACUGACCUAGAGCGUAUCAACAGGUCCUUCCUAGUUCUCCUUCCCAAGAAAGAGGGAGCAAGACGGCCUCGGGACUUCCGCCCCAUUGCUCUUCAAAAUACUAUGGUCAAGUGCAUUUCCAAGGUCUUAACCUCCCGCCUCCAACCUCUGAUCCCCUCCCUUGUCGCCUCUGAUCAAUCUGGUUUUGUGCAAGGCCGUUGCAUUGCUGAUAAUUUUGUCUAUGCUGCGGACCUGCUGAAUUGCUGCUACCGCAGGGGCAGCCCUACCAUCGUUCUCAAGCUUGAUUUUCAUAAAGCCUUCGACUGCGUCUCCUGGGACAGCCUUAUCAGGAUCCUGCGUUCUAGGGGGUUCACAAAUACUUGGUGUGCGUGGAUCCAGAACCUUCUUGACACUGGCAAGACCGCCGUUCUGCUCAAUGGCGUGCCUGGGAAUUGGAUCAACUGUAAGCGCGGUCUCAGGCAGGGAGACCCCCUCUCCCCUUACCUUUUUAUCAUCGUUGCUGACGUUCUUAAACGCCUGCUCCACACCCACCCUGUUGCCGCUGACAUCCAGCACCCCAUCCUCCAUGGCACCCCCUGCCCCGUGCUCCAAUACGCAGACGACACUCUCAUCUUCAUCCGUUGUAGUCCUGCUGCAAUUGCUGCUACUAAACAAAUCCUCCAACUCUUUGAAAGCGCUACCGGCCUCUCCAUUAACUACCACAAAACCACCUUCCUUCCCAUCGCGGUUCCUGCUGAUGAGGCUUCACUCCUUGCAACUGCUUUUGGUGCCACCCCUUCUUCUUUCCCCCAAACCUACCUUGGGCUUCCUCUUUCCCCCCAUAAAAUCUCUGUGGCGAAUUGUCUCCCUCUAAUCUCGUCUUGCGACAAGUACCUCUCCGGCUGGCAAGCUUCCCUCCUAAACAGAGCUGGACGUCUAACGCUCUGUACCUCGGUCCUAAGCGCUCUUCCCCUCCACUACAUGUCCGCCCUUAGCGUGCCAAAAACAGUCAUCAAAAAAAUCGACAGCAGGAUGCGUGCCUUCUUCUGGACAGGAGAUGAUAAAUGUCAUGGAUCAAAAUGCCUGGUGGCUUGGGAGUCUGUCCAAGCCCCUAAGAACAGAGGCGGCCUCGGUGUCAAAAAUCUAGAACUCCAGAACAGGUGCUUGCUCAUGAAAUUCAUCGACAAGAUGCUCUCCCGGGCUGACAUGUGUUGGAAAGAUUGGAUUGAAUCUUCCGCGGCUACCUUUGACACCCCAGUUGCUAAAGAUGGCAAUGGGGACCCGAUCCCCGAUUCCCCGUGGGGAAUUCCCCUAUUAGGGGACGGGGAUGGAGCUAAACUGUUCCCCACGGGGAUGAAUUUGGUAGAAAAUCAAUCCCCGUCGGGGAUAACGGGGACGGGGAUGGUUUGCUUGUCCCCGGACCCGAUCCCCGCAGACCCGCCCCGUCAAGCAAGCACUGCCGCACCGCGCACCAACAAUCAAGCGACGAGGCCCAUGUAAAGGCCCAAGUACUGACUGAGAGUAUAUAUAUGUGCCAUCUAACCCUAAUUCCCUCUCCCCAACCCUAUCCAUUCUCUCCACCCAGUAGAAUCCGGCCGCCGCUCACCCUGCGCGGCUGUGCGGUGCCCCUGUCCUCCUCCGCCAGAUCUCUACCCAACAACACGUAGUCUCAGCCUCUCAAGCUCUCAGUGAGAACGACGCGUCCGGCCGAGGUGUCCCUGCCUCUUUGUGUCCGGCUGCUAGCAACCUGGAGGCUGGUCUGCAACCUUGUCGGUUGAUGGCCUACUGGUGUAGCUGGACUAGUGUGUUCUUGGUUUUUUAGUGUUUGCGUCGUAUGCCUGUGUGUGUACCAUAUUUGUGAACAUACGGCUGUUUUUUCUCCUUAUGUGCUGGACGCAUCAACACUUCGACAGCUAGUGCGUUGUUGUGCUGAAGAUUUUUACCGUGAAUCUAUGAUAUGACUCUGUAUACUUUCUUAUGUUUCUGUGUGGAAACUUAUUUGACUGAGCUCGGGGAUGGAUAUCCCCGCGGGGAUUAAAUCCCCGGCGGGGAACGGGGAUGGGGAGGAAAUGUUCUCCGUUGAUGUUCACGGGGACGGGGACGGAGAAAAUUUAGCCCCACGGGGACGGGGAUGGUGGCUUAUCCCCCGACGGGGAAUUCCCCGUUGCCAUCUUGACCAGUUGCUGGUGAAACUGGGUUCCUCUGGCGCAUCAUUUCUGAAAAUCUAGACACCUUCCGCUCCAUCACCUACGUCCGUCUUAACAAUGGGGCCUCUACCUCGUUCUGGCUAGAUCAUUGGCUCCCUUCUGGUCCUCUGGCAUCCACUCAUUCCGCCCUCUUCUCCCACACCCUUAGGCCUAACACUUCGGUGCAGUGUGUCUUCAAUAACGGUUUUGACUUGCGUCUUCGCCCGCGGCUAACCACUGCUGCUAGCCAACAGCUAGGCAGCUUGCUUGAAAUUUUGCAGGGAAUCACUCUGGGCAACGGCCAGGACGUUCGACUCCUCAAGCUUACAAAACGCCCAUACACCGUCAGGGACGCCUACGCCGUGCUGGACUCCUCUGGAGACUAUAGUGAUGAGUAUGGCAAACUCAUUUGGCGAACCAAGCUGCCCAACAAAGUCAAAAUCUUCGCAUGGUUGUACUUCAAGAAUCGUCUGAGUACUAAAGUCAACCUCUACUACAAGCACAUAGUCGAUGGGCCGACCUGUGAAAGAUGUCGCCUGGGAGAUGAAGAUCGAGAUCACGUUUUCUUCCACUGUCACACAAGUUCUGCAGUGUGGGAGAUCGUCCAAAUGCAGCACCUCUCCUCCAUGACCAAUGAAGAAGCCUGGACGGCACAAACGCCACCUGGCCUCGAAGUUUCCCUCUGGCCCUUCAUGUUCCUGACAAUUCUUUGGAGGAUCUAGGAUGCGCGGAACGGCCACGUUUUCCGCGACGAACAGUUCAGUGUGCGUGGUGUGCUGUGUAAUGUUCGAGAUGACAUUGUAAUCUGGCGUAAACGCCUCCCCCCUAGCCAUGUAAACAGCCUCCUGGGCUGGCACGCCUUCAUCAGCGAUUGUAUCACCAACUCUUUUGCACGCCACGGGUUACCGUCUGGCGGGGCUAAUUGAAUUUCAAAAGGUGGGGAACCUCUCCCCUCCGACUAGUUCAAAAAAAAACAAUUAAAAUUUGUCGAUCUUUACACCGCAAAACCUAUCAAUGUCAGCUUGCUACCUAUUUGACCGGGGUGCUUGGGGUUUCCCAUAGCCGUUGCCAGUCCCUCUCCUCCUCUUCCAAUAAUGAAGCUAUCGGCAGCGAGAAGGCAUCAUGAUCCUCCCUUCGUUUUUUCUAUAGAAAACUACACUCCAACUCCCCCUUUUCAAAAAAAUGCACCAACCUAGCUCAAAGCAGCCAUCAAAUUAAUUAUUUUUCUUAAUUAAGUUUCUCCUAGAUCUCUCGCAUGCCGCAUGGGUACCCUGUCCGAGUUCAGCCUAGAUGUGUCGGUUGAGGAGCUGCCGCCGGAACUCGCCCAGUUCCACGUACGUGCAAGUGGUACCGCGGUCACCACGUGCCAUUUGAUCAGGUAGUAGGCAUAGGUUUGUUGCUUGUCGGCAGUGCCCCUUCCUCGUGCCGCUGGGUUCAAUGGUGGUCUCGACAUGGGAAGAGAGUAGCAAUAUGAACGAUAAGGGGAAUAAACAACGAUGACAUGAUUAGUGGUGAUCAUCUGAGAAAUAUGACAAGAAUUACUUAUGGUUAUGAUUGUCGGCAGUACAAGCUUGGAUCUUCUCGAGAUUCAAUUGAGAUUACGCUCGCUGGUAAAUGAGAUCGGAGGGGAAGGACUACCGAAUGAGGAUGGAGGUGCUGCAUGCCUGCUUGGUCUGCCAGUUGCGGUUUCUUGGUUCAUCAGCCCGCCGGCUACAGCUGCAAUAUGUCAGCGACGUCGUCUCGUUUAACAAACGGGGAGCUUUGAACAAAGGGAAUAUAGAGAGAGCUUGGGUCAUGCUAAAAUCAGGCUAGGUUGGACGUGCCUGACCCAUGCGGCAUCUAAGAGGAAAAUAAUUAAGAAAAAGAUAAUUAAUUUGAUGGGUUGCUUUGAGAUAUGUGUAUUUUUUUUUAAAAAAAAAGAGAGAAGCAUUGGAGUAGUUCUAUUUUCUAUAUAGCUACUAGAUCUAGAAUUGCUUUGUGGUUGGCCUGUUUGGUUUUUAUACAAAUGUGCCAUGUACUAGCCAAGCCUAUUUUUGGGAUGACCAAGUUUCAGUUGUUAAAUUAUUGAUCAAGGUUUUGGUUAACUUUAAAUACUAAAAUGAUCAAAGAUGGUAAAAUGUAAUUAAGGGUUAUAAAGUCAAAAAAUUGCGGAGACCAAUUUUGACCAAAGUAAUAAAAUUUGGCUAGGUUCUUGUUUAAUUUCAAAAAAAAUUUAAGAUUUUACGUUACAUCAAAUCUUACGGCACAUGCAUGGAGUAUUAAAUAUCGAAUCUUACGUCAUCCAAGUUUUUAUUGAGUUUUGGGAUAUCUAAAAAAAUAUGAGUAGAUUACAAUGUUCUAAAAUCUCCCACGUUUAAAUGUAUCCAAAUUCUUAUAGUAAUCCAAAGAAUUUAAAUGGCCUCUUGCCAAAUGCCAACCGCUGGACCAAUAAAUCAGAGACGCCCUGCCGCGUUAAACUGAUGAAGCACUCUCGGGACGAGAAGAGCGCGACAAAUCACAGGUGGUACCCUACAGCUCAGACGUACCUUCGUACGCUAGCCCAACUUGGCCAGUCUGACAGGCCACGCAUACGCCGCGACGCGCGGACACGACACGGGAGGGUACGCGUCGGUGAUCUCCGGGCCCAAAGACGCCCGAUGUAUCGGCAGUCGACAGCACUACAGGGACGACGACGUUCUGGCAUAUAUUGGCCGCGUAAACGACGGGCUGCUGUGUGCUCCGCGACAACCGAUCUGUGUGGGCUGUGGCGGCCAUCAGAUCGUGGGCUAGUCACGUGUACUGGUACAAUUCGCAUUUUCGAAAGCUGAUUCCACAUGCGUUUUAGAGCUUGUUUGGGACUAUGAACCCACCACACAGUUGUACUAGCGAGCGUAAAAAAGUGCCUUGUGGCUUGUCAAUCUGUAAAUGUUGGAUUAUAAGAGACAAAGGACAGACGUCAUGUUUUAGGCCAUGCCUAGCGCGGUGACUUCGUUGUUUGGUGCAUGCCUUGGUGGCUUUGUCAUCCAACUAUAGGCUCUCGGAUGCAACGUAUGCAAAAAAAAAAACAAAACAAAAAAAACACCCUUAAUAGCCAAAAGCUUUCAAAAAUUGUUGAACCGUAAAACUAAAAUAAAAGGUAGACUGUUCACAUGCUAGAUUGACAAAACAAGGCUUUAGUUUCUUCGUAGCGGUUAGUAGAGUGUUUCUGCGGAAGUUAAUGUCACUCAAAAGGUUUGAGGCCUUUUUGAAGAGGCUUUACGUUGCUAUGACUUCUGCACGUACUAUAGUAUGUUGUUGUGGUAAGUCUAGAAUAAAUGUUGAUUAAGCAAGAGGAUUAUAAUGCUUAAUGAAGGAGGAACCUGUCAAACCUUGCUUAAAAACAAGUAUCUAAGCUCGAAAUCUCUCCCACAAGUCCCAAGACUCCCAUUUUCAGAAGGAUCCGAUGAAAAUAAAAGAUCAAGUUUUGGCUUGUGGUUCCUCCAAAAUUAACAGUGGAUCACAAACAAGAUCUUAGGAAGAUACAUGGAUACCCAACCUUCAAAGUUAAACAUUCUUUUCUAUUGUCAUCAUGCCAAGAGAAUCUAGAGGAUUGUCUAUAUAGCCAUUGGGUUAACCCCAUCCUAACUCUAUAGCCCACAUGCUAGGGAGUUGGCUAUCACAUUUUGAUUUAAAAGACAAGAAAUAUAUUCUUGAGGUAAGCGCUUUAUGUUGGGCAAUUUGGAGAUGUCGUAAUAAUCUAAUCUUUGAAAAAUGCAAAUGUACAUCUUUUAUGUAGACUACUUUCAUGUAAACAUAAUGACUGUAGUUCUGGGCAUUGCUACAAUGUGAUGAUGAAACAAAUGAGUUUUGUAUUUCUUGUUUCCCUGACUUAUCUUAAGCAGUAUUACUGAAGCUAUGUAAUAAUGAUAAAAAGUCUCUUUUAUUUUCUAAAAAAAAUAAAGACUCUCCAAACUGGCUUCACCAACUUAUCUUCCUUAGUUUCUUGGUAGUCAUUUUGGACACGAGAGAAAAAGAAUACUCCAUUCAUACUAAAAAUAAAGUUGUUUUCGGCAAAAAUAUGGUCUCCAAAGUAUGACUUUAACUUCUUGUUUUUAUAAAAAUGUAUUGAAAAGUGAUAUAUGUAUAAUUUUAUAAAAAUAUUUUCUAAGAUAAAUGUAUUCAUAUGUUUUCACAUUUUCAAAAUUAACAACUUAUUUAUUUAUAAUUUAUAUUGUCAAUAUUUGACUUAAGCUUUUUUUCUAAAACGACUUUAUUUUUUUAGGACGAAGUGAGUAUUUGGUACAACCAGUGCGGGUUGCAGUCCCGGAAAUAUACAUGCGCCUCCGUUGGCUGGGCGGGCUUGAGAGGCGUCGAUUUUCUGCGGCUGGUUGCAGAGAAACUUCACAGAGGCUUCACACGGCACGGCACGGCAUGGCUCGGUGCGUCCCUUUCAGUUAAAAGUGCUCGAGAAUAUAGUUGGCAAAAUCGAUCAAAUGGUACGUGACGAACACGUCGACUUCGGCGAUGAGUACACGAUAUUGGAUUCUCAUCUCGGAGUCGUGCAAUCCACUGAGCAUGGCUAGCUAGCCGCCUUCGACAGAUGAGAUGUACAUGUAAUGUACCGAGUGCGAAGCUAUGUACGCACAGCCUGUCCCCGUCCUGUUCUCUGCACACGGCAGUGUGCGAUGGAUCAUGCAUGGCGUCGGGCUAUUGGCCGGCGAUGGAAAGCCCACAACCACAAUGCAUGCACGCCGCUUUUUGAACAGUGCACUGUGGCAAUGUACACAUAUAUGGGAGGUAUGCAAUGCACGUUUGUGUUCCAAUUAUUGGCACCCCUGCCUGGCUCGACAAACGUAGGCGCAUGCGUGGCCAAGUUAAAUUUCCGCCUGUCGCUCUCUCUUGCACGUACUCCGUACUGGAGUAGAGCUAGAGCGCAGCAGCAUUUUUACUAGUAAUAUGGUACUACAAAAGUGGCCGAGAUCUAGUCAGAUGAUUCCUCUGCGAUUUGUCCCUUGCGCCUUGUGUUGCAAAUGGACUGCUACGUGCUACCUAGCCUUUCUUCUUUCUCCUCGCCUUUUUGGCGCUUUCUCUCGUUGAGGCGGCUGCCUGCCUGCCUGCCUCUACCCGUCCAAAAAGCGUCCACCACCACCACCGUCUUUCUCCAUCCAGCUCGCCGCGGCCGGCAUCACCUCACCUCACCGGCGCACCGGCAGCACCGCAGCGGCAGGUCAAGUCGUUUGGCUGGCCCUGACCCCUGACCCUGACCCUCCAGAAAAACACGCGAAAUCGCAGUGGAAAACAUCCGAAACGACACAGCGCGCAGCUCUUGCAAACUUUUGCCGCCCGGGCCAACCCGCUGCCGCCACGCACACCAAACGUCCAUUUCUCCCUCGCCGACACGUCUCGCACGCACACGGCCAAACCACUCCACUCCGACGACAUCCGAGUCGGCAACCUCCGACCCGGCGCGGGCAUAAUAAAAAGCACCCCCAGCUCACUCUCCUGGCAGCCAAGCGCACACAGGCACACUCUGCUCCAAGAAGCUACUAGCAACCAUAGCCAUGGAGAUGGUCCUGGACUGGCGCUCGCUGGGCUCCCUGCUAGCGACCGUCGUGGUGUUCCGCACGGCGCUGCGCGACUUCCUGCCGCCGGAGGCCGAGGCGCUGCUGCGUCGCUUCAUCGCGUGGGUCGCCGCCGCGUUCCGCCCGCCCCGCGACACCAUCCUCAUCGACGAGGCGGACGGGCCAACGGGGGGCGCCAACGACCUCUACGACUCGGCGCAGCUCUACCUGGGCGCGCGCUGCCUCGCCACCGCGCCGACGGUCCGCCUCCACAAGCCGCGCCAGUCGCCGCGCCCCGUCGCGUCGCUCCCGGACUCGCACACCACCCACGACACCUUCCGCGGGGUCCAAGUCAAGUGGACCUCCACCGCGCGCGCCGUCGACCGCGGCUCCGGCGGCGGAGGCGGGGGUGGGUACGGUAACCCGUACAACAUGUUCGGCCGCGGCGGCCAUGGCGGCGACCAGCGCGGCCUCGAGCUCCAGUUCCCGCGCCAGCACCGGGACCUCAUCCACCACCACUACAUCCCGCACCUCAUCGACGAGGCCACCCGGAUGCGGCUCAAGUCGCGGGAGCGACGGCUCUACACCAACCGCGCCACCGGGCCCGGCGACGACCACCACCGCCUCUGGACGUCGCACGCCUUCUCGCACCCGUCCACGUUCGACACGCUCGCGCUCGACCCGACGCUCCGCGAGGAGAUCCGCGCCGACCUGCUGCGCUUCGCCGCGCGACGGGACCACUACGCGCGCGUCGGCCGAGCAUGGAAGCGCGGGUACCUGCUCCACGGCCCGCCGGGCACGGGCAAGACCAGCCUCGUCGCCGCCAUCGCCAACCUGCUCGAGUUCGACGUCUAUGACCUGGAGCUCACCACGGUGCCCACCAACUCACACCUCCGCCGCCUGCUCGUCUCCACCACGCCCAAGUCCGUCGUCGUCGUCGAGGACAUCGACUGCUCCCUCGACCUCUCCGACCGCAACAAGAAGAAAAAGAAGGGCGGUCUUGGCGCCGGGGGCAACGGCGGUGCCGACAACGACGAAGACGCCGCGGCGCAGCUCGCCGUCAUGUCGAUGUCGCCGGCCGCCGCCGCGGCCAUGGCCGUAAUGGGGCGGGAAUCCAUAAGCCUCUCCGGGGUGCUCAACUUCGUGGACGGCCUCUGGUCGUCCUGCGUCGGCGAGCGCCUGAUGGUGUUCACGACCAACCACCCGGAGCGCCUGGACCGGGCGCUGCUCCGCCCGGGCCGCAUGGACAAAAAGAUUGAGCUCGGCUACUGCACGCCACCCGCGCUGCGCGUGCUCGCCAAGAACUACCUCGGCGUCGGCGACGAGGGCUGCGAGGACGCCGAUGAGGACCCCGACACCGUGAACACCCUCAUGGCCGAGGCCGAGGGCCUGCUCGCCCCCGACGAGGUACAAAUCACGCCCGCCGACAUCGCCGAGGUGUUCAUGGGCUGUGACGGCGCUGGUGCCGCCGCCGGGCUGAGGAAGCUUGUGGGCGAGCUGCACCGGAGGCGGGAUGCUGCCGCGGCCACGGCCGUAGUAGCACCGGGUGAGGAGACGCCGGAGUGAAAGCCAGCCAGGGAUCCUACGUGGCGCGCAACCAUGCAUGGCUGCCUAGUCAGCUUCCAUUACUUUGACGCCUUGACGGUGGUUUGUUUAUGAGUCGUGACGGUGCCCCUCUAUUGUAGUACGCAUGGAGUUUGCCUUUUUUUUUUUCGUUUCUGUAUUGUAACUUUGUAAGUACGUAUGGAGCCCGGAGUUAUUAUUAUUAGGAAAUAAUGGACGUUGAUUACCCAGGCACAAACAAUACAUUUUACAUGACAGAGCUCGCAUAAUGCAUGCACAUGAUGCACUGCACCGAUGGUUUCAUUUUCAGCACAUAGGUGUAAAGUGCCGAAAGGCAGCGCCGGCUCGACCGUGACAUAAGUGUGUGUUUAAUUAGUUACUUUCCUUAUGCGUUGUGGCCAAGAAUGCCUAGCCAAAAUUUGUCAAAAUUGGUCUCCGCAAUUUUUUUGACCUUAUAGCCCUUACAAUUUACUAUCUUAGAUCAUUUUAUUAACUAAAGUUAACCAUAACCUUGAUGACUAAUUUAACAACUGAAACUUGGUUAUCUCAAAAAUAGGCUUGGCUAGUACAUGCCACAUCUGUGUAAAAACCAAAGGGGCCAACCACAAAGUGAGUCUAGAUCUAGUUGUUAUAUAGAAAAAAAAAAAGUAAAGGGUCGAUGCCCACGCCUCCUCACCGCUGACAGCGUCCUUGAAGAAAGAGAAGGAAAGGGAUUGGCAACGACAAUGGAAAACCCCAAGCACCCAACUUAUACUUUUCAAACAGCCAACAAUAUCUUUCUUUCAUAAUAAAUCAACGAACGGAAUUUUCAGCCAUAGUUUUUCAAGUUAGACGAGGAUGCCAACCCAUACGAAUAUAAGAUAACUAUGGCCUUGUUUAGUCACACCGAAUCCAAAAAGUUUUCAAGAUUCUCCGUCACAUCGAAUUUUGCGGCACAUGCAUGAAACAUUAAGGCCUUGUUUAGUUCCGAAAAGUGAAAAGUUUUCGGUACUGUAGCACUUUCGUUUGUUUGUGACAAAUAUUAUCUAAUUAUAGACUAACUAGGAUCAAAAGAUUCGUCUCGUAAUUUACAGCUAAACUGUGUAAUUAGUUUUUGUUUUCGUUUAUAUAAUGUGGGAGAGCGAAGUAUUGUGAAAUGUACGAGUCUAGGCUCUUGCUAGUAUUUUGUCUUUUUCACGGCUAAUUCAAAAUUGACUCAGCCAACUCUAAGCUAGACUAUUUGUAUAUGCCUAGAAAUUGUGAACAUAAAAACAUAUUCCCUCCGUCCACGAAAGAAUCAAUUCCUAGUAUCCGUAUCAGUCGAAUUUUUUUAAAGUUUGACUAAUUUUAUAGAAAAGAGUAACAACAUCUAUGAUAUAAAAUGCGCAUCAUAUGAAAAUAUAUUUUAUAAUAAAUCUAAUUAUACUAAUUUGAUACCAUAAAUCUUAACACUUUUUAAAAAAAAUUAAUCAAAACUUAAAAAAUUGACUUAGAACAACUUUAAAAAUUGAUUUCAUGGACGGAGGGAUUCCUCAUUCUGUAAAUAUCAUAAAUGUGUCCCCACGUUAUAAAAAUACCGCUUCAAAUUCCUCUGCACAUCCAAAAACAUCGCUGCUAAGCAUCUCCAAGAGACUUCCUAAAUGCUAAAUGCUAGGAAUACAGAUUUUAAUGAAAAAUUACUCUCCAACAGUUUCUCUAAAUGGUCGUCCAAAUAUAGAUAGUUCGCUAGCCAAAUAUAGAAGACAAGAAUGACUCUCUAGAGUGCGUAUGAAAUUUAGCAAAACUGUUGGAGAGUGAAAAGAUAUAGAAAACAAUUUUUAUGCAAAUGACUCUUUAAAUAAUAAUUUAGAGAAUGAAAUUUAGAAAAAGUCUUCGAGAUGCUCGGGCCAUCCAUGAGACUAAGGUGUCAUAUCAUACCGGCGUCUUCCCUGAGUGGCUGACUGUGACUUAAUGUCGCUGAAACCAAACCAGUGGUUUAGAUCAUCUCCAAGAGUUUGUCAAAAUUCACUUGCUAAAUCUUAUGAUUUGACAAGUUGCUAAAACAUAUAGCAAAUGAAAUUUUAUAGUCUCUCCAAUAGUUUGCCAUAUAAGCUUGUUAAAACUUAAAAAGUAGGCCUACUUCUAAACCUCCGUCAACUAAUUUUGUUCGACGCUUCACUGGCCGCCCGCGACACUCCUCGCCUUGCCGCGCGCCGCCACACAUCGCCGCUUCCUGCAGCCACCCAAAUCUCAUCCUCCGCUGGCCCCCAACAUCGAUAUCUGAUCCAGCCGCAAUCCUGUUCAUCGAGUCAGCGAGUCCAAGGCAAGCCAGCAAGCCAGCGGAAUCAUUCAAGGCAUAUGAACCAUGAUCGCUAAAUCAAAUCAAGGCAUAUGACCCUACGGGAACCAAAUCAAAGAAUGGAGUUGGACUGAGAUCAGAUCAAGGAUAAUGUACCUCAGGAUCGGGAGGAGGGCGACCACCGUGACUGUGUCUGUUCGAGUCCAGGAGGCACUUCGCGAUGGGAUCUGGAUCCAAUCCUCACGAGGAAGACGCCGGCGCAGCUGGUUCUUCGAGUCGCGACAGGAUAUAUGAAGCAGUACGAGGCCUGGUGGCGCAGCAAAUGCAGGGUGAAAGUUCCAUCUGCGCGCGUGAGAGGAGGCGGGGCCGGCGAUUCACGGGAUGGCAAGUCCCCUGCCACUCGUAAAUAUGCACGUGAACGACCGGUGGAUGGCAAGUUGGAAAAAUUUGCCAAGCCAUAUGCCAAACUGUUGGAGUUUGAUUUUUCUAGUUUUGCCAAAAAACCAAGGAUAGCGAGUGGUUUUGGCAAACUCUUGGAGAUGCUCUUACCCAACCUAAUUUUGUUUGGUGUCAAGUCAGGUUAGGUCACUCCACAUCCUGAUACGAGACGUCUUUCUCGGACUAGUAUAAUGCCCGUGCUAACGUCACGGUUUUUUCUAGGGAAUGCUAUAGUAAUUUUUUUAGAGUUUUAAUUUUGGGUAAUUGUUUUUAAGUCUAUAGACAUUUUAUGAAUCAUCAGUACAUAAAGACAUCUUUACAUUUUCUCUAACUUUUUAAUCAAAUAUUGGAUAUCUUCAGGGAUUUUGUUGUAGCACUCGUUUGCACGACUCGCCAAAAUUUCAGCCAAGAACUCCGUCCUUAGUGAUAUAUAUAUAUAUAUAUAUAUAUAUAUAUAUAUAUAUAUAUAUAUAUAUAUAUACAAUGACAUAUAGAUGAGAAGUAAUUACGAAUCCUUUUUGCAUUCUUCGGGCAAUCAUAUGGUUAGUUUCCCAAGACGACAUUUCAAUACCGUGCUCCCAUUUGCUUGUGUCGAGGUUUUUGUUCUCUACUACAUGUUUAAUUAUUCUUUCCAUUCCUAUUAACUGUUAAAGCCGAGAGACCAAGUUAAUUUUGAAUUAUUUAGUUCAAUAAGUUAAAAAAGUAUGUGUACAUCAUAUAGAUAUUAUGUUGUACCGUGUUUCGAAGAUAUACACAUUCUAUCAUUUGCAUUCCAAUAGAGUCCAUCAUCUGCAUUCCAAAAGAGUCCAAUACUUGUAUCUCUCGUUUUAAAGCAUUCACGACUGCGAGGUACCAGUGACAGAGUGGAAUAUUGAUGGGUAGAAACACUUACAGACAUAAAAAUUUAUGCUCAUUAUAUAUUCUUAUUUGGACGGUAUAAAAUUUAUCAUAUGGCAAAUGUUAUGUCUAAGCUUAACAUAUCAGCUUUAAAAUAAUCCUUUACCUUUGAUUCAGACGCGGUUUGUUUUGAAUCCCUAAAUCUUUAGGAUCUUGCUCUCCAUGAGCUUUUAGGAUCUUGCGUCGGCGUCACAGGCAAAUUUUUUUCGCGCUUGAGGAAGAGAUACGUAGAUCAACUGGAAUUCGCUGAUCACCGUCAACAUGCUAUCCAGGCAAAAAAAAUUUCGCGCUUGAGGAAGGGAUACGUAGAUCGACUGGAAUUCGCUGAUCACCGUCUCCCAGCUGUCCGCUGAUCAGACCGUCCGUCCGUCGACGACGCCGGCGUCACAGACAAAAAAAAAUUUGCGCUUGAAGAACACGCAUCUGAGGGCGCUCUCCGGUGCGGCGGAGAGGCUGGCGCUGUGCAAGGCCGACCUGCUCGACUACGACACGCUGCGGUCGGCUGUCGCCAACUGCCACGGCGUCUUCCACACCGCGUCGCCCGUCACCGAUGAUCCGGUACGUAUACGUGUAACCUAUAGUACUUGAAUACGGAUAUACUAAGAUCGAUCUAUGAUCACGGUACAUGUCACGUACUGUAACCAGGCUGGUCUUUGGAGGAAAAACGUUUUCUCCUGUAUGUACUCCAGUAGAGACCAUAUACAGCACCUACUGGCUACUACAACUAUUUAUUAUUUAUUAUUAAAAAAAGGAUCAACCAAAAUCACAGUAAAAAGAUUUAUUACUCUAGUAGUAGAAUAUUUUUACGACAGAAACUUCUCUUGCAUGCAUGCAUGCGUGCAAAAUUCACCCUCUGGAGCCAGAUGCGUGUUUUGACCUGGUUAUGGUGGAGAUUAGUGGGUCGAAUUAGUGGGCUGCGGUGGAGAUGAGUUUGUUGGAACGUGAGUUUGUCUGGUCUAACGGCCCAAGAAGUUUUCAAUUAUAGUGGAGAUUAUAUUAUAUGUUCGUAAUUGGUGCAACUUUCCAAUAAUAGUUAAAAGUUUUUCACCAGAUUUACUCUCUACCAUAUAUGUCAAAGCUUCUACUCAUGGCGUUUUCCAUCUAGCACUUUGAUAGGUGACAACCUGAAAGCGACUACGAACGCGAACCACACAUGCGCACAUGGCGUCACACGUCGCUCGCGGCACAUUUCUGAACAACUCUCUUGCUGCUGAGAUCGUCGACGAGCUUCUGCAGCGCGGCGAGGUCACCGUCGCCGUCGCAGCCCAUGAACACCUCCGCGACGUCGGCCGGCGUCAAUUGCACCUCCUCCAGCAACCUCUCUGCCUCUCCGACCAGCUCCUCGUACCUGUGGCCACCAUUAGUAGUCAGCUCGAAAUCGCCGUCUCCGAGGUAGUUCUUGGCGAGCACGCGCAGCGCGGGGCCCUUGCAGUAGCCGAGCUCAAUCUUCCGGUCCAUCCGGCCGGGCCGCAGCAGCGCCGGGUCGAGGCGGUCGACGUGGUUGGUGGUGAACACGAUGAGGCGCUCCCCGACGCACGACGACCAGGCUGAUCUUCUCCCCGUACAUCCCGGCGGGGCCUCCUCCCAUCGGCGGGAAUCGCGACAUGGUGAGAUGGCGCGGCGGCGCAUUGUCUCUCCGCUCUGCAUCGUCAGUCGACGUCGUCCGGUCGAGGAAGCCGAGGGAGCAGUCGAUGUCCUCGACGACGAUCACUGACUUGGGGCGGGUGCAGGCGAGCAGCCUCCGGAGGUCGGUGUUGGAUUGCACCGUGGUGAGCUCCAGGUCGUAGAUGUCGAACUCGAGGAGGUUGGCGAUGGCCGCGAUGAGGCUGGUCUUGCCGGUGCCCGGCGGGCCGUGGAGCAGGUACCCGCGCUUCCACGCGCGGCCGGCGCGCGUGUAGUGCUCCCGGCGCCGCACGAAGCGGAGCAGGUCCGCGCGGAUGCCGUCGCGGAGCGCCGGGUCCAUGGCGAGCGUGUCGAACGUGGAUGGGUGCGCGAACGGGUGCGACGACCACAGCAUCUCGUGGGCGUCCGGCCCGCCGCAGCCGCCGCCGUCGCUGUUGUUGGUGUAGAGCUUCCGCUCCCGCAUCUUGAGCCGCAGUCGUGCGGCCACGUCGAGGACGUGCGGGAUGUACGCGUCGUAGCUCGCAAAGCUCAAGCCUUCCUCUCUGGCAGUGCAGUGGUUUGACUGUAUGUCUGUAUCCAUGGCGGACUUGGUGUGUGACGCGACUUCGAUCUCCCUCGCAGUCGCUCGCAUAUGGUUUGAAGCAUCCGUGCCAUUUGGCGCGAAUGUAUAGCUGUUCGGAACCGACUUUGCGCUUGGUCAGUCGUUAGACUGCCGAUCAAAACUGAUGUGCCGAGUGAGUUGACUUGACGAACAACGCAUCAUUUUCUUGGUACUCGUACCUAUUAAAGGAAAGGAAAAAAUACUAUGCGUGGCACAGCCUGUGGCUGGCCGACACGUGGCUCAGAAACGUGGACUCGGCUCUCGCUCGACCAUGCGGCAUUGCCCGGUGGAACCUUCUGGGGACCUGCAAACAGGGGUAAGUCGUGUCGUACGGGAGGCGGUGUGCGACGGUGUACCCAGGCCUUGACUGCUUCACUCAAAAUCCAAAAAUUUUCAAAGAUUUUUCGUCACACCGAAUCUUUAACGUAUACAUAAAUUAUUAAAUCUAAACAAAAAUAAAAACUAAUUGAACAGUUUGGUCGAAAUUUAUAAAACGAAUCUUUUGAGUCUAAUUAAUUCAUAAUUAGACUAUAUUUACAAACGAAAAUCCUAUAGUAUUGCGAAAUUUUUCCAAAAAAAAACUAAACACAGCCCAAUCGCCAAGGAAUUAAGCAGACACCAGAACCACUAGUAGCCUUGAACCGUGACGGCCAAGGUACUGAUGCGCCGCCAAGAUUUCUUUUAUUUUCCCCCCACGAGACGCCAGAACCACGAGUAGUACAAACAAGUGAACCACGAGACGCCAGAACCACGAGUAUAGUUCACGCCAAAAAUAAAACAUUUUUCAAGAUUCUCCAUCACAUCAAAUCUUGCGUUACAUGUAUGGAGUAUUAAAUAUAGAUAAAAACAAAAACUAAUUACACAGUUUGCCUGUAAAUCAUGAGAUGAAUCUUUUAAGCUUAGUUAUUUCAUAAUUGGACAAUGUUUAUCAAAUAAAAACGAAAAUGUUACGGUAUCAAAAUCUCGAAACUUUUUUGAUCUAAAUAAGGCCUUAGCGUCACGAUCUGUUCGGCCAAAAAAAAGUAUGAUUGGAUAUAGUAUGCUUCAUGUGAAUUAAAUAAUCGUGAUUGUUAAUUGAAAUGACAGUUCAACAAAUAAAGUGUAUUUCAAGUACUACCUCUCUCCACAAAACCUUGCAAUUUUCUAGAUGUAUUUUUUUUUGUGAAACCGUCUUAUAUAUGUAUAAGUAUUCAUGUUUAUGAUGCAACUUUUAAGUUUGGCACAAGAAUCAGUUUUGUUUCUCAUGUGAAUCAACUGAAUCGGUGCCAAACGGUUUGACGGACCCGGGUUCCAAUCCGAAUGAUUCACUUUUCAUGCGUUAAGACUUAAACUGCUAGACGGUGGUUUCUUCCUCUCCUCUACAUCAACGAAUGUUUUUUUAAUACAAUAAAUUAAAAUGGGUAGUGUAUAAGAUGUUCUUUGCCUAUAAAAAAAGCUUUAGAUUUUCUGAAGCAUAUUUUCAUUUAUAUAAUUUUUUGUUAAAAACAUAUUUUUUAAUUAGAAUCUAGUUUAUUAGCUAAACGAUUUCAUAAAGAGGUUCUAAUUCAUCAUCUAAAAUGUUUCUUAAGAGAAUGUGGAUCUAAAACUUGUCUAGGGGAAUCUUGAUCACUACCCCUCAAUGAUUCUGCCACUGCCGAGCCACCGCCCAGCCACCCCGGGCGGCCGGCCGGGCUUCUCGUCAAAAUACAAAAAAAUCUUCUUUAUAUUUAUAUAAAAUUCUAUGAUUUUAUAGUUAAAUAUUUUUACUUAAUAUAAAAUUCUGUAAUUUUAUAGUUAAAUAUUUUUGUUUAAUGAGAAUUGCUCGGGCUCUUGAAAUCUUCUGGCUUUGCCACUAGAUUCUGCAUGACCUUCAAGGUGGUUAAAAAUCUAGGAAUGACUACUCCAUCCGUCUCUAUUUAAAAGUCACCAUGAGAUUUGUAUCGGUCAAACUUUCUCAAGUUUGGCUAAGCUUGUAGAAAAAAAUAUUAAUAACAUUUGCAUCUCUAAACAAAAUUUUUUAUGAAAGUAGAUUUAACAAUCUAUCUAAUGAUAUGUAUUAUAAAUAUUAAUAUUUAUUUUAUGUAUUUAAUCAAAAUUUAAAUAUUUUUGACUUUUCGGGAUGUGAGAACAACUAUUAAAAAAAUAUAAAUGGAGUAUACAACAUCAGCGAACGAUCAUUUAGUACAACUGUUACAUCGUUUAAGUAGCAUAGCAAACUCGCGUGUUUGGUUCACGUCAUGAUGAAACGACGAAGGAUGGUGAACCUAUAUCCGAGCCUAGGCGUUGUUUAGAUUGGAAAUAAAAAAAAUUUUGGAUGUCACAUCGAUAUGUCGGAAGAAUGUGGGGAGAGAUUUUUAGAAACUAAUAAAAAAAUAAAUUACAUAGUUCGUCCGGAAACUGUAAGAUAAAUCUAUUAAGCAUAAUUAAUUUGUUAUUAGCACAUGUGGGUUACUGUAUCACUUAAGGCUAAGAGCAUCUCCAACAUUUGGCCAUUUGUGUUAUGCAUUCUAGGAAUUUGCCAAAAACCAUAAAAAUUGCUCUCCAAUAGUUGGCCAUUUGACUUAUGCAUUUUGCCAAACUUGGCAUUUGAUGGACCAAACUAGGCAUUUUUGCAUAGGCUCUUUGGUUUGGCAAAUUUAGAAUCCCGGGAAUCCAGGACUUCUUGUCCACGCUCGGUCGCAUCCUUCCCCCUCCCGGCCGCGACUCUUUUUUUUCCCGCCCGCGCGCGACUAUUUCCUUUUCUUCGCGUCCUUUUCAUCGCGACGGGGCGAUGCGCUUUGGGGCGAGACGACGGGGCAAUGCACUUUGCUACACGACGGGGCGAUGCGCGUUGGGCGAGACGGCGGGGCGAUGCACUUUGCUAGACCACGGGGCGAUGCGCCUUCGGCCGAGACGAAGGUACGACGAGACGACGGGGCGAUGCGCCUUCGGCCGAGACGCGGUACGACGAGACGACGGGGCGAGACGACAGGGCGAGACGACGAAGCGCCGCCGCGAUGUACACCGGCGAUCGAUGGCAAUCUCCGAUGAAAUCCUCGAUGGAAUUGGCGGUAGAAUUUCCCGCGCGCGCGAAGGAUAGGAAUCGCGGCAAGAGCGCGAAAAAAAGGAAUAUCCCGGUGGGUCCACAAUUUAGGAGAAUGGCAACUCAAAAAAUGGCCAACUGUUGGAGAUCUCCUCUUUUUUCCUUUGGCAAAUGGUUCUUAGACUUGGCAUUUUCCAACAAAUGGCAAAGUACAAAUGGCCAACUGUUGGAGAUGCUCUAAUCAUGGACUAACUAUGCUUAAAAGAUUUGUCUCUCAAUUUUCAACCAAACUAUGUAAUUAGUUUAUUUUUAUCUAUAUUUAAUAUUUCAUGCAUGUGUCAAAGAUUCGAUGGAACUAAACAGGGCCUAACCGUGCCAUUUGUUUGGACGCAUCGGUUCAACUCAUCCGUCACGAGGUCGUUCCACAAGCAGGCAAAAGUCACAGACCACCUCAUUCUCGUCGAAACCAUCAGACGCGCGCAUUCUCGGAAGACUCCCCUCUACUAACCAAAUACAAUCAAAGCAUGACUUGAACCUACAAGGAAUUUUGAUAUGCUAGAUCAAUUCAUUACAGAUGAAAUACUCCAUGAACCAAACACGCUGUAAGUUUCCCGUCACAUCAAAUUUUUAGACGUAUGCAUAGAGUAUUAAAUAUAGACAAAAAUAAAAACUAAUUGUACAGUUUGGUCAGAAUUGACGAGACAAAUCUUUUGAGCCUAGUUAGUCCAUAAUUGGACAAUAUUUGUCCAAUACAAAUGAAAGUGCUGCAAUGUCGAUUUUCAAAAAAAUUUGGAACUAAACAAAGCCCCAAUAUUUUGUCACCGUGGUCUAGAAUUCGUGUAGGGACUACGGAGAAGGGAAGGUCCGGAUUUGAGUGACCAAGGUACCAGCUUGUAACGCUAGUUUUAGAGUGGUGGGAUAUUUAUAUCCCUUUGCCCUCUCUUUUGUGAGUUGUUGAUUCGUAGUGAUAUAGAAAUAUUCUAAAGUUAGCAGUUGGGUUUCUUUCCUUCUCAAAUUGGUAAUUGGGUUUCCUUACUUCUCAAAUUGGUAUUCCGAGUGGCGAAAAUAUGUUUCAAUGACCUUUGCCAAGAAUGAAUUGAGAAAUAAGAUGGAUCAUAGCCUUUUGUAUGAUUGUCUAGCCACUUCCGUUGAGAGAGAUUGCUCCUGAAAAGGAAAUGUCGAUUGACGAUUCACAUACAUCCUGAUUUGAACUGCAAGUUAAUAUGUAGGGAAUAAACAAGCAGCGAUCCAGGGACUUUCCCCGCGCCGAUAGAUGCUGGGGUAACUAUGCAUUGGCUGGACGCCCAACACAAAUAUUUUAGGUGACUCUCAAAGCAUAAGUUAAUUAAAUUAAUGAUUUCCUCCCCCAAGAAUAACUCAGAUUUGCGAAGUAUGCAUAUAAGACAAACAUGGAGCUAAUCACCCUAUGAAUUAAUGUUACUACUACAGCAUAAAGUAAAGAAAAGAAAUUAAAAAAUGCUGUACUGCAGUGGAGUUCAAGCCCCAAGAGUCUUCUGCUUCUUGGCAGUAUUGAUGUAGGGCCGCAGCACAAACUCGCUUUGCGCUUCAUUUUGUUCCACGGUUCCUAGUUUGAUCUGGUGGAGAAAAGCAACAUGUUAAUACUGACCAAAAAUUACUUUGCAAUGAGAGCCUCUAAUAGUGUGUUGAUGGAAGAAUUAUGUCACCUGGUACAGCCGCAACUCAAACCGGGGGCCAACCUCCUUCAGGUCGAUCGAUUUGGGGCCACCUGGUUUUUCAUAGACAUGAUGCCUUAUGACAAAAUUAAAGGAGCUGUAAGUCUUCCCAUGAAGUGUAAAAAGCAUAUCGGCAACAAGCGCUCUACAUCAUAGUCUAGUCACCAAAGAAACUAUAUUGCAUAAAUAGUGAAAUGCGUACCUGAAAGAGAUAUAGUCAUCUCUGUUAGCAAAAGUAAUUAUUCGCUUUGAAUCUGGCUUUGGCACAGGAAAGAGGUGCUUGAGAAUAGUUGCAGUCCUUUCACCAAUCUGCAAAGGAUGUCAGGUUAUUAAACUGUUGUGGUCAUGCAGGACACAGCGUUCAAUGCUGUCUACAAUUCAGAAAACAGGAAUAUAGCUAAUCUACAAGUAGAAAGACAAGCUAUAUCACUAGUAAAACUCCAAAGAGAGUUUAAGUUGCUACAAUCCAAUCCAUUCUAGAAACUAACCAGGUCACAGAAUGGCUCCACUCUCAUCAGCCAAACAAAGUGUCUCAUGCUAAAUCUAACCUUCAGAAGCUAUAGUGGACUGAGACUUGUCUUCACAGUAGCAUGUACAUAUCAGGUUAACAAUAGUUUUUUAUUAAGGAAAAAAAAGAUAAGAAAAGCAAAGCAUAUCAAACCAGUGAAAGUGGAGGUUUUCAGUCUAAGUUAUGAAUGGAUUUAGGUGUCUUUCAUGUAAUAACAUCUCAGGUUAACGAGAAAGACAUCAUUGCAACCUCCAAAAUUAAGAAUAAAUAGCAAGCACAUCACAAGACAAACGACAUCACAGCCUCAGAGUGCUGUGGAAAUACUAGAAUUCAUUUCAACUGUGUUUAAUUUGGAAAAGAAAUUAACAGAAACAAAAGGAAUCACCAAACGACCAAAGAAUAAGAAAAGCAUAGAGUGUGGAGGUUCUCAGUCGAGUUCUGAAUGGAAUUAGGUGUCUUCCAUGCAAUAAAUACUCAGGUUAACGAGAAAGACAUCAUUGUAACCUCCAUUGUAACAGGGAUAGAUAGGAAGCACAUCCCCAAGUUAACAAGACAAACAUUAUCACAACCUCGAGUUCCGUGGAAAUAUUAGGAUUCACUGCAACUCUAUUUAAUUUAGAACAAAAAUAACACAAGUCAAACAACAUCACAGCCUCAGAGUGCUGUGGAAAUACUAGAAUUCAUUUCAACAGUGUUUAAUUUGGAAAAGAAAUCAACAGAAAUAAAAGGAAUCACCAAACGACCAAAGAAUAAGAAAAGCAUAGAGAGUGGAGGUUCUCAGUCGAGUUAUGAAUGGAAUUAGGUGUCUUCCAUGCAAUAAAUGCUCAGGUUAACGAGAAAGACAUCAUUGUAACCUCCAUUGUAACAGGUAUAGAUAGGAAGCACAUCCCCAAGUUAACAAGAUAAACAUUAUCACAACCUCGAGUUCCGUGGAAAUAUUAGGAUUCACUGCAACUCUAUUUAAUUUAAAACAAAAAUAAAUAGAGCCACCAAACAACCAAAGAGAGAAGUUAAACAUAGAAGACUACUCAAGGUGGAGGCUCUGCCUUGAGCUAUGAAUGGACCUGUCUUUCAUCGAACAAACAUGUAUCAUGUUACGAGAACACAUCAUUGCCUCCCAACAUUGUAAAAUAGGCGUGCACAUGGUGGAUGCUAGGCAAAAAAAGCGAAUGAAAAUACUGUCACAAACAAAUCACAACACCCUCAAUUUGUUAUAUCUUUAGAAUCAAUGCUGCUCAGCUAGUCUUUGAAUGGAUAUAUUCUAUCCGCAUAGUAUAUCUCAGGUUAACGAGAAGUCCAUCAUGGCAGCCACACAAGGUAGUGAGAAAAGUAUAAAGUGUAGUGUGAACACUUGUUUACAUUCAAAAUUUUGUUUGAUGUGAGCAGCAGUAUAUUUUGGAUCGGAACUAUAGUUAAAUCAAACAAUGUGUAGAUAGGAAAAUGAAAUAAAACAGUGAACUUGAGUGGAAACAGCAGGAGAAGCAGAAAAUUUCCAACAAUUCUUUAAUAAUGAGUAUGUGUACGAGGGAGAGCAGUUCUUGAAAAAGCUAUCAGACUGGAAAGAAACAUCACGGGAGCCUCCAGUUCCUAAUAACAGACAAGGAAUAAGGUAUAAACAAAAAACAACUGUCCCCCAUCCCCCCACCCACAGCACGCACGCACACACAUUCUUCAGCAUUUUCAUCCCAACAACUCAAGUUGCUUACCUUUCAAGCAAAUAUGGUGAACAAGAACAAGACACUACGACAACAAAGAUAAGGCAUGAGGGCAAGCAAACUAAAAAUAACUGUUCACAUGUUACAAUGCAAGUAUGAUCCACCUGAGUUGAGAAGUUGUCCAGUAUUAAAUGGGGGUAAGCUUCUGACAUUUUGCCCAUUGUCUUCCUGUCCUUGAUAUCAUGACGUGUCACCUGCACACAACACCAAAACCUCAGAUACAACCAAGUGUGGGCAAUCAUUGUGUAAACUUGUGCUCGGCACAAGCCCAGAAUAUGUAUACUUCAAAAAACGUUAAGCACACUUACCACAUUGAGCAACCCAAAGUAUGCAGUUGGACCAUGAGGUAGAUGCGAGACAAUCAAACCAUCAGGUUGACCACGGUGUUCAUGGACCAAAAUAAGAUCUGUUAUAUCAUGGGAGCGGCAGGACUCGACAAUUUCUGAUAUGACCUGCCAAAAAUACAGAUGAGUGAAGAACAAGAACCAAGGCAACAAAAUACUAAAGCGUGACGAAUUUUGCACGACAAUAUGUUCACUACAUAAACAUCAUGGACAACCAGUUUUAAUUUAUUGCAAAGGAUACAUAGCAAGUACUAUAUGUGGCUGAAACAAAAAGAACAUGGCAUUCUAUAAAGGGCUGCCACACUAUACCUGACCACCACGGUUCAUUCUUUGUGAGUUUGGGAAGACAACCUUGAGCUCCUGGUCAUAGCAAAAGAACCAGAGAGGUGGGUUUAGCUGAAUUCCUGAGUGUAAUGCAUCAUUUGAACCCAUGGAAAGGGGAAAUCAUCUAAAAACUCCCAUCAAGCAUACCUUGACAAACUGAGUUAGGGGCGCGCUGGGAUUGCGAGACGUGGUCAAGAGUAUCUUGGGCUCCCGAACGGUGGCAGUGGCGUACUCGUUGUCAACGAUGCUCUUCGGAACUAGUAAACGAACACAUCAUUAGCCAGGCACAAACGAUGCAAACACACCACUCCCUACCGCAAAUGGAGUAAAGAGGGGGGAUACGGCACCAGCGCGCACCUUGACGCUCCUGGUCCUCGAGGUCGAUCUGCCUCCGCAGGUCGUGCUCCUCGUUGCGGAGCUCGGUGGGGAUGGGCUUGCCCUCCUCGAGCGCCGCCCGGAUGCGGCGCUUCUUCUCGAAGAGCGCCCGCUGGGGGCCCUCGAGGCUCUUGGUGUACAGGUACUCCCGACGCUGACGUAUAUUCCGCCGUAGCAUCUUCGCUUCCCUCCUCCUCUUCCAAGCUCGGAUCUUUUUUGCAAAAAAGUCAGAAGUUAAUAAGCAUGAAAUCGCCAAAUAGCUUGGGGUUAGAGUUUGGGAGCUCUGUUUCGCACAACAUACAAGGAAGAGAAGGGGUGGGGAUACCUAGUGGGCGCUCUUCGCCGGCGAAGGACUCGGCACCUGGCGUAGGGCGGCGGCGGCGGCGGCGGUGGCGGGGGCUAGGGAGAGCGAGCGCUGGCGGCUGGCACUGGGACUCUGGGGUCAGUGGCGGAUGCAGGUCGCGGUUCGGAGUAUAUAUCCGCUUGGUUGUAGUUGGGCCUUUAAUGGGCCCUGACCUUCCAAGUUGUGGGUUAGCGGGAAACGGGAACGGAGAACAGGAAGCAUCGCACGAGACGAGGAUAGGGAUAAAAGCCUUCUGCCGUCAACUGUUUUUUUUUAAAAAAAAAAGAUACGUUUUUUCUCUCUUUCCCUUUUUAUUAUUCUUCUUAUUUUUUACUCCAUUAAUUCAUUUUAAAUUAGAAGACAUUUUAUUUUUUCUAGAAAUACAAUAUAUCUAGAAAAAAUAAAACAUCUUACCAUUUGAAACAGAGAGAUGAAAAACAUAUACUAUACAUGGCCAUCCUGUCGUGUCGGCACGACACGCAGGCACACCGUGCCGUGCCGACACGGCACUACAGCGUGCCGGCCGUGCCGUGCCUGACCGUGCCAUGGUCCAGGUCAUCGGCCCACAGCACGGCACAUGGGCCGGAUUUUCCGUGCCGUGCCGCCCAUGAGCCAUGGCCAUUUUGACCGUGCCAUGCUGGUACACCGGAGGAGGAGGACUGGAGGAGGAGGGAAGGCCGGACCGCCGGAAAGGGAAAGGAGGUAGGAGAGGGAGAACGAGCGGGCGGCGAGGUGUCGAGGUCACCAGAGCAGGGGCAGGGCCGACCGGCCGGCGAGCUCAAAGCGAACGGCGGCGGGCCAGCGGCGGAUUGGAUCAGCUCUGACUGAGUGAGUGAGUCAGGGAGAGCGAGAGCCGAGACCGAGAGGCGAGAGCUGCGGCUGCGGGGGUGGGGGAAUGAAUUAGGGUUAGCCGGUUAGGGUUGGUGGAGGCUUUUAUAUGGCGAGCGAGGCGAGGGUGGGAUGGGGUGCUGGCCGGCCGUGCCGUCCACCGUGCCGGCCCUCUGGUCGUGUCGUGCUCGUGCCGUGUCAUGGGACAGGCCGACGGCCCAUGCACUGCACUAGCCUUCGUGCCGUGCCGGCACGGGCACGGUGUCUGCCGUGCCGUGCGGCCCAUGGGCCAUGCUAAAAGGCCGUGCUACGUGUUGUGCCGCCGGCCCACGGGCUGUCUGGAAAUCUAUAACAUAUACUCCCCCAUCCUUACAAAGGAAGUCAUUUUGGAUAAGGUUUGGGUUAAAUAUUAAAAAUAUAAAUCAUGAAUAACUUUUAAAUUAUUGAGUUUAGAUUUUGUCUUCAAAAAUGCUUUCAUAAAUAUAUAUAUACCACUUUCUCAUAAAUAAUUUUAUUAGAACAAGGAGUCAAAGUUAGAAUUUGGAGGUCGUGUCGCUAUCCUAAACGACUUUCUUUGUGAGUGCGGAGGGAGUACAUUCUAGCAUCUUUUGUAAAAGCUAUGGGUGUGUUUGGUUCCUAUCUCGUGGAAGCCUGGAUUAGAAUGGGUGUGUUUGGUUCCUGACUUGGCUUGCGCAUAGAAUCACCUUAUAUUUUUCAUGGUGACCGGCCUAUUGCACAUUCUAUCAUACACUUGGGAGGGGCAUCACCAGUGACGAGCUUGCCUCUAACGUCCAGUGCUCUAGUUCUUGCGGUGCGGGGCAGCCCUCUUGUCCUGAGGUGUCCUGGUGGGGUGUCGGUGGCUAAGGGGAGAGGAGGAGCAAGGAGCCCUAGAGGAAGUACUUGUCGGUCCCGGUGGCUGAGAGAAGAGACCUAGCAGGUGGAUGAGGGAAGAGGGAGGAGUUCGUGUGGUGGUGGAGUAUGGUCGGAGCUUCACCGUAUCAGUGGUGGCCGCGAGAGCACGAACCGAAGCUCACAUGCCAGCGGAGAUCCGAUGAGAGCUUGGUGGGGAUGGUGGCCGAUGGCGAAGAUCUAGGUUGACCUUGUCAAAGCUCGUGUGAUGGUGGGAGGAGCGUUGGUCGGUGGGAGCAUGGUACGAAGCUCUCAUGGGGGGUGCCCGGAGCUCUCGUGGUCCUCAUCUGUUGGGGGGGGGGGGGCGACGCCAAUCCACAGCGAUUGCUAGCAAAGCCAGGCCUUAUGAAAACGGGUCCUAAUUUCAUUUUUUCGGAACCAAGCCCAGCAGUGUACGGCGACCAGGUCUUAGCCAGGCGAAAGUCCAACUACAGGUAACCAAACGAGCCCAGAUUAGCUCCAGCAGACUUGACUAGAGUUUGAACACAUGACACCCAACUAAAUAAACACAUCCUAUAUUUUUUUUUGAUGAAAUACACAUCCUAUAUUACUUCAUCCAUUUAAAACUAUAACACAUUUUGACUUUUCUAAAUAAGUUUUUACUUUGUACAGUAUUUAGAUAUAUAUUAACAUUUUAUAAUUUAGAAGCGAGGGAGUAUAUAUGUAGUAUAUUUCUUGCAACGCAUUUUCCCCGAAACUGAAAACGAAGUUUGCACCGUUUCUGGACGUGGAUAGAAAGGUAACAGUAACAGGUAACGACAAUCAACAGUUGACUCCCCAGGGGCUACCGUACGGGCCGUAGUACUUCCAAAGUACUAAUGGUACACAUGAUAAGAGCUCUUGCAAGUGGGCAGAUGAGCACUGCUACACUGCUUUGCUAUGCAUACAGAAGUAAUAAGGAUCAAAGGACGCAGACAGAAAACAAAUUAAAAUACCCAACAAAUCAAAAAUUUCUAUGUUCAUUCCCAUCCCACAUUCCAAGAACUAGUGAAGAUCGAUCAUCAGACAGAACGGUUAUUACUUAUUAGUAGCAUAUAUAGCUAAUAUAUAACGCAACAUAACAAAAUAAACAAAUUAACAAACAAUCGGCGUGACUACAUAAUUGGUGCUAGCUAGACUGCUAGAUGAUGAUCUUCGAGUUUAUACUAAAACUCAAAUCGAUCGUAACUGAUUACAACCAUAUUGCAGACUCUCAAUAAUCUGAGAACAUUUCUAGCUAAUAUAGGGGCUAGCUUGCAUGCUACAACAACAUGCAGUAUUAGUGGCAUAUACCAAAGUUAUUAGUGGCAUGCAUGUCAUGCACACUUAUAUCUACAUAAAUAAAUCAGGCAUGCAUGAAAGCCCGAAACUAAACCAUUCUGCUCAAAGGAUCAAAUCUCAACUGCCGAUCUGAACCGAGCUAGCAUAUCAGGAGGAGUAGCUGGUGGAGCUCUUGCCGCUUGUCUCGCCGCCGCCGCUCGUCACGGUGACCUUGUCGCAGGACGGGCAGAUGGCGCUCGCCAUGGCCGUGGCCGGCGCCGGGAACGACUGGACGUAGAGCCCAGCCGCCGCCGCCGCCGACCGCUGCAGCUGCGCGAGCUCCAGCCUCAGCCGCUGGUUCUCUCCCGUCAGGCUCUCGCAGCAGCGCUUCAGUAUCUCGCAGUCCACCUCCGUUUGCUUCAGCUUUGUUCUGAUGAAAACAUCAUAUUUUUGCACAACAAAGUUCAGAACAUGCGAGCGGCCGCCAUUGCAGACUAAUUUUAUACGUAUAUAUACAUAUAUGUAUGUAUAUGCUACUCUUCAUAUAUACCUUGCCCUCCUAUUCUGGAACCACACUUCCACCUGUCUUGUGCUUAGAUUCACCUGCCGCGCGAGCUCCUGCUUCUGAGCCUGUCCAAACAUGCAUGAAACGAUCUUUUCGUCAGUUUCUACUAGACACAUGAGCAUGGUAUAAAAACAAAAAAUCCAUAUGUGCAGAGACGAACAAUAUAUAAUUCAGAUUCUAGUACUAGCUAGCUAAUAUGACAAAAAUCCAUAUGUGCAGACAUGAACAAUAUACUGAAGGAUGCAUACGUGGGAGAGUAUGUUGUGGGCGCGGAAGGUGUCUUCGAGCAGCGUGGACUGCUCCUUGGUGAGCCGGAGCUUCUUCCUCGCGCCCGCGCCGACAGCAACGUCGUCGUCACUGGGGCUCGGACCGCCAUGCGACGACUGCCCAUCGUCGUCGGUGAUGGUCGUCUUCGACCUCUUCCGUGCACCUUUCUCCGCUUUCUUGCUCGCGGUCGCGGCAGCUUCUUCCUUGACACUCCGCGGGAACAGCAUCAGGUCGAACUGCACCGGCGCCGGUGACCGGCUCCGCUUCAUCAGAUCGCCGCCGCCUAUCCCCAGGCCAAGCCAUGACUUCCCGAACCCCUCUUCCUCCAUGGCACGAGUGCUAUACGACAUGGCGCAGGGGGAGGUUGAGACACGUAGCUCUAGGCUAGCCCUAGCACCACCGCGCUUGAUGAAGAGGAAGAUGGUGGAUCGGAGAAGAGAAGAAGACGCCUGCUGCUGCUGGGUCAAGGCCGGAGUAGAGUAGUAGUACUAGACUUGGACUAGUAAGCAAGUAGCCGGCCGGCGUGUGAAGGCUUUUGCCUUGUUGCUUUAUAGGCGCAGGUGGCGGCCGGGAGACUAGCUCGCUCGCUCCUGCUCCUCGUCCUACCUGCGAUUGCGAAGCGAAACGGCAGAGGAGGACAAAGUCAGUUUCGUGUGUGGAUUGAAGAAGACAGGAUUAGUGAGAGGUUACUAAUCCUAAUUAAAGCGAGAGUGGACGUUUAUAUUUGAACGCAGAGAUGGAUUUGCAGGAAGGUAAAUGUUCCGAUUGGACUGGCCGGCCACUGAUGAGACGACGCAUGGAAAGGCAGCCGGUUAAGACCAGGAGGGCCGUUUCCUGGUCGCCCGCGAAUCAGAUGCAGCCAUCGAUGGUUCCUGAAACUGACGACAUUUUAAGAGGAUCAUCAUGUCGCUGAUGGGUAAUAAUUCUGGACAACAGUAGUUAAAAGCUAGCUCUAGCCUCCCUCUGGUCGUACGCAUGUACCCUUGUUUUUAUCUCCGUGGAAAAACUGUGCACUCGGUAAUAAUUUCGUUGCCUUGUGAUGAAACUCGGGUACACCACAGUAGUUGUGUGCGUCGGAAGGAGAGAAACGUACGAAAGCCCGUGCUGAGAGUGUAAAGCUAGAGUCUAGUAAGGGCACUCACAAUGCAAACUCUAUCAUAGAGUCUAAAGUUAGUUAUUACCUCGAACAAUGUGGACUUGGAGUCUAAAUAAGACUUGGAGUCUUAUUUUUUCUACCUCUUUCUUCAAUAAAUAUGCUGCCACAUCAACAAAAUACAAUAAAUAAUAUGUAAUUAAUUGUCUUGGACUCUAUGAUAGAGUCUUGCAUUGUGAGUGCCCUAACAGAUCACUAACAGUACCCUACUGGUGCUAGUACUCGUGAAACUAAUGUUUAGAUCCAAAAAUUUUUGGAAUUUUGACACUAUAGCAAUUUCAUUUUUAUUUGACAAACAUUGUUCAAUCAUGAAGUAAACUAGGCUUAAAAGAUUCGUCUCGCGAUUUACGGGCAAACUGUGCAAUUACUUUUUGUUUUCAUCUAUAUUUAAUACUUUAUACAUGUGUCGCAAGAUUUGAUGUAACGGAAAAUCUUGAAAAGUUUUUUGUUUUUGAGUGAACUAUAAACAAGGCCAAACGAACCCCGGCGCUGGUAACAGUUUGUUCAAGUGCAACGCACUGCAUGACGUGCAUGCAUCAUGCAUGCAUGCUUGCCCCACCUCUAGUAGUAGUCUCUUGGUUGGCCCUCGAGGCAAAAAUCAAGUUCAGCGUAUGCAUGCAUGCAUUAUAAGUCUCGCUUAAUUAGGUGUAUGUACGUGCAUGAGGGUGAAGAAUCCACAACUAGUCUAGAUACACAUAAAUGUACACGCAUCGCUACAGAAAGUACAUAUGGAACAUGCAAUCAUUAUCCAAAAAUUAUCAACGUUUUCUGAAGCAUGCAUGAAUAAUAUGUUAACCGAUCAAAAGUCAGAGGCUCCAGAACACAAAAGUCAGAAAAGGCUAUCAAUGGCAAUUUUUGCACCAGUUGUUCCUGCGACAUUCGUACUUCUGUACUUCUCCGUAGCUGGAUAUGUACAGUAGCAGUCUGGAACAAAACAAGAUAAGGCCUUGUUUAGUUCCACCUUAAAAUUUUAAACAAAAUUCAAGAUUUCCUAUUACAUCAAAUCUUGUGUCAUAUGCAUGGAGUAUUAAAUCUAGACGAAAACAAAAACUAAUUGCACAGUUUGUCUGUAAAUCACGAGAUGAAUCUUUUGAGUCUAAUUAAUUCAUGAUUGAAUAAUGUUUGUCAAAUAAAAACGAAAAUGCUACAGGACCGAAAUCCAAAAAAUUUUCAGAACUAAGACCUUGUUUAAUUCCAAAAAAUUUUGUAAAAUUUUUUAAAUUCCCCGUCACAUCGAAUUUUAGACGCAUGCAUAGAGUAUUAAAUAUAGACGAAAAUAAAAAUUAAUUGCACAGUUUGGUCGGAAUUGACGAGACGAAACUUUUAAGCCCUAAUUAGUUCAUGAUUGGACAAUAUUUGUCAAAUACAAACGAAAGUGCUACAGUAUCGAUUUCCCAAAAAUUUUUGAAACUAAACAAGGCCUAAGUGAUUUUUGCACCAAUUCCCGACUGUUGUAGCACUUUCGUUUGUUUGUGGCAAAUAUUAUCCAAUCAUAGACUAACUAGGAUCAAAAGAUUCGUCUCGCGAUUUACAGGUAAACUGCGUAAUUAGUUUUUGUUUUCUUCUAUAUUUAAUGCUUCAUGCAUGUGCCGCAAGAUUCGAUGUGACGGAGAAUCUUGAAAAAUUUUAGGAACUCAACAAGGCCGCUGAAAUCUGAUCAGCAGACAGCAGCACACGCGUAUACACCCGAUCGAAAUCAAUCACGCAACGCAAACCAAAACAACUUCAAUGAUAAUAAUCCACCAUGAUGCAUGCACUGUAGAUCUACCUCGACACAAUAUGCUCUAGACAAAAUCUCUUAAAUGAUCUCAAGACGUACUUUUUUAAAAUUUUAGUGCAAAUGGCUACUGAAGUCUGAUCGUGUUCUCAGACAAACGCUAGCUCUGUCGCUCCCAAACGUCCGAUUUCAGACCAAUGGAAGGAUGGCUGCCUGACCGACAAGUUACGACCUGCCAUGGCUGACGGCUCAAUCUAAACAAAAUCUUGGAUCACUUGUUUUUACCGCCUUACUGCAGCAUAUAGUGGAGGUGGUUGAGAUCUUCUCCCAUCAUUUGGUCCAAAAACCAUGCAUGUGUGGUCAAAAAGGAAGGGUGCUUUAACCUUGAUGGAGAAGCUUUCUGAUCGAUAUAUGCUCUACUUUAAAUUUCUCACAUGAUAAUACGUGCUGAUUAGGACAGGUUCGUCCGAUGUUCUUCAGUGUUUCGCAUGAUAGUAUAUUUCGUUAAUUGGACUGAAUCAUUCAAAGACAUGGGUCGCCUGAUUAAUUCAGCGAUUCGUACGUACAUCCCAGUCGAAUCAAUGAGUUCCCUUUGAAGAGAGUAGCCACUAGCCACCAGCAGCAGCCACCAAAUCUGUCGACGAGGUCUUCUUUUAACCUGCUCCACGUACUACUACAGCUUCUUUUGUGCUUUCUUGCAUUUGGAAAGGCAAUAUUACAGUCUAGCUGGAUCUGGUUUUCAAACUGCCCGGCCGGCGGCUGAUCCACAUAAUUCUCCUGCGCAUACAAGUGAACAGUACUGGAUUUUUUUUUUUUUGAAACGAGUGAACAGUACUGGAUUGUAUUAUAGUAUAUUUGCUACACUCACCAUGUGCAUAUAUGUCACUUCUUUUUUCCACGGAAAAGAGGGAGGACCUGUGCCCAAUCUAGGUCUUGUUUAGUUUCCAAGAAAUUUUACAAAAUUUUCUAGAUUUCAUAUCACAUCGAAUCUUGCGGCACAUGCAUGGAGCAUUAAAUAUUAAUUAAAUAAAUAACUAAUUGUAUGGUUUGUCUGUAAUUUGUGAGACGAAUCUUUUGAGCAUAGUUAGUCUAUGAUUGAACAAUAUUUGUCAAAUACAAAUGAAAGUACUAUAGUGCCCAUUCUGCAAAAAAAAUUGCAACUAAACAAGGCCCUAAUUUGUACCUUAAAAAGGGUGUUGAUAUUACCAAGGAUAACCUAGGGAGGAGGAGUUGGUUUGGUAGUAAAACAUGUUGUUUCUAGUCAUGAAGAAUCUAUUCAACACACCUCCUUUCUAAAUGUCAUGCAAAAUUUCUUUGUCGCAUGUUGAUUCUUUACUCUUGGAAUUAGACCGAGGAUGAAUUUAAAUGAUUUAUAUAACCAUUAGAGAUUGACAUGUGCUUCUACAAUGUGUUGGACCAAUGGCUACCAAGAAUUGACAUUAUUUUUGACAAACAGUAACGACCAAAAUAUUAUCUACGGAUUUCAUUUAAGGGGACGUUUUGGCUACGGCACCGGACGCCAUUGCGGGGACUCGAAGAUAACUAGGAACUGCAGGUUUUUGCUUUCAGGCCUUGUUUAGUUCCCACAAUUUUUAAAGAUUCAACAUCACAUCAAAUCUUACGGCACAUGCAUGGAGCACUAAAUAUAAAUAAAAAAGAUAACUAAUUGUAUAGUUUACCUGUAAUUUACGAGAUGAAUCUUUUGAGCCUAGUUAGUAUAUGAUUGGACAAUAAUUGUCAAUAAAAACGAAAGUGCUACGGUAGCCAAAUCUAAAAAUUUUCGCGAACUAAACAAGGCCUUAAUUUGAAACUUGGAGUCAAUAAUUAUGCAACUUUUUUGCAUCAUAUGGUAGUUGUUUUUUUCUGCAUUGGUCAAUAAAGUAUAACUCAUUUUCAUAUUGCUUUUAUAGCUAUUGUGAGUGAGUUCUGUUCCUGCAGCUAUCUCCUUUGUAAUUAAUAAUUUAAUUUGGAUAUAUGGUUUAUCGUUAAUGGGUUGAAACCAGAGUAAUGCAAGGUUUACACCGCCACCACUAUAGAGAUCCAUGCCAGAGCCACCUUGAUGCUCUUGUGUAUUGUCCUUCUCCUGGCCCGGGUGGACGACAUAUAUCUACAUUUGGAAUAUGUCCUCCACCCUCUCGUCAUUGUGAGAAGGACACUUGAUCCGUGUCGUGAUCAACUUAUGCUAAAAAGAAGUGUGUUUAUGUGGCAUGUGAAUCGAACAACAGCAGCAUAUGAAUGUAUUCUUUACGUUCUUCGAGAAAAAAAUGCAAUGACGACGAUGGUUUUAUAUAUUAGAUACUAGAUAUGGGGAUUGCAUUUGGCAUCCUAUAUAUGUGUAUAUAUAUGUGGAAUGUGCCAAGCUGAAUUAUUCAAGGGCUACGAAGAUCCUGAGAAGAUUCUUCUCCCGGUAAUACGAACAAAAGCAGCAAUUUGUUUAAGAGAAUCCCAGCAAUUCUAGCGCGCACCAUCGAUAUCCUCGGGAAGAAACAGCGAUGUGUCUCUCUUUUUCUGUGUUUUUUUUUCUGUCAUACGUAUAAGUAAGGUAGAUCGUGUUAUCUAACACGUUUAUUAACAACAACAAGUAAUUAAUCGAGCAGCAAGAAGCAUGGUCGUAUGUCUAGUCAGAAGAAUUCAACUCCUAAUGUUGCCAUGUCAUCUCCUAGGAACCAGCCUACGUAUGAAACGGUCUCUCACUCAUUCCAUCUCGAUCGAUCGGCUAAUGUCGUGACAUAGUAUCAGUCAUUUCAUGGUCCAUAUAUACCUUCAUCAGCAUGGUCCACAAAUUAUGUUUCUUUUUCCGAGACAAAUCACAAAGCCAACCACGCACGAAAUCAUCAGAUCAUAUUUGCUGUCUUCCGAGAAGCUUCAGGUUCGUGAGAGAGACCGUUCCUACCGUUGCAUGCGUGCGGCUUUUGUAUAUAUGUUCGUUUCAUUCGUCUGGGAGGAGGGACGGCAACUGAUGAGACGCUAGAAUCGAUCGACCGUGUACCGUGCUGCGUUGCACCUUCAACCACCCCACGUGCCUUGUAUUAAUAAACCAAAAUGUCAUGACCGACUAACAAUCAGUGCAGGUUUUGACUGGGACUGAUCCAUACCUUUCUCUCCGACUCAGCUGCGAACGUAAGCAUUGAUGUGUGUGUAUGGAUCUACUAGUCACGGUUCAUUGACCGGGGGCGAGAUAUAUUAGGGGUGUUCGAUCAUCUCAUAACCUCACAACUAGCGCAUAAGAUAAUAUCAAAAUCUAAUUAUUAUGAAAACAUAUUUUAUUUUUAAUCUAAUCAUACUUAUUAUUGCACAUCAUAAAUAUGAAGGUUUGACUUUUUUUAAAAAAAUGUGAAUGGGUGUAUUUAGUUCAUCAUAUAAUACAAAAUGCAAAAUACAAACUACUUUGGAACGAUGAAAUGCAAAAUGCCGAAAUUUUCAUCAAAAAAGCAAAAUUUAUUGUUCUCAUUAGAGCCUCGAGGUCAAAAUCUAAAAUUGAGAAUAGUGACAUUUUUGCCAAAAAUUUUGGAUGAUGUUAAGUUCCAUUAUAUAAAAUGAUGAACCAAAAUCCAAAAUUAUUUAGGAUAAAAGAGAAACUAAAUACCCCCUAUGUUUUUUUCCAACACGCGAGGAAGCUAUUUGUAUAACCCUAGCGGCAGCAGCAAUCGGCAGAACUGAGAUCGAAGAAAGAAUCACAUGGUUCCCAACAAAUACAAACCACAACGGGAUGGACGCCUCCCCUUAUCUCCCAGCGUCCAUUUCGCAUUAAGAUUCAUGCUGGAGUGCUCUAAAAGUUAUGCCCUAGUGUUUUAAAAUCUGAGUUGAAGUGCUUUUUUUACCUACACAAAUCACAAAAUAAAAUGAACGAUAGGAUAAAAGUUGCACGCCCACCCUAUUGUGGAAACUGCAAGUUGGUUCAUUCUCACUGAACACGUGGCUUGACCAUGUUGUUUUUUUCAGGAAGGUGAAGCCCCCAAUAAUGUUUGGUUAUUAGUCAUAUUUUGCUACAUACCACCUUAAAUUGAUUUGAUUAAAUUGGCAAGCGUUUAGUUGCCAUUUAAAUUUAGACAUGACGAUUCUAUUAUGCUCCACGUGUCAUAGAGUAAAAAAAAUAUAGCAAAAUUUUCUUAGACAUGCCUAAAGUGUGGCUUCAAACUCUCUAGCCAAAUGUUUGUGGUUUGUCAUGUUUUGUCUAACGUUAGCUGUGACAAACAAUAUCAGAAGAAGGAAGUAGGAACCAAACGGCCCAUUGGCGGAGCCAAGGGGGAGGGGGGGCUGGCAGGGGCCGUGCCCCCCUAACAUGUGUCAACAAAUUUUUUUAGUAAUAUAAAUUUAAGAUUUUUAUUUAUGUUAAGAGAGAAAUAUAACAAUUUUUGUCAUAUAUACUUAUUAAUAUCCUCAAGAUAAUAGGAUCGUACUCCCUCCAUUCUAGAGUAAUUUCAAGAAUUUUGUAGAGUCAAAACAUCCUAAAUUUUGACCAAAUUUAUAAAAUAAGAUAAUAACUUUUAUUAAUUAUUAUGUUUUCGCAGUAUAUCAUUUGACGACAUAAAUCUUUAUAAUUUUUUCCUAUAGUUUUGGUCAAACUUGAGAUAUUUUGACUUUCCAAGAUUUUUAAAAUGAUUUAUAAUUUGGAAUGGAGGAAGUACAAAACAUAACUAGAUAAUACUAUGAGACACGUUAGAAAAACUGAGAUGCAGAUCUUAAGGUUUAUAAAAUUAUAUCAAACUUGUUGUUAAGGGUUUAUCGUCUGUCACCGAAAGAAAACACAUUUGAUCCUAAAUACAUACAGAAAAUGUGAGCACAUAUGUUAAAUUGAUGACUUGAGUCAGCUCCGCGAACGCCAAUGCCUUGUUUAGUUUGUCAAGGGAAAAUUUCGCGACACUAUAUUAUUUUUAUUUGUUUAUGGUAAUUAUUGUCUAAUCAUGGAUAAUUAGGUUCAAAAGAUUCAUAUCGUUAAUUUCGACCAAACUGUAUAAUUAGUUUUUAUUUUCGUCUACAUUUAAUACUCUAUGUAUACGUCUAAAGAUUUGAUGUGACAAGAAAUUUUGAAAAUUUUUGGAUUUUUUGGUGGAAUUAAACAAGUCCCAAGUCGAUCAGCCGCGCUCGUCUCCGAUGCGCGUGCGUGGGCACCAGUCCAGCCGGUACGGCGCCCCAUCCGUGUCUCCGCCGUACAGUACAGUACAGUACAGUACAAGCUAGUUGCUACUAGGCUCUACUACUAGCAUCGUGAAAAAGAAACGGUCGCCGUGGUUGCUCGUGCGUAGCCACCGUAGCCGUAGGCGCCGGCUCCAUCCCGUCGGCCGCGCCGUCCGCCCGCCCGCAUGCACGAGCGGAGCGGAGAGAGGACUCCUCCAACAAGUCCGCCGCUGAUGACUAAUAUCGAAGAAGACGCGCUCGCGCGCACCUCGGUCCAACGUUCAACCUUGGCCUUGUUUAGUUUCUAAAAAUUUUACAAUUUUUUUUUAAAUUUCUCGUCACAUCGAAUCUUUAGACGUAUACAUAGAGUAUUAAAUAUAGAUGAAAAUAAAAACUAAUUGUACAGUUUGGUCGAAAUUGACGAGACGAAUCUUUUAAGCCUAGUUAGUUUAUAAUUAGAUAAUAUUUGUUAAAUACAAACGAAAGUGGUAUUAUUUCUAUUUUGCAAAUUUUUUUAAAAGUAAACAAGGCCCUUGCGAAAAAAAGCAACGGCCGAGGGCAAGGAAAUCUUUUUUCCCCGCGCGUGAUUUCGUGAUGAUGAGAUAGAUUUGCAUUGCUCGGUUGUUGUUGCAGUACGUAGCCGGACUGGGCUAUCUGUCCUUUCCCAUCUGGCGAAAACCGACCUGGGUCUUGUUUAGUUUCGAAAAGUGAAAUGUUUUCGAUACUGUAGCAUUUUUAUUUGUUUGUGAUAAAUAUUAUCCAAUUAUGGAUUAACUAGGAUCAAAAGAUUCAUCUCGUGAUUUACAGCUAAACUAUAUAAUUAGUUUUUGUUUUCGUCUAUAUUUAAUGUUUCAUUCAUGUGCCAUAAGAUUCGAUAUGACAGGUAAUCUUGAAAAUUUUUUAGUUUUCAGGGUGAACUAAACAAGGCCCUACUGUAACUGUCCAAGAACGGACUUUUUCCCUCUUUUGGGUUCUUUUUUUCCACAGGAGAAAAGAUGAGUGGUGUUUGACUUUCAAUGGGGCCGCGAUCACCCAUCGCGGUCACCGCCCCGCUGUUGGCGCCCAGCGCCGGCGGGGCUUCUCCUCUUCUCGAGCGGCAUCCCGCGUUUGAUCAGCAUUAAUUCCUUACACAUAAAUAAAGGAGAGAAAAAACUAUUUGAUAAUUUGACCUUCUCAAUUAUGCUUGGCAGCUUUAGUGCUGAUUUCGCAACAUCAACUACAAAACCGGAUCAAACCCAUCUUAAUGUUUAAAACUGUUAUGUUUUCAUCUGGCAUUUUGUCCAUCCGCAAGACGUAUAAAAUGGAUUGUGUUGAUAGUUCCUUCAAAAACACUAUACUUUAUCGACAGAUUAUCCAUACUUUUUAAAAGAAAACAUUAAUAGAAUGUUUCUUUUCUGAAUAGUUAUGCAAUCAAGAAAGCUAAAACAUAGUUUAUUUUCUUUAGAAAGUUCACAGAGAAUAUUGUUUUAGCUUGGAAAAAAUAUACGAAAUCAGUUUCAAUAUUCUUUUUUCAUAAGAUCAUGUUCCAUCUUCUGGUGCUUGGCUUGAAGUUAUUUGAAUCUUUUGUGGUCUCCUUUUUUAUAUUCAUUUGCUCAUGGAAGCUCUCGUCGUCUAUUAUAAGGCCUUCUUUAGUUUCAAAAUAUUUUGCAAAAUCGACACUGUAGCUCUUUCGUUUGUAUUUGACAAAUAUUAUCCAAUCAUGGACUAACUAGGCUCAAAAGAUUCGUCUCGUCAAUUUCCACCAAACUGUGUAAUUAGUUUUUAUUUUUAUCUAUAUUUAAUACUUCAUGCAUGUGUCUAAAGAUUCGAUGUGACGGGGAAUCUGAAAAAUUUUGCAAAUUUUUUUGGGAACUAAACAAGGCCUAACUAAUCAAUGUUGACAACCCAGACUAUGUAGAUGGCCAUGUGUGACUCCAAUGGCAAAACAAUUUUCAUGUAACCACUUCCAAAUUCGAUCCCAUUUGGUAAUGAACACAUGUGCCGCUUGAUCUACAGCUAGGCACAAUGAGUAGUAGUGAACAAAGUAUCUAUAUGCUUUUCAAAUGGCCCACUAUCAUAUUUUUGUGGGAUUCUAGAGCCAGGUGUCGUGACAUACGUUUGGAAGGUGAGCAUCUUCUAGAGAAUAAACACCAUAACACCAUAUAAGUUUCAAACCAAAUAACUCUAAUUUAGGCAUAGAGCACAUUUGAAAUUGUUUUUUUUAUGGAUAAAACAAUCUUUACGAGGAUCACGGCCCGGGAGAAAGAAGCCUUCCAUCGGAUGGUCCUGGAUCACGGCCCACCAGAUGGUGGUACGUACUGUAAUAAAACGCAACCCCGUGGGCAUUCGCCGAGCGAUUGGCUUAUAAAGCGACCAUCCGUCCACACCACCCCCAGUAUAGGGUUCCUCCCAUCCCCUGUUUCCCCGCGCCGCCGGCUCCUCGGCGCCGCCAUGGUCCAGUCCACCUCUCCUUACGGGGCUCCACGCCGGAUUUGCUGUCUGUUCUUCUCUCUUGCGUUGUUUUAUUGGUUCGUUCUUCCCGUCGUCCUUUCGUUUUCCUGUUCGCUUUUCUCUGGCUCCGUUUUGCCGUUGAGCUUGCUCGGUCCUGACGUCGAAGGAGGGCGACGGGCGACGGCGAUGACGAAAAACUAUGGUUCGCUCGUCUGAACGGCGGCGGGUAUUGAACCCAAUGCCUUGCUGAGCUUAAAAGUAGUCCGAGCCAUUCGUCUCUCUCCUCUGGACCCAGAUCUGAUCCACUCUUGCGUUUUUCUGAUCUGUGUUUCCUGAUGUAUUCAGUUCUGUGGCGUUUUGGUUUGGUUUGUGGAGGCAGUGUUGCGAUGAUGAGAAUCUCAUUUGCUGAGAGCUCUGCUCGAUGAGCUUUGGAAACAAUCUUGCAUUGUUUCCUCCUGAGCGGUUACCUGAGCAACCCAAGAAUCCCCCACUCGCGAUUUUGCUUCCCUAUGGAUGAUUUACAAUUUCGGCGACUAAAGACAACAUGGAUGAGUAACAAUUUUGGCAACAAGAUACUAAUAACCCAAAUGAUUUAAUUUGCUAAAUACAAUGAAAUGCGGAGCCCAACCAAACGCAAACAUUGCAUCUCAUUUUAGAUUUUUAGUGCAGCAAACUAUUGGUACAAACAAUCCCCAAGUUAAAAUUAAAGAAUUAACUCGGCACAUUAUGCACAAUAUACAAUCAGCUGCAGCUGCACUUGGCGCUGUGAACGAGAAUAAUGAAUUUUGCAAUGGACCACGCUAGCUCUUUUAACAGCACCGGCACCAGGGUGAUCUCACGAUGCCUGAUCGUUGGUGGCCCUGCCGGCAAGCCCGUUUUGCUGCUCCAGGAAGCGCACGACCACGCAGGUGAUGUUGUCGGCGCUGCCGCGCUGGGAGGCCUCAGCCAGCAGCGUCUUGGCCGCCUGCUCCGAGUCCAGGAUCGGCUUCGCCAUGGCAACGGCUUCCUGACAACAAAGGAGUGAGGCGCCUGGAAGAAAGAACUGCAGAUGAUGAAUGAAUCGGUUUCGUUUUGUGAUUUGUUUGUUACCUCGUUGGUCACCACGUCCCAGAGGCCAUCGCUUGCAAGGAUGAGGAACUCGAGGGAGCUGUCCACCACCUCCUCCUGCACCAAACCGGCGAUCUUCCUAGUCAAAUCCCACGGGCCACGGCAUUUGCAGGUUUUCACACUGAGAUUGAAGAACAGACCUUGAUCUCUGGAUCAGCAACCACAUACUGCUUCAAGAGCUUGUCCCCAAAUGCUCGAGAAACAGCAAGGACGCCACCGACACGCCACGUUCCUGCAUAGUUUUUUUUUUAAAGUAAGGUUAAGGAUUUUUCAACCUCUGUUAUUCGGUUGUUUCAGUGGUGGCCUGUAACCAUGAAGACAUACCAGCCCACAUCACAAACCCUCCUGCUUCUUCUAUCCUUUGUCUCUCGUCUGUCUGGUCCGGCUUGUGGUCUCUCGAAACCGCUAUAGCUGCAUGAUUGAUCACCAAGAAUUUUAACGCAGGUCUUGUGGUUUCUUAGAAAUUCAGAACACAAAAAAUUCAACAGAAGCAGUCUAAGCUAACCAUUUAGCUGUACUUACUAAUCCUAGCAAACAUGGAGUAUUUGUGUUAAACAAAUUUGUCACAUGAAGGAGCUUCAGUUCUGCAGCAAGAUUAGCUGCAACAUCAAAGCUAGCUGGCUAGUUGCUGUUCUAAUUCAUUCAUCAUAUCAAGAAUGGUGGAAAAAGUGCAAAGGAAGCUGAGAUGUCCAAACACCGGCACCAAGAAAAUUUGACUUACCAUCCCCUCCUCUACAGAUGACUGCCCUGGAGUCCCCAACGUUUGCAACUAACAGGCGAUCGCCUACGAGGAUGGCCGUGGAAGCGGUUGACCCAGCAUCGCGGUGAUGGCUGGUAUCAGCUUUCAGAAGCUCCGAGUCCGUGUGCGUGUAAGUUUCCGCUGCAGGAGGAUAUCAUUCACAGGGGUUCAGGCUCCGUAGUUCAGGAGUGAAGUACUAUUUCUGUUCAAAGCUCGAGGAAUUGUAGUACCAAUAGCGGACUUGGUAUCACUGAAGAACUUUGGGUGCUUGAUUAAAUUCGUGAAAAGGUUUUGUUUCACAAACUCGGCUGCUCGAGCUCCACCAUGACCUGCAAAGGGGGGAUAAAAUUGGUUAACAAUCAAACAGUAUCCUGACCUUGUGUAAAGACAGUCAGUGACUUCAUCGGCUCUAGCAGCUGUAGAAAUUUGUGCCAGCAGUAAACCAGUCAUACAAUUGGUUGAUUGUAAUGUAAGACGUCGUCUACAGUCACACCACAACAUGUAAACUGAAACGCUUAUUGAAAUGUGAAACUUGCUUCCGGAACAACAGCGCCUUACCGUCAAAGACGCCGAACAGUCCAACUGUCUCUCCAUCAACACCGUCAACUCUUGUUUCAUGGAAGUCCUCCAUGGAGGAUCUUUUCCCAGGAGAGCUUGCAUACCCAUAGCUGAACUUGCCGUUUUCACUGCAUUUGUGUGAAAUAAAGAUGCACUGGAGAUCACCAGGGUUCACCAAUCAAAUGGACGCGUUAAUGUUAUGCAGCCUAAUCACAAUUCAGCAGUAAUUCGCCAGUGCCACAGCGAAGAAAUCUGGUAGAUUUACUAUGAUAAAAAAGAUUGGCCCUCAUAUGGCCACGCCUUCAUUCUGUUAACACAGAUAGCUCUGUCCACUGCAUAGAACAUAUAUUAACAUGGUAGCAAGAAACAGUUUGAAGAUGAAGACCACGUAACACUAUGCAUAAGCAUACACAUGGUGGGCGCAGAUUUCAUCGAAGAGAUAAGCAAGAACGUAACGAUGAUCGCACCUGAACCCUCCACCAGUGACGGGCGGCGAUCCUUUCUCGGCGAACCCCAUCACGGCCGGCGACGGCGACGGAUCCUCUCGGCACCACCAGGUCAAGGCGAGCACUGUGGCGGCGACGACACGACGAGGUCAGGAACACACAAACAAUUGCCCCCGGGAGCCUCUCUCAUGUACGCGUAAACAAAGGAAGGAGACAGAGCAGAUGGCCGGGGCUACAAGAACCGCAACGCGGGGCUCGUGCGCCUAUAAGCGGGGAGCGGACGAGCUCGAUGCGCGGUGGCGUGCGUGGCGUGGGGGCGAGGGGCGACGUGGCGGCAAGCCAGAGUGGGCUCGUGGACGGCCCCCGCUCCCGCCGCGCGCGCCCCCGCCGUCCGGCACGCCAUCCCCGGACCCCGCUCCCUUUUCUUGGCGCGUCUCGCCGUCGAGCGUGAUGGUGUUGGACACGUGGCUGUGGCGCGCUGCCUGGCUGCAUUUGGUUCGGCACGACGCGCGUCGCCUUGGGAUUGGAGAGCGAGGAGACGGCGGCGGCUCGUCGUGAGCGGGCACGUGGCGCGACCGCCGGUGACGGGGAAAGACACCUGAGCCGCCCCCCGGAAUGAUAGCGCCGGCGCGGAUUCCGUACACGUCAAGGUUGGUCAGCUUUUGGCUUUACACCCGUCUCAAUACAUAGUUUUAUGGUAUAGAUGAAACUUUUCUCAUCUGAUGAAACUCCUUCAUUUAAUGAUCCUAUCAAGUCAGUAAUUUUGCUUAUUAUGCGACACCUUAUUUAAUGUGCAUGACACUCAUGCAAGAAAGGAGACGUGCUGCAGCUGAGAAGCGGCUGUCUGUUCUUCUCUACUUAGCUUCAACUGUUGUGUCCACAAGUCGACGCACGCUUUGAUGUAGCCAAGUUUGAUGCCCCAUGCCGUGUACUCGUCACAUCAUAGUCGUCAUAAUCCAGGAUUGAGUUGAGCCACUAAGCAUACGAUUCUGCAUUUGCCUUUACUUGCCUCUUCAUCACUCGAAUCGGUUUGGUGGGAGAAGAUGUGAUUCGUGUCGCACUGUUUUCAGCAUGUUUGUUAUGCUGAGAGGUGAAUGAAUACACACACGUGAUUUGUGCAGUUUUUUUUUUAAAAAAAGAAGAAUUCAGUUCCUUUGAAAAUCUUCAUCAAAGCCCAGUUGCGGACCGCAGCUUCAGUCAAUACUUGGGCCCAACAAAUUCAGCAGGGCUGAGGAGUUUAUUUGGGCCGGACCGGACCAGGCCGGGCCGAGGCGGCAGCGCGACGCCCUGAAGUCAUCCGUGCAUCUCAAGCACGAGUCAUCGAUCGGUCCGACGCCAACACGUGCCGUACACGCCGGCGCGACAUCACCGCCUCCGAGCCGAACCGACCAUUGCCUCAUAAACAAACCUUUCCUUCGUAGUCCAAACCCACGCCUCGCUAGCUGCCAACAACGACCGGCAUCCGAUCGAUCGCCAUGGCCGCCGCCGCCGCCUCGUGCCGCUGCAGCAGCGUGGUGUUCGUGGGCAACAUCCCGUACCACGCCAGCGAGGACGAGCUCCGCGCCGCGUGCGAGGAGAUCGGACCCGUGGUGUCCCUCCGCGUGGCCACCGACAACAAGGGCGGCGGCAGCCGCCGGCCUCGGGGCUUCGCCUUCGUCGAGUACCUCGACGACGAGACGGCCCUCAGCGCCUGCCGCAACCUGCACGGCCGGGCCCUCCGCGGCCGCGACCUCCGCGUGGGCCUUGCGCAGCGCACGCCGCCGCCGGACGUCGACGAGGAGCCCGUGGGCGUCGAGGGCGCCACGCACGCCGCGUCGCUACUCCACGCACGCCCCCGCGGCGCCGUCACGUCGUACCUGGCCGGGCUGAGCCGCCGGCAGCUGCGCGAGCUGCUGGACGCUCUGGAGCGGGAGGACGCGGCGCUCAUGGAGCAUGCCAAGCGGGAGUUCGCCGGGCUGAGCACGUUGAUUGAGCAGGCGCGGGUGCUGCUCGACAUGGCUUCGGCGCCUCCUGGCGCCGCCGUGGCUAAGAACAGGAAACGCGGCGCGAGGGUGCAGGACCGGCCCGGUGAUUCACCGGAGUCGGCAACCCAGGCGCCGAAGCUGAGAAGGGUGCAGGACGGCGAGCACGUUCCUGGCGUCGCCGACCGCUGACGGGACUCAUUGAAUUGUUAUUGUUAUGGCUCCUUUUGCACGAAAAUACGGUAGUUGCAUUUUAGGUGCCUGAACUUUUAGGAAGUUUUAUACAAUCACCUAGUAUUUAAAAUGAUAACUUUCAAGAAAUAAUUCGUAAUUUUUAUCUUAGCCAAACAAUAAAAAGUUGCAUGUUAAUGAACAGCAAGAAAAAAAAUCGGGCAUCUAUAAAAUAUGGUAGAUGAGAUUAUCUAUAUAAGUUCACACCACGGAUUUGUAAGUUCACACCAUAAAAUUUGGUUCACACUCGUUAUUAGCUAGUGUGGAAUAAAAUAAAAUGAAUAAAAAAUUGAGCAUGGAAAGUCAAGGGAUGAGUUGGAGUUUUUUUUUUGACAAGGAUCAAAUCUUUAUUCUUGGCAGCAGGAGGCUGCAAUAAAUGGGAUUGGUUCCAGUUUGUCUCCGGUGAGUCUUUGUAUCUUGUAGGAGUUUUAGGUCUAGUUUCUCUUAAAAAAACUGAGUAAACUCUUGUUUUAUUAUUAUUUUUCUUCUUCUGAUAUAUAUCAUGAUAAAGUUUUUGUCAUCCUUUCUAAAAAAACGUCAAGGACCACAUAAAACAUGAUAUAAAUAGUCCCUUUUACAAUCUACUAAGAACAUCUCUAGUAACCUAUAUAAACAAUAUAUACUUCAUAUUUCAUGAGUAGAGUUUUGGAAGCCCAAACCGGUAUGGGUUAGGGAUGAACUUUAUUGGCAAGUAGAGAAGAAGUAAAUAGAUCUGGGGACACAACGUGCAAGCUGGUUAGGUUAGGGUUCCGACACCAAAGAAACUUUUCCCAAUCCUACACGGAGGUGGCUAGAGAGGGGAACAUGAGCGUGAGCCAAGAGCCCAAGACUGAUCCCACGUGUCAUCCACUCGUUAUUAGCCACCUAUUUUAAUAUUAUCUAUUUUUUCUUAUUUGCUCCAACAGUACUACCUAAAACAGACCCAAAACUAUCCUAGUAGAGAAUGACAUAUGGGAUCCACAUGUCUUCUUCUUCUUAUUCUUCUCCUUCCUUGCAUGCAUGGAGCCGAGCCAUCAGGGAGGGGGGGGGUAGGGACAAACGUCGGUGCGAGGGGCACGCCUGGGGAAGGCUGGUCUGUGCUAGGGAAGGGCGUGCUGCGCUAGGGAAGUCACAUGGGGAAGGGGUGGACAUCGACGCCCACAACCAACUAUGCCCCAUGGAAGGGUAAAACGCCGGCGGGGAGGGGCAGCCUAGGGAAGGCAGAUCUGCAGUAGGAACCGCUUGCUGCGAUGAAGAGAGCACCGUCGUUGGGGCUGGUGGCGCCAUCGUGACAAGACCGCUUGGGCUAGUCGCGCCGCUAAGAAGCUGCGGCACUAGGGCGCUUCACUGGGAAAGAAGCCGCAUCAUGGGAAACAUAUUUCGAUAGUCUAGAGUAAAGGGCCAACAUGAAUGGGUAAUGGGAGGGGGGAAAUAGGAGACCAACAAAUAUAGAAGGUAUAGUAGGAGGUUUACUGGAACUAUUUUUUACCUUCACUACCCAAAUUAAAAGUAUGGAGUCGAGUUGUCCUUAAUAUUGCUGAAUAUGAGAAAAGCUCAACCCCAAAACUAGUUGGGUUACUUGGGAAUCGGUGCUAUUACAAUUUCUGAGUUUUGAGAAAUACCAUUACUAUUCAUCUAUUUCGAAUCUUACUAUUAUAUAUUUUUUUUAAUUCUUAAGAUACACCAUGGUGUAUGCUUGGAAAGGACUUAGGCCCACCUAUAAACAUUGAUGGUGUCAUUGUAUUUUCAUAUGGACAAAAUUUCCCUUCCACCUUCCUCCCUCUAUAUGUCAUAGGCGUGUGAACCCCACCAGUUAUCUGCUUCCUCCACGUUAUCUUCUUUGUUUCAUUUCCAGUCACCUAGCAGCAGGGGCUUGCUCGCUCGCCCACGCGCUUGCUAGUAGUAGUGCAACAACGCUGUAGCAGCCAACCAACCCCACGGCGGAGCAAACAACCCUCACCGACAAUGGUGAGUCCUCCCUGUCCAGUGGCGCCAUAACAGCCCCAUGUCGAGCUCGGUAGUGGCUCGACUGGCCUAAUGCGGUAGCCCUCUUGCUCAUCGGCCAUGGUGUGACCGCUUGCUCGUAUGGUGAUGGCACAACAACAUGGACACAUGAGGCAGAAGAUGGCCCAACGCAGCAGCCCACCUGCACACUCGCUCGUGGUGGAGGCCAUGGCCAGCGGCGAGGCACAUCUAAGGGCUCAGGAUUGCACGUCAUGGAGGAGGAAAGCACCCUUGCUGCCAAGGACGGUGAACUAAGGGAGGAGGAAGGAGGGAGGAGCAGGCGGCCUUAUCGGCGAGUGCACAAGUGACGCCGACGGUCAAUAGGGAAGGAGAACCACCCUUUGGUUAGAGGAGGAGAGGAAGAGGAUGAUGAGUGGGACCUGCACUUCAUGGAGUACAAUGAGAGGAGUUAAUGGCAACAUCAUCCAACACAAAGAUAUGUGUGCCUUGUACGCUGUAAUUGGGCCCAACGCCUCCCAUCACGUAUAGUGUGGCGUUUUUCAAAGAGAUAAGAAUUGCAAUAUUGCUCUUUGUAACAGGUGAAUAGUAAUGAUGUUUUAAAAUUAUAAUGAUACUCCUAUAUCAAUAAAAAACCAAACUAGUUACUCCAUCCGGUUUCCUAAACAAAGUCAUUUUAGGCUUUGUUUAGUUCACCCCAAAAACCAAUUUUUUUUUUAAGAUUCUCCAUCACAUUUAAAUUUGUGGUACAUGCAUGGAGCACUAAAUAUAAAUAUAAAUAAAAACUAAUUACACAGUUUAUCUAUAAAUCACGAUAUAAACCUUUUAAGCUUAGUUACUCCAUAAUUGGAUAAUAUUUGUCAAAUAAAAACGAAAGUGCUACAGUUCCGAAACUAAAAAAAUUUCGGAACUACAAGGCCUUAGAUAGGACAUAGUCUUAAAGAUAAUUUUGACCGUUAUUUUUUGUGAUAAAAUAUUUAGUAAAUAUAUAUUUUUUAUGAAACUAUAUCUCAAAAUGAAUCUACUCAUAUCACUUUCGUAUUUUCAAAGACAGCCCCAAAAAAAUUAUUUAUAGUUAAAUUAAAGUUACCAAACCGGAGAGAGUAUCGAAGAAGCUAUGAUUUUGUUCUCCAACCAGAAAAUCCCACCCCAAUAUCUUGUCUGACAUAUGGAGCCAAUUUGUCAUUCACACCUCCUAACCUGCCCGCGACCUCCGACUCUCCGAGCGCCGCAUCCUCACCGCCGCCGCUCCUCUUCCUUCGUCGCCCUCCUCCGUCGCCACUCCCUCCCUUCCUACGCUCCUCCUCCCAUACUGCUCUUCCUCGGCUACCUCUUCUCCGCCGCCUGAACCUGAUCACCGUCUACUGCCUAGCGCUUCUUCUAACCUUGGCUCGACCGCCCGCCGCCUGAACUCGUCUCGCCCGCGGCCGAUCUCCUCCGUCGGCUUGCCGCCCCGCAACCCGGAGAGGAGAUUGCGCCCGGUCGAGCACCACCUGAGGCCCAGCGUCCUCGCGACCAGCUCCGGCGCGGCGUAAGCCCCCUUCAGCCCCGGUGUCCCAGCGACAGUCGCGGCUGUCCUACUUCGCCACUCGCCACCUUGGCCGGCGACGAGCACCACCAGGACACCAGGUAUUCCCUCCCCUUGGUCCUCCCUUUCUGCCGUGCGAAGCCGUGCGCCCAAACCUUAAAGUAAUUCGUAGGUAAAACCGUGCGCCCAAACCCUAACAUACUAUUUGUUAUCGGAUCUAAAUCUAAUUACAGGUGUAUAUGCAUAUAUUAUGACUACUAACUUUGAUUGCUUUGCAAAAAUUAUUUGGUGUACAUGUGUACACCCAUGCCCUUUACUCAGUCCGCCCCUGCCUUCAAUAGAUGCGCAAAAGUGCAAGCCAUGUACUGAGAUGGUUUACGCGAAUCCAAGAGGAAAAGCAAGCAUGUAACAGAACCUGAAACGUCAUUCGGAAAUAACGGACGAUGAAUGUCCGUUUUUCUCUGGACAUGCAGGAGAACUCUGCAUUAUUAUGUUAAGAAGAAAAGGAGUCUAAUUUUUUGGAUUACAGAAGAAACGGAAAAAAGGUGUCUAGAUGUAGUCAUAUGCUAAUCAGCGACCAAGAAAUGCGGGAAAGACUCGCCAAACGGACAAUAAUGCAAACCAGUGACCAAGAAAAAGAGACCAUCAUGGCCAUAUGCUAUGAGCCCCUUGGCUCCCGCCAUACACCACAACUUGGGCCUCAUCUCUAAUAACCCGCAUGAUGGCAUCAAGGUUAGGCGAAAAGCCCUUAAAAAGACAAACACACCCAUUUAUAUGUUUCCUAAUCCACCUUACUGCCAACAUGGCCAAUGAGUUGAAACUUUGUGGGCGUAUAAGGACAUUCCAAACAAGCAUCUCGAUGUCUUGAUAACGCCCUGGGAUUACAGCCACAGGGUCCGUUGGUCUAUGCUGCUGGCUCCUUGGCUUAUUGUGGACGUGGCCCUGGAAUUCAGGACGGCUGUUUCGGUCCCUUUGCAUGUUCUGCCAUGGUUGCGUGCCCGGCGCCUUGGGUUUCCUGUUUCUUGAGUUGAAGGGUGUGGGCUUGGAGGCGGCACGGUGGAUGCGAAGGGGCCUCUGCCCCACAAGUCGGGGCAGCCCAACUAUAAGAGAUUCUGACUCGGUUGCCAGCUGGAAUGCUCGAUCUUGUGAACCUGCUGUGGCUAUUGGAGAGGAGGAACGCAUGGCUAACAAUGUUGCCGGAGCCCUGUACCUUGAUCCUGGUAUCCCGAGUGUUGCCACAGUUGAUCUGGAUGGGUAUCAUGGGGUGCAACAUUGUCCACUGGGCCUAUGCCUGCUACUGAAUAAAUUGGAUCACAAGUAGGAUGCAUUUGACUGGAUAAGUAAUGUUAUUUGCAUAGCCUGCUGUUUUUUUUUUUGGGUAAGAAAACUAUAUAUAUAUAUAUAUAUAUUUGGCUGAACUUGGUUGAAAGACCUGUGUAAUUUCGUUGCUGCGGUAAUGAAAUUCGGUUUUACCGGUGUGGAAAAAAAAGAAAACUAUAUAUUUUUUAGAUAAAUAUUUCUUUUUUGUAAUUUUGUCACACAAAGUUUCUAAAUGAACUUCACAAGAAUCCUAGAAACUACUGAAAUGAGACAUGUUAGGUUAUUUUGUUCACAUUGCACUGUACAUGUCAAGCAAACUAAGGGAUGAAAUACUGGAACAAACAUUAGACAGCUUCAAGGGGCAAUAUUGAGCAGAAUAGUUAUCUUUAUAACAAAACUGUUGAUAAAAUGAUAAUUAAACUUGGAGGAUUUAGGCAUAGUAUAAUAUUCCGGUAUCUGUAAGUGUAUAGAACCAAAUGCUAUAUUUUUGUUAAAGAUUAUUGAGCUUUUGACUUAACCUAGGCCAUGAGUCUACUAGAAGAUACAGUUUGGAUGAAAUUGCAGUGUUUCAUUUUGUCUUUGAAUGCAUGAUAACAAUAAUCAUUGGGUUUCAGAUGUAAUUUUUCUGCUAUGUGAAAUCUAGAAACUGCCUCGAUCAAUUCAUUUCUAUUUAUCUUGUUAUAUGUUCUGCCCCAACACAUGGUUUUCUUGCACAUUAAUAAAGACUUAAAAAUUCCAGAACAGAGCACUAAGGGUGCUCAGAGAAGGAAAAAAAUGCUUUAGCUAUAUUUUGUUUAUUGUGAAUCAUGUCUGCUAAUGAGACCAAUUAAUUAACACUGUGUUUUUAAUCCAAAUCAUGUAACAGAUCAAACUCUAGAUCCUGCCACGUUGCCUUCCAGCAUCCUAUGACCACAUGGUUUAGACAGUGCCGAGGUGGAUGACUAAUUGUGGUGUGGAGGGCCUACUCAAUCACCACCACCACCCAACUAGGGGCAGGUGGCAUGCCUCUUGAAGACAGGUGAAUUACAUAAUACAUGUGCAUAUUUUAGUUCCUUUGAACACUAUAAGCUCCUGUACCUCUUUAAGGUCUAAGCCAAAUAAGUGCUCUUAACACUCUACAUCACCAUGCACAGGCACUGGUUGGAAACGGAUUUUGUUGGCGCUCCUAGAGUUCAAAGUUCAUACUUAUGUACUUUCCUUUCUCAAAUCAUAACAAAUCUUAGGCAGUUCAAGCUUAGCUGAAUGUCAACUUGCCUCCACGUGCAAGAUCCCAGAAACAUUGCUAUGUCUCGUCCGGUAAGUACAAAUGAAUAAUUAUUUUCUGUGGUUUGCGAGGUCUUCCUAGCAGUAGUUUACUGAAAAUGAAACAGCUGUAUACUGUACAGUCUUCUGCACCUUUUGUCUUUCUAUGCUUUCUGCUUGUUUAGUUGCUGCAUCUUAUUUGACUUCUUGCUGCAAGGAAAAAUGAAACUAUGUGCUCCAUGUUAUUACAUUUACUUCUAAAGAAUAGUUACCUUAUGAUAAAUUUGUAAAAAAAUACAUUAGGUAUAGUUUUGCGCAGCCUGGUACUUGAGAGAGGUUAUAUUAUGUGAUGUAGGUACCCAAAAGUUUAUAUUCAAAUCCUAAUGAGGGAACUACAAUGAGUUUACCUUGUUGGACUCUACCUGAUUAAUAAAGGUAUAACAAAAUCAUGGAGCAAUGAAUUAGCACUAGCAAUAUAGGCAUACUACAACCUUUACCCAACUUUCCUGUUUUGUAAAACAAAAUAAUCAGGUAGGCAAUCAUUUUCAUAGGCUGAUAGACGAUUACAGCAUGAUUACCAUGAAAUAAAUUUCAUUUUUACUGAGUGACUUCCGACAAUUUCUUCGUAAUAUAUUGACAUGCAGAUCUCCUGCAUAUUCAAGAAAAAAAGUGACUUCCGACAAUUAUCUAACUCCUGUGAUGUAAGAUGAGCCAUUUUUAAACCAAUGAUAUGGCCAUUGGGCGAUUCAGCUUAUGAUCAUAAUACUAAGAAAUAUAUAAUCUAUCUGCAAAAAGUUAUUUCACACUGCAAGCAUUAAAGAAGUCAUAAGGGAAUUCCUUAUCUACAACCAUACAGUUUAUGAAUGAUCUUUUAUUUGGAUACAUUGCAAGCUGCAAAUUACAAUGCACAAAACCUAGCACAGGAAAAGAGCCGUGAAGAUCUGUUGCACGUCUAUCCAUGAUGCAACUAUGUACCAAACAAAAUUCACUCAAGUAUGUUUAGCUGUUGAAGUUACAUUACAUGAUAUCUUACUAUUCUAAUCUAACUAAAAUAAUACUGUGAUUUUGCUCUCAUAUGAUUAGCAUCGGUGCACAUUUCACAUAUGUUCAAAAGUGAUGUAAUUUUGUCUAAUAUUUUUGUAUUUUCAAUUUAAGAAACCAUAAUGCAUGUGCGACAAAAAAUCGAUAUUAAUUAAUUGAAGGUAUCUGUAGGAUCUUUGCAUUUCUUGAGGUUCGAAAAUUGAAGGUGCUCAUCUGUUGGUCUAUGAUGUUCUAUCUGCACUGGAAUUACUAUUAUAUAUUUUUUAUACAGUGUUUGUUUUCAGUUUAUAGUUGUGCUGCACCAGCAUCUUAUGUUUCCUUUCUGGCAGCUCGAUUUCGCUGUGCUUAAAUACAAAAAUCAAAAGCUUGCGGAACAACUGGAAGUCCACAAAUUUGAGUUCCGUGCUCUUGAGAGUAGAUUUAAUGAUUUAAAAGAGAAACAGAAGACACAUAAUGAGACACUUGUCCUAGUCAAAAGUUAUUGGGAGCGAGUAAGUUGUUCAAAUCUUCCCCAUGUUACUGUAACAUAUAUAUACAUCAUAGGCUUUCUGCUGAAAUUCCCUGAUCCAAACAGCUCGUAGCAGAUCUGGGUAUAGUUCCUGUUAGCAAAAGUGAAUCUUCACAUUCAAGCUGCAGUACAGGGAACAACAAUAUACGGAAGGGUAUGGAAUUAUACUUUAUGCAUUACGAAUAUAUUGAAUACUGCAUUGUUCUAGAAUCAUACAUGGAAGGAUUCUAUGAUGUCGCUGGCUGCUGGUUGCUUAUACUUCUUUCUACUAAUGGAGCGAAGUAGUAGUAUUUUGAAACAUUUUCUAUUUGAGGUGUUUGUAGUUCUCUGCUCUUUUGAAAAUAAAUUUAUGACAAGAGAUUUACAUGCAUGUCUCCAGAACUAGCUGUUACCAAUUGAUGAUUGUUAACAGAUAAAUUAUUUAUUUGAAUAGCUGGCUACUGUAUAGCUUCUGCUGAUUUAUAUUGUCUACUUUAGAUGUGUCUUAUUUCUAAGUUUUGUCCUUCAUAUACAUGCACAUCUUAUUUGUCGGAUGGUAUAUGCUUUUGCCUAGAAACAGACUUUUUAAAUGGACUUUUGGAGGCUGGUGCCACAGAAAGUUCAGGUUCUCCCAAUUGCCAACUAGGAAACGACGUCUCUUCAGAACAAUCAACAACAAUUGAUAUUCUGCAGAAACUAUUCCUUCCAUCAAAUGGUCCAUGGCAUGUGAAUAACGAGUUUGUUUCUGCUGCUCUCACGAAGUUGCCAGAAAAUGGUUUGUUCUGCUCCAUAUUUUCUGUUGUAGAAUAGCUUUCAUGUGUCAUUUAAGGUAUGCUAAAAUUUUCCUUAAUUUGCUCAUGUUCUCUAGAACACAGCAGGCAAUUGCACAGUGCUACCAGCGAUGUGUUAUCCAAGCUUCAUGUGGUGAUGUGUGCGGUGGAUAAUCUUCACUUGAAACACAGGCAGUUAGCAGGGAACUAUCAAAAACAAAGAGAUUUGAAUGCCUGGAACAGAGCUGAACAGAAACGUCUGAAAGGUAUUUUGUAUUUAUUUUGUGGACGGUAUUUUUGAGGGGGUUCCAUCUCUAAUUGUAUCUGUGUUCAUUUUUUUUUGCACAAGAUCAUCAAACAAGUUAAUACUAAUCUCAGUUAAAAUGAUGAAUGUCUUGUGGCAAUAAGUUCAUUAUGUUGUGAAACUGUAAAUCUAUUGUUUCUUGCCGUGGCACUGCCAACACAUGGCAUACCGAUACUUUGUUUUCUUCUAUUAUGUGUACCUAGCUGUCGUGUAAUGGUAAACUAACCCAGUAUUUAUGUACUUUUCAAGAGGAGUUGACUAGUGUUGUUGCCAAGUUGGAAGGAAGCAAACAAAAACUGGCAGUACUGAAAGCACAGGGAGACAAUAAGCAAGCAACACCGAUCCUUGUUCCUACACUGGGAAACAAAAAUAUGACUGCAGAAAAGGUGAGAGAUAAACGAACAGAAUUGCAAGAUCUUGAAGCUACCCACAAGGAGUUAAUGGUAAUAUCAAGUUCUUAUUUUUAGAGCUCCAAACUAUUGGCUAGAAUGCUAGAUGUGUAUGGAUUUUAAGCUUGCACACUAAUAUGAGCAGGAAUUGACCUCGAAGCGUCUGGAGGAAAUUAGAAGACUGCAUACAGAGAGAAUUGAAAUUUUGAACAAGUUAGCAGCUUUUCAGGUUCGUUGAACCAAAUAUACACGAUCAACCCAGAACACAUUGCUUCAUAGUUUUGGACUCCCAUACCUAAUUUUUAUUGAGUGGUUGAAGGUUAGACUUUGUAAUGUCAAACUUAAUAUGUCCUUUUCAACCUUGUUUCGUUGCUCCCAGAAUAUACUGAUGGAUUUCAAAAGCAUUCGCUCUUCCAAAGCUUUUCAACUUGUCAAUGACCAACUUCAGAAGUCACAAGCAGAACUUGAUGAUCAGCAAACAUUGUUAGAGAAAUUACAGGUGGUUACUGGUCAGUGCAUUUGCACGUCUAUAUAGCAGAUUUGUUUCCCAAGAUCUGAUCAUUGGUUAAACUUCUAUUUUCCUUGUUUCAGGUUGAGAUGGAUACCUUUGUUUGGAGAGAGAGGCAAUUUAAUCAAAAAGUUGAUUUGGCUGAAAUCCCCCAGAAGGUUUCUGCAUACUGUGUAUCUAGAAUUGCUGAUCUUGAAAAGGAUGUGCAGAAACUAUGUAAUGAAAAGAAUAUGCUUGUGCUGAAACUUGAAGAGGCUUCGAGAGAACCUGGUGCUGUAAUCACAACACAGCAAGUUUGAAAUAUUUUUCUAUCGGGUCACUGUUCAAAGCUGGAAAUAAUAUUCUUUUUUUUAUCUAUCAGGUCGGAACCAGGUUAUCUCAGAAUUUAAAGCUCUUGUGUCAUCACUACCGAGGGAAAUGGGUGCUGUGCAAAGUGAACUAUCCAAACACAAGGAUGCUUCGUUGCAGUUGCAUUCCUUGCGAGCAGAAGUUCAUUCACUUUGUAGUACCCGAACCAGAAAGGUAAGUUCCAUUUUGUUAGUUUACACGGUCAGUGUGCAAGUGGAGUUGAUUUGCUGAUACGUCAUUUUUUUACAUUUUGUUUUUUAGGAACAAGAAAUUGAAGAAGCAUCAUGUAGAUCUGCCCAUGCUGGAUCUGAUAUAAGCCAACUUCAAUCUCUGGUAAGCAUCUUCCUUUUGGAUUUUCUUUGUACCUUGAAAACUUUAAAUAUUUUCUGUACUGGUUACAAAGGUGCAAUGCACACCUACUGCAUGAUUUGUUCAUGCCAUUGUUUAUUUAUAUUAACAUAUUUUACAUAUCGUAGGUCCGUGAGUUGAGGGAAAAUACUCAGGAGCUUAAGCUAUUUGUGGAGUUGUAUAAGCAUGAGUCCACUGAUUCCAGGUAGGUUCAUCUUAUGUCGGAUUCAAAUUGUGGAAUAACUUCUAAGGGUGACAUUUUUGGGGGUGGGGUGCAUGCUACUUGUUUAUGGCAUGAUAUAUCUUGUAGCUCAUCCUUAGUCCCGUUGUCCUGUGUCUAUCAUGCUAGCUAUUGCAGUUCUUUCUUUCUUUUUCUUUCUUUUUCGUAAUUUUACUCCUAUUUUAGUGAUGAAAAUACUUACUGAGCAUUUCAACUUGGCUACUCUCCAGUUCAUUUAUUUCAUGGGUACGAGUUUCUGCUAUAUUCACAUGUCUUACUCUCUUGUGGCAGACAGCUGAUGGAAUCGAGAGAGAGGGAACUCGCUGAAUGGGCUCGAGUCCACGUUCUCAAAUAUUCUCUUAAUGAAAGUAAAUUAGAGCAGCGUGUAAUUGCAGCCAAUGAAGCUGAAGCAAUCUCUCAGCAGAGAUUGGCAACUGCUGAAGCGGAGAUUGCUGAAUUAGGGCAGAAGCUAGAAACUUCUAGGAGGUAUUCAUGCAUCUAUUCACUCUUACUGCUAUCAUUUAGAAUUUAGAAACACAAUCAGAAAAGACAAUUUAUCUCCACUUUUUUAUACUGGGUGGGUUCAAGACUGAAAUAGUACAGGAGGCAUAUUUUCUUUUAUACAAUUUUCAAGUAAAGUGAUAUCAAGUGCUGGGUUUCUAUGGCUCAGAGAUCUAGUGAAACAAUCUGAUAUACUGAAGUCUAAACAUGAAGAAUGUGAAGCAUACGUGGUGGAGAUCGAGGUGUGGACAAUCUUCCAUAAUACCUUUCGACCAUGGUUGUCAAUACUAUAUUUUCAGGCCUCAAAAUUUUAUUUUCUACUACAGAGCAUUGGCCAUGCCUAUGAAGACAUAAUGUCACAAAAUCAACAAUUGCUACAGCAGAUUAUUGAAAGAGAUGAUCAUAAUACCAAGGUGAUAAUUCGAAGAACCAAUUUAAGCAAUUAUUUUUUGUUGAUUUGUUCUCUCCGUGUUAUUAUUUAUGACUCCUGUAUAUUUUUACUUUAAUUCUUUACUCCUUAAGAAGAGGUUCUGUUUUCCCCAUCAAAUCUCUUUGUGUGAAAUAUUUUUUCAUUGCUACUCUGACUAAUGCAUCCAUUUUAUUUUUGCUGCAUCAAUGCACAUCCCUAUUGCCUAUGGCUAUGCUACUAUCCAAUUCAAUUCUUAUCCUCCUAAACACAGGCGAGAGGAACAAUUUAGAAGAUGGUUUGGCGGAAUGAGAUGAGUAGAGGGAUAUUAAGGACAAGGGAUCACCAUGGCUAGGGACAUCUGGUGGGGAUGGAGGGUCACCAGUUUUCUGGGCUGACUAGUGUGUCUGGGUGGCCGAAGAGACUUGGUUUGCGGGUUACCUCUGGUUCCUAGGACUAAGGAUCAUGCAGGCCAUCUGGCUGAGCCAUUUAUGUCUGUUGUCCAUAGUAUCUGUCCAAAGCGAGGCCAUGUUGCACCCCCCACCCACCCACAAACACACCCCACCACCACCACCACCAACUUCUGGUGUCUCAACUGCGCCGUGCCAUGGUUGAUGCACCACCUUGUACAAAGAUGCCACCUUGGUGGCUUGGCAUCCUGCCAGAGAGUCCGUGCAUUCAUUAUGCCAUACAGUGUUUUUGAAUUUCUAGGGGUGCUUCUUGACACAGCCUUUUGAAUUUAGAUUUUGCUGCAUAUUCAGGCAUGGCGUUGAGAUUUUCAGUUUUUUUUUUUAAAGUGUGAUAUUGUAGCUUAGGAUCAGUGGUUAAGGAGUUUCUUAUAUUUGGUGCCCUAAAAUAAGCAAAAGGAGGAAUGUAUGACAUGGAAGCCAUAGGAAGGAUUACUGCCAGACCAUUAAGAUGUGAGAGCAUGCUCUGAGCAUGCCGAUCAAAUAAAAAAAGGGUUAUAUAUUAAAACAAGUAUAUGAAGCAUAAUGGAAUCCAGAGUUGCAGUGUUUCAACUUUUCCUGACUGUAGGACUAGAUAUUUCUGACAGCUGUUAUUUCAGACCAAACUAGGAAUCGGAGCUUAAUACUGAGUACAUGAGUGGUGAGUCUUUAAGCCCUGGUGAAUAAUUAUCAAACCAAGGUGGUUUCCUGGAUUUGUAAUAACUGCUAUGGAGAUAGUUUCUUGGCCAAAGGAAUUUGGCAACCUGUGUUGAUUUGAAGUUGAAUGCUCCCUACGUUCCAAAAUGUUGCUUGUUUUAGUUUUGUCCUAUUUCAGACUUUUUUUUUUGUCUAAGUUCAUAGGAAAAUGUAUUAACAUCUAGUACAUAUACCAAAUAAAUGCAUGAUCAUUCAUGGUCUAUCUAAUGAAACUAAUUUGAUUUUGUAGAUGUUGAUGUGUUUUUCUGUUGCCUUGGUCAAAGUUAGGAAAUUUGACUCAAUACAAAAUAAAAACGACCUACAUUUUUAAUGAAGUAAUGGAAAAGGUUGACUUCCUGAAAAUGGGCAUGUUAUUUUGCAUUUUGAUUUUACAGAUUGCAUUGUGUAAAGCAAAAAGAGUGUGUUGUACCCAUGCUGGUUCUUUUUUUAUUGAAUGCACAGGAGAACUGUUAGCCAUUGUAUUCAAGUAGGAGUAAAAGCCAACAUCUUCUAUACUUCCCUUUGCUUUCUCUUAUUUUACCUUUUUGUAACUUGUGCUAGUCAUCUUGUACUUAGUGUUACCAAUGGCUCUGAGAAAACUAAUAUGGAUUAUUGCUUAGUUUUUUUCUUCUUCCAAAUAACCUGUUUAGGAUGUCUUAGCAUACUGCAAUGAUAUGCUUAGGGCAUUAUAGUUGAGUUAAUUUUGUUGUGAUCAUGAAUUGAGUGUGAUUUUGUUGGGGUUUCACUGGUAGUGAAGCUUGGUUACUUAUGUGAACUGAAGUUAGACGUAGGCUGUUUUGAAUGAUGUAUGGAACUGUAAGGAUCAUACCAUUUUUCAGUGGAUGUUGACGUAGUAUCUUAGUUACCUAAUUGCUACUGCAGCUUUUCAUGGAGGGUGUUAAAGCAAAACAGUCACACGAUGCUUUGCAUUUGGAAAUGUGCUCGUUGCAAAGAAAUUUGCAGCAUGCAAGUACUUUGAUGGAUCUGUGCAACCAGAAAAUUAUCCGCCUAGAGGACCAGGUUGGUGGCACAUUCAUACUGAAGAGCUAUACUAUUCUUGCUGGAGAUCUGAAUAUUUAAAAUUAUGAAUUUCUAGCUAAGAGGUUGGUCAGAACGGUUGAGGAGACUGUCAGAGGAUGGAAUGCAGCAGUCUAUGUCAUUGGGCAAUUCUCAAAGAAAGCUGGCUGGUAUGCAUGGAGAAGCUCCAAAGCUCAGGCAGUCGAUGGAUGUUCUACAAGCGAAGGUUGGGAGCAAUCGGCUGGAAGUUGCUGAGCUGCUUAUAGAACUAGAGAAGGAGAGGUGGUUUAUACACAUUUCCUUUUUAUUUUAGCAAUUGGUUUCUUAAUGUUUGGUCUAACAAGAUCAGUUUUUCUCCAGGUUUAGUAAAAAGAGAAUAGAGGAUGAUUUGGAUCUAAUGUCAAGUAAAGCUAAUUCUCUAAGAGAGAAGACAGAUAAUUCAGCAGUCCUUCAAAAACUUCUCCACGAGGCCAAGGAGUACAGGGGAAUACUAAAGUGUGGUAUUUGUCAUGAUAGACAGAAAGAGGUAGUGAUCUUUAGUUGUUCCUGGGGUACUGACAAUAGAAAUGAAUAUUUAAUCGAAUGAUGAUUUUUCUGUUUGUAGGUUGUGAUUGCCAAAUGCUACCAUCUCUUCUGCAAUCAGUGCAUACAGAAGUCACUUGGUAGCCGUCAGAAGAGGUGUCCAUCUUGUGGACUAAGCUUCGGUGUUAACGAUGUGAAACCUAUCUAUAUAUGAAACAGAAGGUUGGCACCUGUGUCGCACGCACCAAAACUGCUUGGUGCUUACUGAGCUCUGGUAUAUGGUAGGCGGGCCAUGGUGGUUCAGUUGGUGAUGUAGCAUAAGCUUCUGUAGUUUGUACAACCACAAACAUGUAAGACGCCACAUGUGAUUGCUGGUACCCACUGGCAUAUAUGGAUGCUGGUGUAGUGGUGUUACCGCAAACGCCUUUUGUAAAGUCUGCUUCCCUAGCCCGAUCUGGUAGAAUAGCCUGACCUCGUCAAACCAUUAGUUCUUUUUAGGAGAAAAGAUCCAACAAAUGAGGAUUGAUGCUUCCCGCAAUAGCGAGCAAUGUAUAAUAUAUUCAUUGCUGUAGCUGACAGUAAGAAUGUAGUUUUCUCUUUUUGGAAUAUACUGGUUAUCCAGUCUGUAUGUUUGCCAACAGUGAGAUUACGUUUAUUUAGAAAAAAAAAAGUGAGAUUCUAGUUUCAUGCAUUGCUUCUGUGUGGACUUCAAUCAGAAGAGAAACAUUGAUCUUCACUGUUUUGUGUUUUUUAUUAGGCUUUUGGGCUUGCCGCCACGGUCACGUAAAGGUCUGUACUUAAUCCUAAAAGAGUUAGAUCUUGUUUGGUUGAGGAGGUGAAAAGUUUUUGGAUAUUGUCGCAUUUUGUUCUUAUCUGGUAAUUAUUAUUAUCUAAUUAUGGACUAACUAGGUUUUAAAAGAUUGGUCUCAUAAAUUACAAGCAAACUGUGCAAUUAGUUAUAUUUUUUAAUCCACAUUUAAUGUUUUAUAUAUAUGUUAUAAGAUUUGAUGUGACGAAAAAUCUUAAAAAGUUUUGGUUCUGGGGUGAACUAAACAAGGCCUUAUUACAAAGAGUGAGUUGAUGUGCUCUCUCUCCUCUCUCUCUUCGUGCAUUGUCUUUGUUGAUUUGGUUUGAGAAUGAAUCUCUCACAACGCUGCAUUGUCCGAAUCUCUCAAAUCUAAGACAUUGUUUUGGUAUGAUAAAAUUUCGCCUCACCUUCGUCCCCGCCUAUGCGAAUACAGGCCCGCAACACUUCCGCACGCUCGCUCGCUCGCUGGCUUUUCGGUGUGCGUACAAUCUCCUCCAAUCAUGCUCCUCCGGCGUGUGUGCAAUCUCCUCCAAUCAUUGUCUCCUCCAAUUACGUACCCGCAACACUUCCGCACACAGGCCGGCUGGCUUCUCAGUGCGCGUACAAUCUCCUCCAAUCACGCUCCCUCGGCGUGCGUGCAAUCUCCUCAAAUCAUUGUCUCCUCCAAUUACGUACACAAGAACACGUACUUGGGGUACAAAGGAAGCAGAGAUCUCUAGCAUCCAUGCCGUUGUCGAGGGAGGGAUGAUGAGGAUCUUAUCCUUGCCCCGCGCAUGCCCUAUACUCUUCACACCGCCAACAAGAGGCCACCGCAACCCAUGACGCUUCACGCUUACGACUAUUGACUCCGCGCAGCCGCUCGCCUGCCCCAUUGCGAGCGGCGACCCGCGAGGUCCCAGCCCCAAUGGAAUGGCGGUGGCUUCCUUGCCCCGAAGCCCUACGGCCAUCAUUGGACCCUGCCCUAGUGGCUAGGGCGUCCUCUGCCUGGUGGCCCCACCACCCUAGCCUUGGCGCCCCCGCUCCCAAGCUCCCAGCUCGACUGCCCCGUCCCAGCGACUGGCGUCCUGAACAUCCACAACCCAGCGCCUAGUGAGCAGCUCCCCUCUGGUUCUCCCCUGUAUUAUCUUCCUGUUAGCAAGUUUUUUCUAGAUUCCUAACCUUAGCUUUUCUUUAUAUUAUACACUUUCAUAUGUUAUACGCUUUCAUAUGUGUAUGUCACUAGUCAUAUGUAUUACUAUUAUAUUAUACAUUAUAUUAUACGCUUUCAUACUGUUCUUGUUGUAGUGAUGCUAACAUAUGUCUGGAUUCACACAAUGUUUGAUGGGAUGCAGUUUUUUUUGUUAACUUGAUGGAACACAGUUAGGUGGGCAGAGUUAUGGCCAAAAAAUGUAGAGGUUUUUUCUUUUUCUACCAUUUGCACAUUUGUGAAAAAUAUGAGGUGUUACAAUCACCUUUGACCUUUCAUGUGAUCUUUGAUACCAAUAUAUUUCUUCUUGUUCCCAACUUUUAACAUUUUCAAUCCACAAGUUUUUUUGUCUGUUUGAUCAACACAUAAGGCCUCGGAUAUGCCGGCACACAUUAAAAAUAUUAAACAUAAACUAAUCAAAAAACAAAUUACAUAGCUUGCUUGGAAACUACGAGACAAAUUUGUUAAACCUAAUUAAUUUAUCAUUAGCACAUGUUGGUUAUUAUAGCAAUUUUGACUAAUUAUGGACUAAUUAGAUUUAAAAGAUUCGUCUCGCGAUUUAGAACCAAAUUAUACAAUCAGUUUUUUUAUCUAAAUUUAAUACUCCAUAUGCAUGUGUCGAAAGAUUCGAUGAAAUGAAUGAAAAAUUUUUAGGUGAAAAAAACAAGGCCUAAACCAACUUCCUCAAUAGAUUCCAAUACACCCAAUUCACUUUGGUAAUCUUUUUUUUCUCAUUUCUCCUUGCAAGUUAAAACCCUAGCCUUUAAAAAAUUGUUUGAAUAACUUUAGCUUUUGCUAAAUUCUAUCAGUUGUAGUAAAUUAGUCUUGCAAGGCUUGCACCAAAUCUUUUCAAGAGUGCUUGCACCAAAUCUUCUCAACAAGAGUAAAAAACUCGAAGAUUUUUAAGGUAAAAACAUACUGCUACUAAUUCUAUGCCUGUUGUAGAGGCAUCAACUCUUUGCUACUGAUUUUACGCCUGUUGUAGAGGAUCAGAUGCUCAUACGCCUGUUGUAGAGAUCUUCCUCGACAUUACGCCUGUCGAGAUCCUCCUCACGCUGAAGCUCCAUAAGUUCGCCACUCAUCUCUUUGAUGGAAUUCCUCAACCAAUCCAUCUGCACGUGGUGGGGCCUCCCUCUCCUUAGCCUCCCUCUCAUGGGCCUCCUUCUCCUGGUGGCGGACCGCUGGUUGGGCCGCCUGGCCACGACUAGUGCGUAGGAACUUCGGCAACUCUGCCUCCUGCGCUACACGACUGGCCUCCUGGUCCUCCAGGUGACCGGCCUCCUACGUAGCACGAUGGACCUCCUAUGCCGCUUUAUGGGCCUCCUACGCAGCACGACGGGCUCCUUGGUAGCGCAGGAAAGCCUCCUGCUCCGCUACCUCCUCUCGGCGAUGAGAGCCCUCCAACUCUGCCUUCUAGAGACGGGUUGCCUUCGCCACGCGAUGGGCAUCCUCCUCUGCUAGGCGACGGGCAUCCUCCUCUGUCUUGAGGCGUGCCUUCUCCUCCGCUUGAGCGUUCAUAUCCAUGUGCUGGAGGGCUGAGUCGCGACAAGGAGGUAGACACACCGCCUUGGCGAUGAAAUCAUCGAGAUUCUUGACGGGGGGCAGGGGGCGGGAGCCCAACCCAUAGAUGUGGACCACCUGCUCCACGAUGUCGUUGUGUCCCAAUAGUAGGUCCUCAUGAGUCACGGCCAACCUCUGCUUCAAUGGAGACUCAGUCUUCAUCGAGGACCCGCCGUCAUCACAGAAUCUGGUGAGUAAAUCAUCGACCUGCUCGUAGAGGUUCGCUCUACACGCCAUCCUUUCAAAACCCUCAAUCAGAUUCUUCAUCUCCGAUAAAAAUGGCUAUGUUAUCAUCUUCUUCCCUUGGUUUGGAAUCUACAUACACAAGCUUGUAUGUUCAUAUAUUGUGCUUGUGUUGUUGCUCAUGUAUAACUAGCUUGCUUGUGUAGCAUGAUAGUAGGUCUCUUGAGUAACUAGUUGUUUUGUGUAGCGUUGCUACUUACAUUGCUUAGUUUGUGUAGCUAAGUUAUUGUUGAGGUCUCUAGUUUGGCUUGUGUAGCCAUGCUAUUGAGUAGUGCGAGCUUAGGCUUUAUGUGCUUUGCAUGCUAGCAUGUGUAGAGAUCUCCCGUUGUUUGAAUAUUAGUUGCAUAGGUUUGUGUGACCUUACAAACUAGAAUUGUUUAGGUGAGAUUUACCUAGUCUGGCACGUUAGUUUCCCAAUUAGGAUCCUUUGUAAGGUGCUUCAAAACAUAGAUAGAGGAGUGUAAUCUUAGCUACUCCGACUAGUUUAAAUCUAUAUUUGUUUCGGUUAGUUGAUGUAAUUAAUUUUAGAAAAGACUAUUCACCCCUUCUCUAGUCCGCCAUAUCGACCUAUUGUCCUCUUAUAUGUGAAGCACAAUGGCUAGUCCUAAGCAGAUGAAAACCUAAAAAACUACCAAGUGGAAGUGAUGGCUUGCUUGGGGUAGCCCUCUUAUUUAUAGAGCUAUCACAAAUUUCGAAGCCUACCCUUAGAUAUUUUGCCUGAACCACUUGCUUUAAGUCCUGAGCUCCUAAGUGAUUGGUAGAAUCACCUAAGCGGGUUAGUUAUGUUGUAAAGGUGUUUAGUGUAGGACUCGUAUAACCUCAGUCUUACUCAACAGGUAGGUAUCUAGUAAGCACACUCAUGGGUGUAGCCCCCAAGCCCUUGAUUGCUUACUAGAAUCAAUGAGGGGGUUAAUCUUAACAUGAAGGUGUUCUGUAAAGGGUUUACGCAACCCUGGUGUUAGGUAUUAAUCAAUAAUGUAAUAAAUUUCAUAAGUAAAAAAAAAGAAACACAACAUCAUACUGUCCGUUGCUGUUGAUGGUGGUCAGGUCACAGACUUAUUAUCCUGAGCACAUACUUUCUUAUGGGUGCGGAAAGGCUCAUUACUCUCUUGUCGUGGGUUCCGGCUCUUUCUAGACCGAUUGAUUAGAGGCGGGGACAGGUAGAGGUCUAAGCACCGUAGUAAGGUCGGGCCUUAUGUGCGGGGGCUUAGGGUCCAAGUUUAGAUAAGGACCUGGAUGCCUCAACGGGAGUGGAGUGGCUUGGUCUUGCUUGUACCUGAGGUGCAAGCGAGGCGUGUAUUUCGGGGUACCUAGCUGGGAUACAUUAGUUUGCGAAUCACCGUUGUUAUUAACGGUCCGACUUGGUUAUUGUCUAGUACCAUAGUAAGAAUGUGAAACUGUGAAAGUUGAUAAAAUGGUUCUGUUUGCUCAACUCUUGCUUGAAUGUAGAACAUGUGCUUAUCUAUAAUGGUUAGCUAAUGAAGUAAAACUGAUGGCUAAAUAAAAUAAACUUUAAGGAUGAACUCUUAGCAAUACUUUUUGCAAAAUAAAUAGCAUACCAGCCAUAAAUCCUUUCAUAAUCUUUGAGAGUCGGAAAUAUAUCCCUUCAGGUAAGUCUUGUGAUUAUAUUUUGUACUUAGGGUUUAUUUUUUUACCCUGUUGCAGGUGCAGCUUGAGGAGUUAUCUCUGUGUGGAGGAUUCCGCUGGUUGGCACAACUGGAUGUCUUUAUAUCGUCAUCGUAGAUUUAUUUCCGCUAUUUUAUUUAUGCAAUCUGAAUCUUGGUAUUGUAAUAAAUAAAUUUCGAGACUUAUUGUUUCUAUGAAAUGGAUUAAGUAUUGUAAGCUCUACUCGUUAUAGUAUUCUGGAUAUAAACGUGAAUUGUUUCGAGUUCUUCCGUUAGGUGUGCAGGUAUGCUCAACAGAGCUGACUAGAUGUGGCAGAACCACCUAAUUAUAUGGCCCACAUGCACUUGACAUUGUCCUUAAGACCUCUGACUACUGUACAUGAGAGUCAUAUAACUUGGAUAGUCUGUCGGGUGCCCUCGGAGGACCCCGAAUCAUCCACAUUUUAACUCGUACAGGAUCAACAUGGAGUUACCACAACAUUACAACAUUUGUUACAAAAAUAACUUACAUCAGAGUGCGGAAGAUUUAUAACUUAAUUUACAACAUAUGAUGAAAUACAAACUUAACUAAAUUUCCAAAAGGUGUAUAGAGUAGCGGAAGCAUCUUAGGUGAAGCUUCUAAGGUAGAAGAGGUGGAUAAAUCAUGUCGCGCCCACCGACAUGACCUCCAUUAGCAGACUAAGUCAGCACCUGCAACAGGGGUUAUAAAACCCUGAGUACAAAAGUACUCAACAAGACUUAACCGACUAAAAAAAAGAGGUGAAGACUCAGGUAUGCAGGCUAUAGGGAUUCAAGGUAAAGCUUUAUCAAGAUAAAGCAUUUCUUUUGCAUAAAAGCUUACUAAGAUUAAACCUACUUUCAAGUUUUUAACUCAAGGUUAUCAUUUAUGACUAACCAAAACUAUUAUCAAACUUGCAUAAGCAUACCACAUCUUUCUUAUACCAAAGAUUCACUUGUUACUACGAUGAUGGUGUGAGGAUUGAGGCUCCAUAUCCGAGGAAACACGGCGAUUCGAAUCGAUUAAACCCAGCUGGGGAUUCAGUACCACACGACAUAUGUAGAACUUAAUCUUGCAUAUGUCAACCUUUUCUAUAGAUCCUCCCAUACAAGAACGGGUCCAGCGUCACCCGAGAGUACAGUACACCACCAUCCUACAGCCAAUCUAGAUGUUUCCCGGUCAUCUCAGAUCCGUAAGGUGGGUACACGCUACUCUCGCCAUCUUUCCACUCCCAGUACGCGGUUAGCCGUUCUCAAGUAUCGGAAUAGCUAUAGGUAAGGCUUACCGCCGCAUGUGGGCUGUACUCAAAGGUCUCAAUCACAACAGGCCAAUCAACGGUACGGUCCUUAAUCGACUCAGUUGGAGACACUACUUUAAGACUCCAUUCUUAAAGCAAGUCCACCGACCGGUCUCAAAUUGAACAUCAUUAACUGUAAGAGUAUUCCACAACGACCCUUCAAACGUUCUCAUUUGAAAACUUAUCUAAUAAGCAGGGCUAAGCAUACUAAGCAUUUUCAUAAAGCAGGUAUCAAGGUUAAUAUGGAAAUCAUCAAGGUAGAUAAUGCAGCAAAUAGGAUUCACUCAACUCCUAUUCACCUAAUGCAUCAUAUUAACUCAAGUGAUAUAAAUAACUUUAUGAAAAUACAAGGAUAGGGUUUAAUGUCCGGGGCUUGCCUUGACCGGAAGGGAAAUUCGGCAACUCAGCAAAACCCGAAGGAUCCACAAACUCGGAAGCAACCCACUGAGGAUCAGAUUCCUCCGGAGCGUAUUCUAUACGUAAAAGUGCAUAUGCAUGAUCAAUGAGAUGCUCAUGACAUGAUAAAGACAGGUUACAUGUUCUUGGAUGAUAACAACAAACAUAACUACCUCGAGUACAACUUACCUUCACGGUAUAGAAACAAACUAACUUAGUUAUCAAAACAUAGAUUACUACUAAGCAAAUUUUAUCAUCUUCAUUAAGCAAGGUUGUGUAGCUAUCAUACAACAAAGAUCAUUUAUAUGAAAUAAACCAUAACCAGGGAGCAUAUCAUGCCAAGUAACCACUGGUUGUCAAUCAAUCCCAAAGAUCAAUCAAAACCUAAAAUGAUUAGGUUUUCUAUUUAUCUUAAUCAAUUCUUAAUUAAAUAUUAAUGGCAGUAACUAAGUAUUAACAUCAAACAAUAAUUAAGUGCCAAAGGUCAUAAAAGAUAAUGACCUCAGGUCAUCACACAAUCCCAAAAGCACUCAAAUUCUAAUUUGGAAAUUAAGUUACUCAUUAUUUAAGUAAAGGCUAGCUAAAAACAAUCAACCCUAUUUGCACACAUAACCAGGACAGCAGCAUAUACACAACUUCAUUCAACCAUAAUUAGAGAUCCAAGCAUCCAACAAAGGUGAUAUUAGGCUUUCUGGAAAGCUUAUAUAAUUUUCUACAACUUUGUUAUUAUCUUCGAGAACUGAUUUAAUAGAUAACAUGGCCAAACAGUAUGAAUAAACAAUUCUGUCCAGACCUUGGACAGAAUCAGACAUUAAGCUUCAUACAUCUAUAACCAGAGUUCUAGAUCACCAAAAUUCAUGAUCCAUAACAUUUUGGAAAUCUUAUGAAAAUUACUACAAUUCAUCUUUUAUCAUGAAAGCAUGAUUCAUAAGUUUAGUAGGUUGAAAUUGCACAACUACAGAAACUGAUCCAGAAUUUGACAGAGAGGAACCAUUUCUGAAACUUAAAUUUAAACAGGCAUAACUCAGAAACUAUAGGGCCAAAUGCCACCAAAAUUUAACACCAGCUAGAUACAUGAAUUCUAUACAACUUUGUUAUAGACAAGUUUCAUAUCCAACAUUAUUUACCUAGAGCAAUUCAUAAGGUUCCAGAAACUGUCCAGAAAUCACUAAUAAUUUAAUUAUAGGCAAAUAACAUUUUAUUUAUAUUUCAAACUUGGACCUGGGCAAAACCCAGCUCACAAAUAGUUGAAAUACAUCAAAGAGAUACUAGAAAACAUCAUGGUCAUCCCUAAAUAAAUUCCUUUCAUGUUUUUAUUAAUUUAUUUAGGUAAAUAGACAAAGCAAUAACCAUAUAUCAAAAGUACACAGUAAAUUCUGAGAAAACUACAGAAGCUCAUAUAUGUUCUCCAAAGUCUACUGUAUAAAUUUCAUGCCAUUUGAAUAAGUAUAGCAAUUUCCAUGAAAAAGAUAAAUUUCCAUCACAAGGAAGCAUGUAACAACAAGAUAAAUAAGAAACUCAACAUUUUCUACAAACACAUAGCUAAAUUAUGUAUCUAUAUGAUAUAACAACCUCAUAUAAAGGCAGAGGAACUGUAUUUUACAUUUAUUUAUUUUUAGUUUAAUUGUAAACUAUUUAAUAAGCACUAAACAAGAUAAAUUAAUAACUUAACCAUAUAUCAUCUACUGAACAUGAAAUUUUUACUGUAACACUCACAUAGCAUCAUAAAAACACCAUAAAAAUUUCAGGCCCAAAGGAGCUACACAGGAUUAGAUAUGAAUUUCUCCUUUUUAAACAUAAUUAAAAGGCAUAAAUCAUAACUAAUUAUUUUACUACAAAACAUGGUCAGUUUCAUAUUUUUAAUAAACACUAGACAUCUCAAGGAGCACAACAAAAUUUGGUUCACCAAAAUUGGAGCUACCAAACUCUAGAUAUGAAUUUUCAAACAUUCAACAAAACCUCUACAAACAAGUCCUUAUAGCACUAUUCACCUGAGUCACAGUCUCUGCAAUUAGACCCCUGGGAAACAUCAAAUUGUCGCCCGAAGUCCCUGGCCGCGACUGAAAACAGAGGAACUCGCCGGAGAUCGUGGUUUCGGCGCUGGAGUGCUCGUCGGCGGCAUUGGAGCAGCGGGGAAGCUCGCCCGGACUAGUGCGCACCUGAUGGUGGCCGUAGCUUGUCCUGCAAUGGCUCGAGGUGGCCUGUCCACGUUGAGGUGCUCCUCGGCGGCGUUUUCAGCCGGAGCUGAGGAAGAAAGACGGCGCCCGGGCGAUUGAGAGGGGCAGGGAGGGUUCCUGGGCGUACACGGGGUUCGCAAGGAUAUGGCGAAGGUGUUGGAGAACUCGAAUUGGCCAGAGGGGUUGCGUGUAGAGGGUAUUGGACGGUGGAGCUUCACUGGGUGCUUUCGGUCGUCGGAGUAAGUGAGCUCGAGGUCGGCCGCGCAGGCGCUCAAGAGGUCGAGACGCAGAGGUCACGGGCGUCCACGUCGCGCGGUGACGCGGCCGGCAAGCAGCUGCGUGGCGGCGAGAACGCACGCGCGGCGCUGCACGGCCUGCGGCCGCGCGGUGACUGGACUCGUGAUCCAUAUCCGGAUACUGUAGCAAGCUUUAUCCAACCAGUUUUGUGGUUUUGCAAAAUUCGCCCAAAU